AAGCAGUUAUGUGGAGAAUCCUUUUCUCUGCGGGCCUCCCCUGCAUAAAAAUUGCAGCGACCUUGAUUCACCCCCGACAACAGCACCAAAGAGCUCAAACGAGGAAGAAGAAAGUGGUUUGAUGGACAAGUAUGUUUUCUGGGUGACCUUUUUUGUUUCUUACGUGAUUGUGUUACUGGUUAUUGUUCUCAUCCUGUAUAUAAAUCCUUAUUGGCGACAAGCAUGGUUUUCUUUUGUUGAACACUGCAUCAAGACUUGUCAGUACUUUCUUCUGCGAUUUUCCAUCUUCAAAAGGAGUGGGUAGCCUUGUAUUUUGGUGGUUUACAUUUGUAUGUAAUUUUCAUCACUCUUUUUUUAUUUUUCAAAGUUUGAUUGGAUUAUCUGCUUCUAAGUUUUUAGAGCUAGAAUGCAAUAUAUCUGUUAUGGAAAGCAAUAUAUAAAGUUAUGCAUUUUCAAUUAAAACAUUUAAUAUUGCUUUAUAAUUUUUAGUGUUCUGAUAAGAUGAUGUUAAAUUCAACAUAUUGUAGCAUAUAUAUUAAUAAAACCUAUAUUCAUCUAUACAAAUUUUUUAGUCAACCAAACCAUUGAUGUGGUGGCAAAAACUUCACAUUGUUUUCAAGUCUUCAUUGACAUUAGGUUGAGGUUUCAAACCCUAGCGUAAAAGAGGGGGGAGAGGGGUUGUCUGAACCAAAACUUCAUUUCAACAGAUAUCCUUUACCCACUAAAUCAUAUGCUCAACUGAAACUUUUAUAUAUAUAUAUAUCAAACAUGAAUGAUAUAAAUAGUCUUUAAAUUUUUAAAUGAUAUAAAUAUAUAUAUAUUUUUAAAAUGAACAAAAAUUAUAAUAAUUAAUAUGUAGUUUCAUUAUUUUAUUUAAACUCAAAAUAAUAAUAUUUAAAAAUUGAGUUUACGUGAUAUUUAUUUACUUUAAAAUUAAUAAAAUGUAAAUAUAAACUUUAUUUUAUUUUAUUUAUAUUCAAAUUUAAUAAAUGUUUAUCUAAUUUAUUUAAAUUUAAAUAAAUUAAAUAAAUAAGCACACAAUUUUUUUUAGAGAAAGUGAUGACUCUUUUUUAAUGAUGAGAUGUUAGAAGAUUUACCAUAUGUGUAAUGUGGAGACAAUAACCCUAAUAUGUAACUUUUGCACAAUAACCUUAAUUUAUAAUUAGUGAAUCAUCAAUUAAAAAUUAAUUAAUUGAGUAUUUACACUUGUCCAACCAUAUUUUAUUUAAUAAGUGUCAUGGAUCAUAGGUCAAAUAAGUAUCACAAUAAUCACAGUAAUACCUGCAAAAAUUGAAUCCAAAUAAACAUAUCCAUAAAUUGUUAAUGAAAAUUUGUUCGCAGCGAGAACCUUAACUAAGAUUGGAAGAAUUUAUAUGUUUUUGUCUUUUUGCUAAAAUGAGUAUAAAACAUAUAAAAAAUAAAUUAUGAAUGUUCAUUUUUUUAAUAGUUCAAAAAAAUAUAUUAUAUAUAAUAUAUAUUAUUGUUUUGCAUUUGCUCCUCAAAGAAAAUGGAAACAAUCGUAAGCCUAUGGCAUCAUUAGAAACACCAUUAAUCUUGAUGUGUCGCAAAUCUCUAGAAAGUUAGCCAAAUGAGUAUUCAGAUCUUCAUCUUGCAACCUAUCAAACUGAACAUAUUGUUGUACCAUCUGAAUUGUGUUCGACUUUAGCUCAAAAUUAUUUACAGCAAUAGUCAGUCUGACAAUACUCGAUUCAACCCCAAUCAGAAUAGACUUAGCAUAAUCAUACAUAGUCCGAAGAGUAGGAGCUGCAGGAAGCUGUUGAUUAUUUUUAUGAUUAUCCAUCUCCACAUUAAUAUCCUUUUCCUCUUGAUCGUCUACUAAAAUCUAUUUAUCUUGUCUUUUGCUUUUCUAACCUCUCUAAGAUUUCUACGAGCAGUCUUUUCAACUUCACUAUAAAAAAUUAAUGUUUCUGACGAGUUUCCUCUAGUCAUAAACCAAAAGACUCUAUCAUAAUAAAAAAAUGAAAAAUUAGAAUAUUGUAAAAGUUAAAUUAAAAACAAAAAUAUCAAAAUAAAAAUAAAAAUAGCUAAAUUAAUAGAAAUAAAGUUUUCCUAAUAUUUUAGUCCCCUGGCAAUGGCGCCAAAAACAUGAUGCAGUCAUAAACCAACUAAAAAUCUGACUAAGGCAAGUGUACCUAUCAAUUAAUUGUAUAGUUACGAUGAGCAAAUAAAUCGUUCCCACAAAGACUAAAAGUAGUAAUUACUGUCUUUCUAUUAUUUAAUCGAUAAACUCGAGUAAUUGAUUAAAACUAAAAUUAUUUAAAUUAAUUAACAAUGAAUGUGACAAAUAAUAAAUCAGGAAAAUAAUUGAAUAAUAACCAAGAAGCAAAACAAUACCUAGGAAAAAAUUCACCUAGAUUUCAUCUGUCAUUAUCAAUCUAAAUUCCACAAUUUCUUUACUUAGUAUCUUAAUUCAUAGAAAUCCCUAAAUCAUGCUAAUAUCUCUCUUCAAGAAUAAGAGCAAUAACUUUAGGCUGGUUAAUUGAAAUUUCUUUCUAAUUAAAACCCUUAUUAUCGCAUUAAAUCGCUUUAUGGAUUUCCCAAUUACAUUUGACUCUAAUUCGGUGGAUUUAUAUCAUCCUAUUUCUAAGAUUGCAUGCAACUUCACUCAAUUACGCUAGAUCUACUCUUAAACAAGGUCUAUUCCUUCUCUGAUUUAAGCACAACAAACAUGGAUCAACAAUCUAGAAAUAUUAAACCAAGAGUAAAAUACACAUAAUUGAGAGCAAGAUCUAAGUAUUUAUUGUGUAAAAAUAGAAAUCAAAUAAUAUAAUUCAUCCUAAAGCUUAUCUCUCUAGGUAUUUGGAAAAUUAGUUCAUACUUGCAAAUAAAAACAUCCCAAAGACAAUAUAACCAAAAGAAAUAAAGAAGCUCGUGAUAAUCUCCUAAGAAAUCAACUGUGAGUCUUCAAUCUUGACUAAAAUUUGCUUCAGAAUCGGCUUCAAUGGUGUUUUCGAGUUGUUUUAUUGAGCAUUCUAUGACGGCUCUCUCCCCUCUUCUUAUAUUUGUCAUAUAUAGGUCUUAGAAUGCUCGAAAAACCUAAACAAAAGUGUUUUUCCGCAAGUUUGAAGUGUGACUCGUGAUUUCUACGUAGUCUCGCACAUGACCAUGUAGAAGCUCGUGUGGCCACACGGUCGUGUGUCCAGCCCAUGUGGCUCCUGAAACUUGCUCCAAUUUUCACUUAUUUUUCACUCUUUUUGCUCUAAAAUGCUACUAAGUAUAGAAACAUGAAUUUAAAGGAUUAGGAGCAUAAAAUUCACCAUUUUAAUUCGAAUAAUAAUCCAAAAAUGCAUUAAGAAUGAGGCUAAAACAUGUUACUUUUGGCAUUUAUUAAUUUUGCCAACACCCAAAAUAGUUGCUUAAAGGUACAAAUUUAAACAACCCAAAAAAGGGUCAGUAUAAUCCAAAAAGCGUUGUGUUAGGCUUUUCAUAUGAUAACACUUUUAUAUAGUUGGGAAAGGUAUAACAAAAGUCGGCAUAGUGUUGGAUAAAACUGAUUCUUAUUUAAGCGUUGCCUUAGGCAUGCAUAUCCCAACCUUUAUACAAAGAGUUGGCCAAAGCGUAUGUUAACAAGUCUAUCCUAACACUUAGGAAAGUGUCAGCAUAAUGUUGGACAAACUCGAAUCUUAUUUAAGUGUUGCCUUAGGCAUGCAUAUCUCAAACCUUAUACAAAGAGUUGGCCAAAGCAUACGUCGACAAGUCUAGUUAUUAGCUCAAUAGAUCAAACAGGAAUUGCUAAGAGGGGUGAAGUGGCUUUUAAAAAAAUGUGAAAGCUAGAAAGAAAAUUGAAAGAUGAACAUAAUAAUUUAGAAUGGUUUAGCCCCAAUUGCCUACCCCACUACCUUGACUUUCCACAACUAAGGAUUUUCCAAAAUUCACUAAAUUGAUAACCUUUAAGGAUAAGGUUUAACAUUACAACUCUAUUAAGAUUUCUGUAACACCCCAAACCCGGCUAGACGUUAUAACCGAAUCUGGCGAUGUCACAUGGAAUGGGAUUUGAAACCUCGUUGUUACGAUGAAAACAUUCCAUGCUAUUAUCUUUAGUAAACCUUUGUUAGAACUUAGGAAGUCGUCUUUAUUCAUUUAAAACAUUUGUUUUGAAACAUGCCUCGUUGUGGAAGCUUUAAUAAAACAGUCUAUGUGAUCAUGCGUUUAGAAAAUAAUUUAACUUUUUGAAAACGGAAUUUCCUAAGACCCGCAGGUAUAAAUCCAUAAAGUAAAAUAAAUAAAUAAAAACCCAAAUUUAAAACCAAAAUCCUAGAAGGUCCUUAAAUUACAUCCCAAAUAAUCAAUAAUAAUCAAAUCAUAAAUCGUAAAUUGAAAACCAUGAAGUCGAAAAAUUACGGUGGUUACCGCUAAGUCCUCCGUCGCACCGAUCCAUCUAAGUCUAGGGAUUAACUAUGCACAUUAAACAAAAAAUGUGAGUUUACGUAAACUCAGUGUGUAGUCCCGUAGAAACAAACAAACAAUCAGUAUUCACAGUGCACAGUUGAACAGUCUUGGGCCUAAGCCCUUUUCAGUAUCAGUGACAGUUUGGGCCUUAGCCCAUCUCAGUAUAGUGUCAAAAAUGCAGUAGGUCCUUAACCCAUCACAGUAUUAGUAGCAGUAACAAUUAUGCAGUAGCAAAAUCCUACCCAACCAGCCUCUACACACCAUCUUCGUCUAACCCUACAUUCUAUGUGGGGAUAUAAUCAACCUACCCAUCCCUUUUUAAUAAUAACCCAUGCUAGCUAAAUAUUCUAUGUUUUCACUAUUUACUUAUAUGUUCAUUUAAAGCUGUCUACUUGAGUCAUUGUCACUAAAUUAUUUACAUCUUAAGCUACAGAAUUCCAAAUUAAGAUCUGCUUGAUGUUUUCAAAACUGGACUCAGAUAUCUUUCUACCAUAAAUUUUCAAAAUUUAUAGCUUAUCAAAUAAGUACAGUAAAAUCUUCAAAGUUAUCCCUAUUCUGCCAUUUGACAGCUUCAACCUUUUCCUUACUAAAAAUUAUUAAUCUCUUAGUACGAAAUUUGAAUGAUGUUUCCAUUUGUUUCUCUUGAAAGUAGACUUAUUAAAGAUUUAAAUGUAUAAAUUUAAGCCCCUAAUUAUUUGUUUACAAUUUUUGAUAAUUUUCUAAAAUCAGAACAGGGGAACAAGAAAUCAUUCUGACCUUGUCUCAGAAAAUUUAUUAUAUCUCAUAAUUUACAAUUCUAUUGCUUACACUGUUUCUUCGAUGAAAAACUAGUCUCAAUAAAAUUUAAUUUAAUAUUUUAUUCAACCCUUAACUCAAUUUUCACUAUUUUUGAUGAUUUUUCAAAGUUAAACUACUGCUACUGUCUAAAACUAUUUUUGUGCAAAAUGUUGAUUUCCAAGGUUAUAACACCCUUAUUUCCUUUCUCUACAAUUUUUUUCGCAUCAUUUUCUCUUAUGUCUCGACAGCAAGCGAUUUUGACUUUUUGCUGAAUCCCCUUUUCUGCGUUUCGGGUACACACCUGGUUUCGUUAGAUGCUAAAAUAGUCCCCGAGCACUCCAAAGCCUAUAAUUGAACAAAUAACAUCAAUUUAAUCUCACAUAACGUGAUCCCAAAUCAAACUCAUAUCGAGGUUUUAACCCAUAAGCGACUAAACCUUACCUUCAACUGAUAAUAGUAGUUCCCACACAAACUAAGACUCCGAUUGGUGAUUACAAGCCCUUGAAUCAUCCCCUAAUAGGCAGAAACAAAACACUUUAGAAGAAAGUUAACAAAUAGAGACAAAUCACUUAUCUAAAACUUGUCGAACGAUCGCAGACAAACAUGGAGCGACACGAGGCAGAGUGGGAAAAAAAUCAAGAAGAUGAAGGGUGAAAGAGAGCAGAAAUUUGGCAAUAAUGAAGAGAAAAACAGCAAAAGGGUGGAGGGAUUUUGGGGAAAGUAAAAAAAAAGAAAAAAAAAAUUAACAGAAUAUUUGAUAACCACCCCAAUCCCUUAUUUCUCUCCAUCAAACUCCCCACAAAUCCACUACUCAGAUUUUUAGUCCAUCUCAAACUCUCUUGGACACAUGAGCAAAAAUAAUGCCUAUGCUAAGAUUCAAACACAAGACCUCUUUCACACCAACACUCUACUUAUCCACCAAACCAGCAAGCUAAUUUUGUUAAUUAUUUGCCAACUUUUACUUAAAAGUCUACUGACCAAAUAUAGGACUUAUUCAUAAAAAUACCAAAAUUUGCCCAAGUUCUGGCUUGAACUUGGGACCUCCCAAACACACCUAAAAUACUUAACCACUGAAGUAGAUACACAAUUGUGUCACACAUUCACAAUACCCAAAAUUAAAAUUUUUAGGUGUUACAGUGCUUCUUUUACUGAAUUAAACUAUAACCUUACUAACCUUAUAAAAUGCAUAAAAAACUAAUAAAUCACUUGAUUACAAACUCAUUAAGUAUAGAAUCAAGCUUAAUUUGCCACAACGAAUUGUGGUUAAUCAAUUGUUAAUAUGAAAUUUAUUUUUUUAGAACACCAAAUUCUUUCAACCGCAUUUUGAAGCAGUGGUGGAUCCUAGGACAAAGUUUGGAGGGGAGGCUAGUAAAAUUUUUAGGAAUUAUAAUAUAUAUAUUUGCCAUAACCAUCUAAUACUCAUACUUGUUUAUGCUUAUAAUAUAAUUUUUGUAACUAGUAUAAAAAUAAAUUUUUAAAAUGGGAUUUGAGUGUAAUUACGUAUGUAAUCAUUUUAAUUCUCAGUCCCCUAAGAAUUAAAAAGUGUAAUUGAGUGCUCUAAUUACAGCCAAUUCGUGGGACUCACCAAUCAAUGGUUACCCAAACAUGUCAUCUUUGUGUAAUUACUAGCAAUUACACCCAAAUUCAAUUACUAGGUGAUUUUCCAAACACUGUGUAAUAUGUCGCGACAUCUAAGCCCUUUUGUUUUGUACUUUUUUUAACUUAAUUUUUAAGAGUCCAAGAAAAGUAAAUUACUUAUUUGGUAACACUUAUAUUUAGUCAAGCUAAAAAUAGCUUAAUAAAUUGAUGUUAUUUACUAUAUUUGUCAAACCAUUUUAAAACUAAUUUUGGCUAAGUCAAAAUCACUUUUUAUUCAACUUACCUUUACUAUUUUUAGCCAAUUGAAGUCUUAUAAAUACCUUGUUCAUUUUCAUAAUAUACACACUUGCUCAUCCUUUCCAUCCUUUUAAGAUUGCUAAGUAUUUUUUUGUUGUGAUCUAUUAUUGAUUCCUACUCCCUUUUUAUAAUGAAAGAACUUAUUAAUACCUUAAUAUUUUACUAUUGGUUCUUUCUCACUUUUGUUUUAUUUUCAUCACUUUUAAAAUGUUAUUGUAGCGACCUAAAACUUUCUGGGCACGGGCGCUAGUCGAAGUAAUUAUUGAAGGUUUGAAAACAGUGUCUCGAUUUUAUUCGAAAAAGGGAGUCGCCACCGAUCUUUUUUUUUAGGUGUGAUCGGACACCUACAAAAUUCCCUUUUUAGAAGAAAAAUUUAUUUUUAAGCUUUUCUAAAAAGAGGUAAUUUUAGGUCCACGUAAAAAUCCAGAGAAAAUUAGGGUUCGGGAGUCGGUUACGCGCGAGGAAGGUAUUAGCACCCUCGCGACGCCCAAAAUUGGUAUCUCGUUAAACGCAUGUUGUCUUAACUUUCAAAAAUACGAGUUCCAUUUAAUAUUUAGUCGUGAUCCGAUUGAAACACGAGAAUUUUGAAACACAACAACCCCUUUUUUUUGAAAACACGAAAUUUUUUUAAAACGCAAGAAUUUUAGAAACACGAAAUUUUUCUUUAAAAAAACACGAAAAUUUUGAAACACGAGAAUUUUUUCAAAACACGAAUUUUCUUUUUGAAACACGAAAAUUUUGAAAACACAAAGUUUUAUUUUGAAAACACAAAAGAUUUGAUAAAUUACGAAACAUGAGAUUUUUUUUGAAACACGGAAAUUUAUGAAACACGGUCAAUUUUUGAAAACACGAAAAUUUUUGAAAGACGGGAUUUUUUUUUGAAAACACGAAAAUUUAUAAAACACGGAAAUUUUUUCUAAAAACAAGAAAAUUUUCGAAAAACGAGAAUUUUUGAAAACACAGGAAAUUUUUGAAAACAUGAAAUUUUUUGUUACACUAGAAUUUUGAAAACACGAAGAUUUUUGAAACAUGAGGAUUUUUGAAAACACGAAGCUUUUUGAAACAUGAGAAUUUUUUGAGAACAUGAAAACAUGAAAAUUUGUCAAACACGGGAAUUUUUUGAAAACACGAUAACAUCAAAGAGUAGUCAAGAGAGUUUUUUGAAACACGGAAUUUUUUUUGAAAAAAAGAAACACAAAUAUAUUUUUUUGAAACACGAGAAAUUUUUUGAAAAAAAGAAACACGAAUAUAUUUUUUUGAAACACGAGAAAUUUUAUUAUUAUUAUUUUGAAACACGAGAAAUUUUGAAGACAUGAAAAUUUUUGAAACACGAUUUUUUUAAUAAUACCAUAUUUAACACGAAUCGAUGAUAUUCACCCCGAUAUGGUGAUGAAAUCGUCGUAUUAGUGUCAAAACAAAUCAAAUUAAUAUUUAAUCAGGAUUCUAAUAAAACACGAGGAUUUUUAUUAAAACACGAGGAAUUUUGAAUAUUUUCGAUUUUUAGAAGGGCGUCCCGUAUUUAACACGAGCCAUCGAUAUUCACCCAACAUAGCGAUGAAUUCAACGGCUUGAUGCUAAAUCGGUUCGUUGCCUUAUGCAUUAAAAUAUUUUUUCUAUAAAAAAAAUGCAAAUAAAAUUACAUAUAAUAAUAUUUCUAAACUAUUAAAAAACUAAUUUAAUUGUAAUGGGGAAAUAUUUAAAUAAAUGGACUUAAUUAGAGUGGGUUUAAAAAAUUACCAAAAGCCCAAAGUUAUGGGCUUGAAUUUUGGGCCUCCCUUUUCUUUUUUUUCUUUCUCUUUCUUUCCUGGGCGUUGGGCUGCCGGACUGGGCCGAGUCUGCUGGCCCGCUGGUUGUUGAAACAGGCCUGCUACCGCUGCUGGAUCGAGUACAGGCCUUCGUGCGGGUCGGGUCUGCCUCCUGGACUGGGUCGUGGCCUGCUGUCACUGCUGGGCUGCUCUGCUGCGCGUGGGCCUGGGCUGCUGCUUAGCUGCUGGAGUGGCCUGCUGUUGGCCUGCCCAAGAUGGCCUAUUGCUUGCUGGGCCGGUCUGCCACUGCUGCUGGUGUGGGUGGCCUGCUGCUGGCUUGUUGCUGGCUGCUGGCUGGGUUGGAUCCGGGUCAUCGGGUCGGGUUGGCCCGGCUGUUAUUUUUUUUCUUCUAUUUUCUUCUUUCUUCUUUCUUUUUUUCUUUUUUUCCUCAUUUCUUUUUCUUUCCUUUUUCUUUUUCUUUCUUUUCUUCUUCCUUUCAAACCCUAGCCACCGUCUUUUGCUUGGUGGCGCGACAGUGCCGGCGCUUCUCCCUUCUCCCUUCUCCCUUCUCCUCCUCUCUCUUCUUUCUCUCUUUUUCUUUUUCUUCUCUUCUUCCUCUCUUCCUUACUUCUUUACUGUUUGGGUUGCUGUUUUUUUUUGUUUUCUCUUUGCUUGUUUGUAUAGGUGCGACGGUGGUGGUGGUGUCACAACGGCGGUGCGACGACGGUGGUUGCGGGAGGAUGGUGGUGGAGGCUUUCGGCUUGCUGCUAUUUUUUUGUUUUUGAAUUUUUUCUGCUCUUUUUCUUUUGGUUGCCGAAAAACCUUUUCUUUUUGUUUCGGUUUCCCUUGGCUUUCUAGGUGGCGGUGCGGUGGUUGCGGUGGCGGGGUAGUGGCGCGACGGUGGCGAUGGCUUUUGGGCUGCUGUUUUUUGGAUUUUUUUGAGUUUUUCUCUGCUCUUUUUCUAUUUUUUUUUGGUUGCUAUCCGACCCCCUUCCUUCUCUUUUGAUUUUCUUUUUAAUCUCUUCAUUUUUUAUCCUCUUUCUUCUUGUUUUCAGAUGGCAUGGAGGUGAGGAGCAUGGCUGAUUGGCGGUGUCAGGCGUAGGGUGUGGUGCACGCCCAAAUGCUGGUUGGGGGGCAGUCUUGUCAUUCCCAGAAGGACUGAAUUGUAGAGUGUGCAAAGUUUUUAGGGCAAAAAUGUGAUUUUAGGAAAAUAUAGGGACAAAAUGUAAUUUCUAGAAAGUUUAGGGGCCUGACUGUAAUUUAUAAAAUAUUAGGGGUCAAGAUGUAAAUUUAGACAAAGUUAGGGGUCAAAAAAUAAUUUUUGAAAAGUUUGAGGGCCAAAAUGUAAUUUUUAUUUUUUGUAUUUUUAUUUUUUUCAAAAUUUUAUUAUGACUAUUUUAUUAAUAUUUAAAACAAAAAUUAAAAACGGACUAAAGUAAUUCCAAAAUUAAAUCCUAAUGGGCUCGAUCAUUGGGCCCAUACGAGACCGACCCGGCCUAAAAUUCAAACCGGGCAAAAUUCAGUGAUUACAGCUGCCCCUCUUUGCUCAUCGCUGUAAAACAGGGAUAGAGCAAAGACUUAAAAGCACUGAAUUUUGCUCGAUUGUCUAAUUUUUUAUAUUUUUUGAAAGCCUGAAAUUGAAAAAAAAAAGCUUGGUGUGCGAUCCGAAGUUCAACUCACUUUUCAGAUUAUAAGUUGACCUUUGAAAAAUAAAAAAUAAAAAUACCUCAGCUUGACUCGAGGCUCAACUCACCUCUAGGAUUAUGAGUUAAUAAUUUUUUUUUUUGAAAACAUAAAUUGAAAAUACCACAGCGUGACCUGAGGCUUAACUCACCUCUCGCAUUAUGAGUUGAUUUUUGAAAAACGAAAAAUUGAAAAAUACCUCGGCAUGUGACCCGAGGCUCAACUCACCUCUCGUAAUAUGAGUUGAUUUUUUUUGAAAAACAGAAAUUUAAAAUACCUUAGCGUGCGACCUGAGGCCCAACUCACCUCUCGCAAUAUGAGUUGAUUUUUGAAAAACAGAAAUUGAAAAUACCUCAGGAUGACCCGAGGCUCAACUCACCUCUCGUAUUGUGAGUUGAUUUUUGAAAAAAAGAAAAUUUAAAAGAAAUACCUCGGCGUGACCCGAGACUCAACUCACCUCUCGCAAUAUGAGUUGAUUUUUUUGAAAAACAGUAACUUAAAAAUACCUCAGCGUGACCCGAGGCUCAACUCACCUCUCGUAUUAUGAGUUGAUUUUUGAAAAACAAAAAUUAAAAAAUAUAAUUCUUGAAAGAAACAGGGUUUCAAAACAUCAGGUGAAACUAAAGCCUUCUUCUUCGUUGAUUCUGUGCAACUUUCUCUCAGUAUUCCCUGCUCUACUAAGAUACCUGUAUAUGUCAUGUAUGAUGUUAUUAUGAUAUGCACGUGUUUGACCUAAAUGCUUUUAUGCCUACAUAAUCAUGCCAUGAGCCCUGGGCUGUUUGUCUCAUGCCUCCUUUUCGUGAGGGACUGCAUUCAUUGCCUCAAUCAUUGACUUCUCUCUUCGGUUUUGUACUCAUCUUCAAGUUUGUCGGGUGACCCACAUGUCCAUAUUUCCCCUUCUUGCCCCUUUUGUUGAACUUUGUUCCUGCUUUGGGGUCCUUGUACUUAUCAAAUUCUCAUCCAGGUAAUGCUCAACAUUCAUUUUGUUUAGAGUAUGUCAUCUUACUAUUUAUCAUUUAAAUGAAUCAAACACAAGAUGCAUAAAUAAAAUGGCAAAGUAGGCAUGAAAGAAAUACCUCACAUCCAUUUCAUUUUCAAAACCAUCAAACAAAGAAAAUUGACAAGGAAAAAGUUCAAAGAAAGCAUCAUAUAGAAAGGAAAGUGAAUUCAAUGGCCACAAAUGCUCUAGAUAUCCAACGUAUGAACUUCUCCACGUUUCUUCAUCCUGGAUCCUUUCGAGCACGGCUUCUUGUGUAGAAGAUUUCGAGCUUCUGAGAAUGCUUCAAAUAUUGCGACUUUGUCAUUCAACUCUCCGUUCAAGUCACUUUGCUCCUUUAAGCUCGAGCCCACUUCAUUAGGACGCCCUUUCAGGUUUCCAUCCUAAUUCUUUUUGUUUAUCAAAACGCCCUUUUCAGGUUUUCAUCUUGAUUUUCUUUUUCUUUUCUUUUUUCUUUUUUUGUUUUUGUUUUUGUUUUUUUUUGUUCUUUUUGUUCUUUUUGUUCUUUUAUUUUUUUAUUUUUUUUUUGUUUUUUUAGGCAUAAUAUUUCUUUACAGCAUCUGAGUUCACUGGAUUAGGUAACUCUUUCCCGUCCAUCUCAGUGAGAAUCAGAGCCCCUCCUGAGAAUGCCCUCUUUACAACGUAUGGUCCUUCCCAAUUUGGUGACCAUUUUCCUCGAAAGUCCUUCUGUAUUGGGAGAAUCUUUCUCAGUACGAGCUCUCCUUCGCGAAAUUCUCUUGGCCGCACCUUUUUAUCAUGGGCCGUAAUCAUUCUCUUCUGGUACAUCUGUCCAUGACAAAUUACCUUCAAGCGUUUCCCUUCAAUAAGGUUUAGCUGAUCAUAUCGAGCUCGAACCCACUCUGAUUCCUCUAACCUUGUCUCCAUCAAGAUGCGCAGGGAUGGGAUCUCUACUUCGAUAGGCAGAACGGCUUCCAUUCCAUAGACUAGAGAAAAAGGAGUUGCCCCCGUAGACGUCCGUACCGAGGUGCGAUAUGCGUACAAAGCGAAUGGUAGCUUAUCGUGCCAGUCUUUAUAUGUCUCAGUCAUCUUCCCAAUAAUCCUCUUAAUGUUCUUAUUAGCGGCUUCUACUGCUCCGUUCAUCUUUGGGCAAUAGGGCGAAGAAUUAUGAUGUUUUAUCUGGAAUUGCUCACAUACUUCUUUCAUCAUCUUAUUGUUCAAAUUUAAAGCAUUAUCUGAAAUGAUUCUUUCAGGCAGACCAUAUCGGCAUAUAAUCUCCUUUUUUAAGAACCUACAGACUGUAGCCUUUGUCACAUUAGCAAACGAAGUGGCUUCUACCCAUUUUGUGAAGUAGUCUAUAACCACAAAGAUGAAUCGAUGCCCAUUGAAAGCUUUCGGGGAAAUUGGCCCUAUAACAUCCAUGCCCCACAUAGAAAAAGGCCACGGAGAAGUCAUGACAUGAAGGGGUGACGGAGCUGCAUGAAUUUUGUCGCCAUAAAUUUGACAUUUGUGGCACUUUCGUGCGUAACCAAUGCAAUCCCUUUCCAUCGUCAGCCAAUAAUAACCAAGUCUCAUAAUCUGCCUGGCCAUGGUGAAACCACUGGCAUGUGUUCCACAAAUUCCUUCAUGAACCUCUUCAAGUAUCUUUCUAGCUUCAACAGCGUCCACGCACCUCAGGAGCACUUGAUCUUUUCCCCUUUUGUAUAGAAUAUCCCCGUCAAGAACAAAUCCAAUCGCCAUUCUCCUGAUUGUUCUUUUGUCAUUCUCGUUUGCUUGCUCGGGGUACCUUUGAUUCUUGAUAUACUCCAAGAUAUCAUGGAACCAUGGUCGUCCAUCUGACUCCUCCUCAAUACUAAAGCAGUGUGCGGGGGUCUCAUAUAUACUCAUUUGGAUGGGCAUUAUCUCAUUUUCUCUGUUUGCCUUGAACAUCGAAGCCAAGGUGGCUAGGGCAUCAGCCAGUUGGUUCUCCUCUCGUGGAAAGUAGUUAAAAGUCACUUUAUAGAACUCCUUGAUCAGCUCUGCAACGAGAUCAUGAUAUUUGACUAAUUUUGGAUCUCUCACUUCCCAAUCUCCACGAAUUUGAUAAAUGACUAAUGCUGAGUCCCCGUGUACCUCUAAAAUUUUGAUUUUUCACUUGAUAGCUGCACGAAGUCCCAUGAUGCAAGCCUCAUAUUCCGCUAUAUUAUUUGUACAGAAGAAAUUCAAUCUGGCAGUAAGCGGGUAAUGGUCCCCUUCAGGUGACACUAAGACUACUCCUAUCCCAUGCCCCAAUACAUUUGAUGCACCAUCAAAGCUCAUCUUCCAUGACUUUCCUUUUGAUGACUCGCCCUCUUUUUCUGAAAUACACAUCAAAUCUUCAUCUGGGAACUCAAAUCUCAAAGGCUCGUAUUCCUCCAUUGUUCGACUUGCCAAGAAGUCAGCUAUUGCGCUUCCUUUUAUCGACUUUUGGCUCACAUAUACAAUGUCAUACUCAGUCAAUAGGAUUUGCCAUCGGGCCUUUCUCCCUGAGAGUGCAGGUGACUUCAUCAUGUACUUUAUUGGGUCCAGUUUUGAAAUUAACCAUGUCGUGUGAUACAGCAUGUAUUUUCUGAGCCUUCGAACUGUCCAAAUCAAUGCACAACAAAACUUCUCAAUUGACAGGUACUUUGCCUCAUAUUCUGUGAACUUCUUGCUGAGGUAGUAAAUUGCCUUCUCUCUUUUCCCUGACUCAUCAUGUUGUCCCAGUACGCAACCCAUUGAGUUCUCAAACACGGUCAGGUACAAUAUUAAGGGUUUUCCAGGGGUCGGCGGUACUAGCACAGGAGAAUUAGAUAGAUACUGUUUUAUCUUGUCGAAGGCCACUUGGCACUCCUCGUUCCAUUCUCCCGGAUUACGUUUUCAAAGGAGUCGAAAAAUUGGGUCACACUGAUUGGUAAGUUGAGCAAUGAAUCGAGCAAUGUAAUUCAACCUUCCUAAAAAACCUCUGACUUCCUUUUGUGUACGCGGGGGAGGCAAUUCUUGUAUAGCUUUUAUCUUAUCUGGAUCAACCUCGAUACCUCUUUCACUAACAAUGAAACCUAGCAGUUUUCCUGAGGUAGCCCCAAAUGUACAUUUGGCCGGGUUAAGCUUCAACUGAAACUUUCUUAAUCUUUCAAACAACUUCCUAAGACUCCCAACAUGCUCUCUUUCUUCCCGAGAUUUGGCAAUCAUAUCAUCGACAUAAACUUCUAUUUCUUUGUGCAUCAUAUCAUGGAAUAACGUCACCAUGGCUCUCUGAUAUGUUGCCCCAGCAUUCUUUAAUCCGAACGGCAUUACCUUGUAGCAGAAGGUUCCCCACAUUGUUAUGAAUGUAGUUUUCUCCAUAUCUUCGGGAGCCAUCUUUAUCUGAUUAUAUCCUGAGAAACCAUCCAUGAAAGAAAACAGAGAAUGCUUUGCCGUAUUAUCCACCAAAGUGUCGAUGUGCGGUAAAGGAAAGUUAUCUUUAGGGCUUGCUUAAUUCAGAUCAUGAUAAUCCACGCACAUUCGCACCUUGCCAUCUUUCUUCGGCACUGGGACUAUAUUAGCUACCCAUUCUGGAUACUUUGAGACUUGUAGGAAGCCAGCGUCAAAUUGUUUCUUGACUUCUUCUUUUAUCUUUAACAGCAUUUCGGGUCUCAUCCUUCUUAAUUUCUGCUGAACGGGCUUGCAUUCUGGUUUCAGUGAGAGCUUGUGGACCACAAUAUCCGUGUUUAAUCCUGGCAUAUCUUGAUAAGACCAGGCAAACACAUCCUUGUAUUCAUGGAGCAAGGCGAUCAAAUCUUGCCUUGUGUUUUUUGAAAUCGAAGUCCCAAUCUUCACUUCUUGUUUCUCUUCUUCAUUCCCCAAGUUCACUACCUCAACAGAUUAUUGAUGGGGUAGGAUUUGUUUCUCUUCUUGUUCCACCAUUCUCAGUAAGUCAGGAGAUGAGACACAAUCUUCAACAUUUUCGUCAGCUUCGAAUUCUCCUAAACAAAUAACCUUCUCAAAAUUGAUUUCAGGAUUCAUAACGGGAUUAUUCAUGCCAUUGAUAUCUGAACACCUGAAAGGUGAAUGGAAAAAGGAUAUAGAAGAGUAUUGAGGUAUUGUAAUCAACACACAAUGAUAUGAGAUGAUAUGAGACAUAUGCCAGAAAAGGAUAUGAACAGAAGGAGUAGUCGCAAAGUUAAUGAAAAGAAUAUGACAAUAUAAAACAAAAUGCAUCUUCAUUAAUGUUCAUUGAAAUGAUAAAGAGCAAACAUAAGCUCUUACAAAAGGAACCCUACUGUUUAAGGACACACAAAAUGAAGGGUUAACAUUGAGCAUUACUCUGAAGGGGACUUAAAAACUACAAGGAGGUCCUCAGCAGUCCAGUUGUUCAAAACAUAUCCUGGAGGACAAUGGCGUAUCAUUGAAGCAUUCUUAAUUUCAUCAUUCUCAUUGUCAAUAGCAUUUAGGCUGAGAUUCUGAAGACCCUUUUCAAUCAAUAAUGUGGCUUGCAAAUUGUUCUGCCCUGGGUACAUCACUCCUGCUGAUGUAAAUGUUCUCGACAAAGGAGGAUACGCCAACGGCCCCCAUUCUAAUUCCUGGCCCGAAGCUCUUGCGAUUCUUCUUUCUCGAUUUUUCUGAAAUUGUUUUUAUCUUUGAUGUACAUCUGGCUUGAACCCCAAACUGUAUCGACCCUUAUGGUGCGUUGGUUUCAAAGCUCUAACCAUCCUUUGUUGAUAUUUUCCCAAACCUUUCCUCGCUCGAGCUCCUUUUCCCACAGUCAGCUUAAGUCCCAUCUUGGUAUUCCUCGACAGUUUGGGAAUGGGGAUCUUAUUCCCUUCAGUAACAAAUGCAGCAUUGAUAAAUUUCAAGAAGCGAAAAGAACAUUCUACAGCAUCUUCGCUUAUUUCGAUGUAGGGUGCAUCAGUAGAGAUAGAUGCGACGAUGUCUUCCUCGCCACCAACAGUAAUCAAACGACUAUCCAUGAUGAACUUUACUUUCUGAUGGAGAGAUGAAGGAACUGCCCCAGCAGAAUGGAUCCAAGGUCUUCCUAACAGGCAAUUGUAUGAAGGUGUGAUGUCCAUGACCUGAAACUCGAUAUCGUAUGCACAUGGCCCCACUUUUAAAGGAAUUUCGAUAUUUCCCAUGACCUCUCGCCGUGUCCCAUCAAAUGCCCUUACUAUAGAAUGACAAGGCCUCAGAUAGGACAUAUCAACCGGCAUCCUAGAAAGCGUGGCCAAAGGCAUAACAUUGAGUGCAGAUCCAUUGUCGAUGAGCACAUUUGGUAAUAUGUAACCUUUGCAAUUGGUUGUGAUGUGCAAUGCUUUUAUGGAGCCCCUUCCAUUUGGCGGUAUUUCGUCGUCACUAAAGGAGAUGAAAUUAUCUGCAUUUAGAUUAUUUGCCCACCUAUCAAGCUUUUCCACAGAUACAUUGUUCGCCACAUAAGCUUGAUUUAACACUUUUAACAAGGCAUUCCGAUGUGGCUCUGAAUUCAACAAUAGAGACAGUACCGAGAUACGGGCUGGCUGCUUGUUUAAUUGUUCUACAAUGCUAUAUUCACUGUGCUUAAUGAACUUUAAGAACUCACAUGCUUCCUCCUCAUUCACAGCCUUUUUAACUUCUUCCUCGGGUGGUAUUUCAACAUCAUCCUCAGCCUCAUACAUUGGUGCUUUUCUUUUUUGGCUCGGACCAGCAACCUUCUUCUUUGGCUCAACCGUCUCGGGAGAAUAACAUCUUUCGCUACGAGUAAAAUGUCCUACUCCGCUAACACCUUCACUCACAACCUUGGACUUUUCACCCUCAGGUACAAUGAUAUUGACAUCAUAAUUCUAAGGCACCGCCUUGUUGUCCUUAUAAGGGAAAGGAGCAGGUACUUCAAUUAUCAAACUUGGUUUAACUUCUCGACUAACUUCUUCCUUCUUUGUCCCGUAAUAAAUCACCAAAGGUCUAUCGACGCUAUAAAGGGAAGCCAUUGAUUGAUUAUUAGAGGCACAUAUUUCUCCUUCUUCGGCCCCCUCCACCCUAUCAAAGACCUUGACCUCUUUGUUAUCCAUCAUGUCUUGAAGUAAUUUCCUAAAUUCCUUACAAGAUUGGAUGUCAUGCCCUUGGACGCCAUGAAAAUCACAGAAACUCUGGUCUUUUGUACUUUCUUCUUUAAGAAUCUUACUAGACGGACAGAGCAAGCCAUUUUCAAUCAUCAUCUCCCAUACCUUCCGUAAAGGUGUCUUUACUUCGGUAACACAACCUUUGGCUUGACAAUUGUCUUCAUUUGUCACCGCAUUUACAUUCCCGUCAGUAUGGUUAGGAAGAGGAUUUCCUGUCACAUUGCUAACAUCGUCGAACCGUAGAACACCGGCAUCAAUAAGACCUUAAACCCUCCUUUUAAAAGCAAGACAGUUUUCUGUAGAAUGUCCCUGAUUCCCAGCGUGAUACAUGCAAUUAGCGUUAGGAUCAUACCACUUCGGGUAUGGAGGCUUCAGGGGUGCCAUGUAAUGUGGGGAUAUUAAUUGUUUUUCCAACAGCUUUGGGUAUAAUUCUCCAUAUGAUACAGGAAUUAGAGUAAACUGAGGUCUUUCAAGAUUGGGUCUUGCCGGUCUUUGUUCAUUUUUGGGUUGGCUUUGUACAGGUAUGGUGUUUGGCGGGAACACGGUGAAUGGUCUUUGGUUAUUCACAGCAUAAACGGGGUAAGAUAGGGGUGCUUGAUAGUAAGGACUUUGAGGAGGAAAGUAGAAGUUUGAAGGUGGGCGGUAAUGAGGUCGUGGUUGGGUGAGGUACGGAUUAGGGGUACAUUGGCUUUCAGUCCCAACCAUAUGGGCCUCUGCCUCCUUUUUCUUUGCGGGUACUGUCCUCUUCGAACUCUCAGGACCUUCCAUUCUCCCACUCUUGACGGCGUUUUCGAUAAGUUCCCCGGAUAUUACAAUAUCUGCAAAGUCCUUUGUGGCACUUCCCACCAACUUAUCGUAAAAUGGCGCUUUUAGAGUGUUGAUGAAGAGGACCGUUAUCUCUGUCUUAGUUAACGGAGGCUCCACUUGAGCCGAGAUAUCCCUCCAUCUUUACGCAUAUUACCGAAAAGUCUCUGUCGGCUUCUUUUCCAUCAUUUGUAAGGUUAGUCGAUCAGGCACCAUAUCUGUUACAUGCCUAUAUUGCUCACAGAAUGCUGAAGCCAAAUCCUUCCAUGAUCGGAUUCUCUCUCUACUGAGUUGAUUAUACCAUCGAAGGGUUGAGCCAAUCAAACUAUCUUGAAAGUAAUGCACCAACAAUUUAUCAUCGUUUACAUAACCAGUCAUCUUUCGGCAAAACAUGAUCAGAUGCGCCUUUGGACAUCUUGUUCCGUCAAAUUUCUCAAAAUCAGGUGCCUUAAAUUUUGGUGGUAGGACCAAAUCAGGUACCAAACUGAGCUCUUUGGCACUCAAAGCAGAGAAAACUUCAGCGCCUUCUACUGCCUUGAUCCUCUAUUCCAGGACUCUAUACUUAUCCUGAGCGUUAUUGUCAUCAAUUCUCAGCCUUGCUACUUCUACAGGAUCAUCUAGGUCUGGAACAAUUGGAUCUGAAGGAUUAGCCCCAGGGUUCGAUACAAACAUUCCUUGUCCUAAAUGAGCAGAUGGAGCAGGAUGUUGUUCCAGGCCUGUAGGUUCCCUUUGGGGGUAUCCUCUUUGCAUUGCGUGGACAUGAGGUGGAGUAAAUCCCGGGGGAUAAAGUGGGUCUUGAUUAGCUCUUGACUGAGGCGGUUCUACGACAUUAGGGCUCUGUAUAGGUCCCUUUCCUUUGACCAAAGCCGUCAUCAUUUCUAUCAUUUUAGCCAUUUGAUCCCUUUGCUCGAGCAAUUCUUCUCGAGAUCUCACCAUCAAAUCUCUUGCCUCUUGCUGCGACUUGGCCAGUUGCUCCUGCAACUCUCUUUGGGUUCUUUCCAUCCUUUCCAUCCUUUCAUUGAGUUCAGCAUCCAUAGCUCUAGCUCUUAAGCGCGUCCUAUAAGAGUGACGUGAUUCCAGACUCGUAGUGUAGUAACUGUGGAUUAGAUGGUUUUACCCUUAGCGAAUGAUUAAGGUGAUAUGAGAAUACAAUGAAUAAAUGAAUGAGUAACUAAUGAAUGUUAAUCAUGCGUAAAUAUGCAAAAAAGGGUGUUGAUUCCAAAAUGGCCCCAUACUUGGGCGUUUCAUUUAUCAAAAGAGUCCGUUACAAAAAGUUUUGCCAUCCUAGUUCAACAAUUACACGAAUUUCCUAGCCACAUCGCCUUGCUUCUUCAUACGUUCCAAGAACUCUGAUAUGCUUGAUCUUUGGCUAGGAGGGUAUUGGCAACUGAGAACUUCCGCUUCAUCUGAUAAUUGUACUAUUUGUGCAGCCGCCUUACGAAUUUCAUUGAUCAACCUACCGAGAUGCAUAUCCUUUUCUUGGAGGGCUCUUUCAUAAGCACGAAUGUCUCUGUCAUGCUGAUCAUUCUUCUCUUCUAAAGCUCUCAAGAGGUCAUCCAGAUGUUGCUGAUGAGCUUGCAGUGUACUCUCUAGACUUCAGAUUUUUCCUUUUAGCCCUUGAUGCUCAGACUGACUAGCCGUUAGUUCUGCAGUCACAGUUUCGUAUUCAACGUUCUUCUUCCUCAACUCUAUCAUAGCACAUGCAGCUCUUUCCUCUUCUUUCUUUGCUUUGGCUUUCCAGAAUUCCAUCCCACCUUUGAUAUUACUUAGUUCCUCUUUCCAUUCUGCUGAUGCUUUGCCCAAUCCACUAUUUCUUAUAGUGCCCCUUAAUUUCUUGUUUUCCAAAUGAAGGUCCCUUAAAUUCUUUCUCGUAACUUGAACUUCUUUUUGGACUUUUUCGGCUCUGGAUUUUUCAAUUUCGACAUCAAUCUUCAGCUGGUAGUUCUCCUCCUGAAGAGAUUAAUAUCUCGCAACAUUUUGGCCUUUUCACGUUCAAAUUCAUGUCUUGCAAUUUCUAGCUCGGAUGGGGUUUUCUCUGAGAACGGAUUCUGGCAAGCUUCAUUAAUUGGUGGGGUUACUUGACUCUUCACUCGUUGUUGCCUCCAUAGGUCAUAGUCUACAGUGAUAGUAUCAGCAUAUAGAGCCAAUUCCAUUAGGUAGAUUCGCCUCCAAGAAUUCGCAGUAUCUCAAACCUUUUUCAUGUAACCCUCACCCAUAAAGGCAAACUCCGAUUGUGCCAAUCCAUCGGUAACUGGUACAAACUGUCGCGAAGCGAACUGUCUUUAAACCAACAAUGGAGCAUAUCCAACUCCUCCCCAUAAUCCUAAUAAAGGUAUCCAGUCUUGGUUUCCACACUUGUAUAACAAGACAGAGGGACGAAUCCAAGGUGCUCUCCAAGUUAUAUCUUCGACACGGAGGUUCUGAAAGACCGAGACCCAGUGUUGUUCAGUGACAUCUUUCGGCCAAUCUUUUCCAAGGUGUGCUUCCAACGGGGCGAAUGUCUUUGAAAACAUGUGGAAAGGCGUACGCUCCACCCUCCAAAAAUGGCUAAAGAUCCAAACAUUCAGUAACUGAGCGCAUUCGAUAAAACGUCCUUCCCCUUUUCUCCUACAAGCAUUUAGAGAUCUAAAAGUCUCAGCCAAGAUGGCUGGGACCGGGUUAACUCUUUGCCUCAACUUUUCGAAGAAAUCCACAACCGCAACUUCAAUAUGCCCAAGAACCUUCGGGAAGACGACCAGUCCGUAAACAGCCAAGGCAAACAAAUCUACUCUUUUUAACACAUCUGGAUGAUUCUGAACUAACUCCCGCAGAGAAAACCACGGGACACAACUGACUUCAUUCUUCUUCUUUAUCUGUUUUUCAGCCCAUGUAUCAGUCAUUCCCGUCAACUUCAUUAGCUUUUUCUUGAAGGUCAUUGGUUUAGGCUCCUUCACAUAUAUCUUGUUGAGUUGCACAUUAUCGAUGCGAAGCAAAGCGGCAUACUCUUCUAUGGUCGGAGUCAUAUCUUCCUGAUUGAAAGUGAAACACUGAUAGGCUGGGUCCCAGAAUCGAACCAUGGCUUGGAUCAACUGCUCGUUCACAUCGAUUGCUAUCAAGUGAGCUAUAUCCCCAUACUUUUCAGUGGAGAUGCUUCUAGUAUCUGAGUCCCACUGCUUCCAAAUCCUAGUCAAGUCUUCGAGAUCAUUUUGACGAGCAUUCAAAGUCACACGCUCGGGAAGAUCAGAGGUGUAUCCUUCCUUCAAACUGUCCCCUUUCACUUUUUGAGUUCUCAAAGACCAAUCUCGGACUACAGCAUUUUUCUCGGUUACUCGUGUAAUUGACUCCUCCAUCAGAAACCCGUUUUUGGCAACCAAUAUUUAACCAACACCUUCCUAAUGAGAUGUCUACGAUGCAUGAUGGAAAAUAAGAUGAAAAACAAAUAACCUUGGUUAGAGAUCACAACAGAUAUAAACAAAAGAAAAAUGAAAAAUAAAGACUAUGGAAAAUUUAACAAAUUAAGCUAUUCAAUCAUGCAAUUUGGUGGAACAGACCCACAUUUUUUUUUGCCCCAACAUGCUUUACAAGAAACCUACCCCACAUACCAUCAGACCAUCUAUCCGACCCAAUUUAUUGAAUAGACUCAAUUUAUCUGCAAAUAAGUGUAAAUGUAAAAGAAAUAAAAGGUAAGAGGCGUUUCUCCCGUGCACUUAUUUUGGUAACUAUCAAACGGACAGAGGUUCUGUAUGGCUCUACUCGGGUGGCCUAUACGGUUCACUAUAUGUAGUUUCGGUUUUAGAAAGGUACUCGAAUUGUCCAUACUAUCACCUACUAAGGUUAGUACAGAGCUUCGGUUAUCGCCCGUCAGGGCUCGCGAGCUCAAUUCGAGGGAUUACAUUUACUUAUGCCUAUGCGGAGGGACAAGUUAACUCACGAAAGCAUAAGUCAUAUGUAACCCGAAAGUAAUUACUAGCCUGUGCGGAGGGACGAGUUAACUCACGAAGGCGUAGCGUUUACUUCCACUUAAACGGACAGAGCCCGGGUAGAGAGCUCAUGUUAUGCAAAAAAUGCAAGUGCACUGUGUGUGGAGAGAAACUCACAAACCUUUUUAUUUUUACUUUUACUAAAAAAAACAAACUAAAACCAUAAAACUUAAAGCUGAAAAAAACACGAAAAUAAAAAAGGUUAGAAAAAUAUUAAUUUCAAAACUGAAUACGGAUGCAUGAUUUUUUUCAAAACAAAAUUCAAGGAUCACGAUUAAAAAUUAAUUUGAACAAGAAAAUUUGAAAAUUUUGACAACACACGUUUAACAUCAGACUCGACUCUCAAAAAAAACUCCCCAGCGGAAUCGCCAGCUGGAGCGACCUAAAAAUUUCUGGGCACGGGCGCUAGUCGAAGUAAUUAUUUAAGGUUUGAAAACAGUGUCUCGAUUUUAUUCGAAAAAGGGAGUCGCCACCGAUCUUUUUUUUUAGGUGUGAUCGGACACCUACAAAAUUCUCUUUUUAGAAGAAAAAUUUAUUUUUAAGCUUUUCUAAAAAGAGGUAAUUUUAGGUCCACGUAAAAAUCAAGAGAAAAUUAGGGUUCUGGAGUCGGUUACGCGCGAGGAAGGUAUUAGCACCCUCGCGACGCCCAAAAUUGGUAUCUCGUUAAAUGCAUGUUGUCUUAACUUUCAAAAAUACGAGUUCCAUUUAAUAUUUAGUCAUGAUCCGAUUGAAACACGAGAAUUUUGAAACACAACAACCCCUUUUUUUUUUUUGAAAACACGAAAUUUUUUUAAAACGCAAGAAUUUUAGAAACACAAAAAUUUUCUUUAAAAAAACACGAAAAUUUUGAAACAUGAGAAUUUUUUCAAAACACAAAUUUUCUUUUUGAAACACGAAAAUUUUGAAAACACAAAAAAUUUGAUAAAUUACGAAACAUGAGAUUUUUUUGAAACACGGAAAUUUAUGAAACACGGUCAAUUUUUGAAAACACAAAAAUUUUUGAAAGACGGGUUUUUUUUUUGAAAACACGAAAAUUUAUAAAACACGGAAAUUUUUUCUGAAAACAAGAAAAUUUUCGAAAAACGAGAAUUUUUGAAAACACAAGAAAUUUUUGAAAACAUGAAAUUUUUUGUUAAACUAGAAUUUUGAAAACACGAAGAUUUUUGAAACAUGAGGAUUUUUGAAAACACGAAGCUUUUUGAAACAUGAGAAUUUUUUGAGAACAUGAAAACAUGAAAAUUUGUCAAACACGGGAAUUUUUUGAAAACACGAUAACAUCAAAGAGUAUUCAAGAGAGUUUUUUGAAACACGGAAUUUUUUUUUGGAAAAAAGAAACACGAAUAUAUUUUUUUGAAACACAGGAAAUUUUUUGAAAAAAAGAAACACGAAUAUAUUUUUUUGAAACACGGGAAAUUUUAUUAUUAUUAUUUUGAAACACGAGAAAUUUUGAAGACAUGAAAAUUUUUGAAACACAAUUUUUUUAAUAAUACCAUAUUUAAUACGAAUCGAUGAUAUUCACCCCGAUAUGGCGAUGAAAUCGUCGUAUUAGUGUCAAAACAAAUCAAAUUAAUAUUUAAUCGGGAUUCUAAUAAAACACGAGGAUUUUUAUUAAAACACGAGGAAUUUUGAAUAUUUUCUAUUUUUAGAAGGGCGUCCCGUAUUUAACACGAGCCAUCAAUAUUCACCCAACAUAGAGAUGAAUUCAACGGCUUGAUGCUAAAUCGGUUCGUUGCCUUAUGCAUUAAAAUAUUUUUCUAUAAAAAAAUGCAAAUAAAAUUACAUAUAAUAAUAUUUCUAAACUAUUAAAAAACUAAUUUAAUUGUAAUGGGGAAAUAUUUAAAUAAAUGGACUUAAUUAGAGUGGGUUUAAAAAAUUACCAAAAGCCCAAAGUUAUGGGCUUGAAUUUUGGGCCUCCCUUUUUCUUUUUUUUUCUCUUUCUUUCCUGGGCUUUGGGCUGCCGGACUGGGCCGAGUCUGCUGGCCCGCUGGUUGCUGGAACAGGCUUGCUACCGCUGCUGGAUCGGGUACAGGCCUUCGUGCGGGUCGGGUCUACCUCCUGGACUGGGUCGUGGCCUGCUGUCACUGUUGGGCUGCUCUGCUGCGCGUGGGCCUGGGCUGCUGCUUAGCUGCUGGAGUGGCCUGCUGUUGGCCUGCCCAAGAUGGCCUAUUGCUUGCUGGGCCGGUCUGCCACUACUGCUGGUGUGGGUGGCCUGCUGCUGGCUUGUUGCUGGCUGCUGGCUGGGUCAGAUCCGGGUCGUCGGGUCGGGUUGGCCCGGCUGUUAUUUUUUUCUUCUAUUUUCUUCUUUCUUCUUUCUUCUUUUCUUUUUUCCUCCUUUUUUUUCUUUCCUUUUUCUUUUUCUUUCUUUUCUUCUUCCUUUCAAACCCUAGCCGCCGUCUUUUGCUUGGUGGCGCGACGGUGCCGGCGCUUCUCCCUUCUCCCUUCUCCUACUCUCUCUUCUUUCUCUCCUUUUCUUUUUCUUCUCUUCUUCCUCUCUUCCUUACUUCUUUACUGUUUGGGUUGCUGUUUUUUUUUGUUUUCUCUUUGCUUGUUUGUAUAGGUGCGACGGUGGUGGUGGUGUCACAACGGCGGUACGACGACGGUGGUUGCGGGAGGAUGGUGGUGGAGGCUUUCAGCUUGCUGCUAUUUUUUUAUUUUUGAAUUUUCUCUGCUCUUUUUCUUUUGGUUGCCGAAAAACCUUUUCUUUUUGUUUCGGUUUCCCUUGGCUUUCUAGGUGGCGGUGCGGUGGUUGCGGUGGCGGGGUAGUGGCACGACGGUGGCGAUGGCUUUUGGGCUGCUGUUGUUUGGAUUUUUUUGAGUUUUUCUCUACUCUUUUUUUAUUUUUUUUUGGUUGCUAUCCGACCCCCUUCCCUCUCUUUUGAUUUUCUUUUUAAUCUCUUCAUUUUUUUGUCCUCUUUCUUCUUGUUUUCAGAUGGCAUGGAGGUGGGGAGCAUGGCUGAUUGGCGGUGUCAGGCGUAGGGUGCGGUGCACGCCCGGAUGCUGGUUGGGGAGCAGUCUUGUCAUGCCCAGAAGGACUGAAUUGUAGAGUGUGCAAAGUUUUUGGGGCAAAAAUGUGAUUUUAGGAAAAUAUAGGGCCAAAAUGUAAUUUCUAGAAAGUUUAGGGGCCAACUAUAAUUUACAAAAUAUUAGGGGUCAAGAUGUAAAUUUAGAAAAAGUUGGGGGUCAAAAAAUAAUUUUUGAAAAGUUUGGAGGCCAAAAUGUAAUUUUUAUUUUUUGUAUUUUUUUUAUUUUUAUUUUUUUUUCAAAAUUUUAUUAUGACUAUUUUAUUAAUAUUUAAAACAAAAAUUAAAAACGGACUAAAGCAAUUCCAAAAUUAAAUCCUAAUGGGCUCGAUCAGUGGGCCCAUACGAGACCGACCCGGCCCAAAAUUCAAACCGGGCAAAAUUCAGUGAUUACAGUUAUUUUAUUAUCUUAAUUAUUUUUCAAAAUUAAUAGAAUUUUAUUAUAAAUUAGGGCAGUUCUCAUUUAAUUAAAAAGUUUAUAUAUAUUAAAAUUAUAAAAAUAUAUUAUUUAGUAAAUUAAAAAAUAAACAAAUACAUAGUUUAAUUAACAGUAAUAUUGUAUUUUCUCCAUUAUGUGGUAUUUUCCCUAUAAAUACAUAGUUUUAGGUUUAUACCUAGAGUUAGCCACCUUAGUAUUAUUUUGCUUUAGUGUUUUCUUUUGUCCAUGAAUUUCUAAAUCAUCUUUUCUAGUCAAAGGGAUUUUGAACUUUGAUUGUAAUAGUUUGUAAGAUCUAAUUGCUCUUCAUCUAUUCUUUGUUCUUUAGCGCUUGCAUGUGUUCUAUUUUAAUUACAAAUAUUCAAGUUUGUUGGAUAUUGGUACCAUAUUCAAUUGCUUAGAACAUAGUGACAAAUAACAUGAUUACAUAUAAACUAUGUAUGCAAUUCAUGUUAUGUGGAUACCCGAUUUAAUCUAAAUGAACCCCGUUGGUGUGUGUUAGUUGGUCAGAAAUAGGUUUCUCUCAUUCUUAAUACUACCUAUAAUUAAGCUAAAUCCUAGGCACGAAGUUAUAGGGCCUCUUGGUUAUCGAAAGGUAAUGAGAGAUUGUUUAUAUGGUUCUUAAUGCUAGGUGCGACAUGGGCAACUAUAACUAAUUUAUUAAAAACACUAAAAUUAUAUUUGCAUCAUUGAUCAAACUCAUGAAUCAAAAUUGAGAUUUUACCUUAGUUAGACUCUCAUUAUAUUGAUUUUGCUAUAUUUUAUUUUGCAAUCUUUUUCUUUUACAAAGUUUUAAUUUUAAUUUUAAAAAUCCUUAUUUUUAUUUUACUUGUUUUUUUAAAGAAUUAGAACAAUCACUAGUCUUUGUGGAUAUGGCUCUACUCACAGUCAUCUACAAAUUUAUUUUUUUAGUAAGAAUUUAUUUUUCUAGGUCACAACAACCAUACAACUUUUGACACCAUUGUUGGGGAUUGGUGUCAAUAAUUUUAUUUCCUUUUAAAUUCAAAUAAGAAUUUUCAAGAAGAGUGAAUGAGGUAAAUAUUUCUUUUUCCUAAUAAUCAUUGAGACCAAACGAUAACAUUAAUGAUGACCUUGAUAUUUGUGGGUGUCGAAAUAUCCCUUAAAAAAAUGUAUUUCAAAUUUUAACUUUCCUGAAAACAUAUAUUAUAAAUAAUAAAAUAUCUAAUAACAUAGUAAAAAAAAUCCAAGUUUUGGUUCCCCUAUAAUCGAUGGCCCAGUUUGCCUUUAACGAGCACUACACCAAAACAGGCUUUUAGCGGCGUUUGAAUAAAAAAUGCCUCUAAAGAUCGAGCAUUAGCGACUCUUUUCGGAAAACGCCGCUAAAUAUCGAACUUUAACAUCGCUUUAUGGAAAACGCCGCUAAAUAUAAGCAUUAGCGGCGUUUUCUAAAAAGCGCCGCAAAAAACCUAUGCUUUCGGGGUUUUAGCGGCGUUUUUAAUGAAGCGCUGCUAAUGCUCAGGGCUUUAGCGGCAUGUUUUGGGAAGCGCCGCUAAUGCUUAGGGCUUUAGCGGCGUUUUUGAGAAAGCGCCGCUAAUACUCUAUUUUUAGCGGCGUUUUCUAAAAUGCGCUGCUAAUGCUCAGGGAUUUAAAAUAAUCUAAAAUAUUUUUUAAAAAUGGAAAAAUUAAAAUACUAUAAGUUCUUUUAAACAGAAUAUAUGGCAUAACCUAUAAUAUGGAAUAAAAGGCGGCAUCACGUGUUAAUUUAAUUUAAUUAUUAUUUAAAAAUUUAUAUAAAUAAAAUAGACAUAAUGAUUUAUUUAUCCUUCUAACUUUACAAAAAAACCAUUACAACCCUUUAUUUAAUUUUUAUCUUUUUAACCCUUAAAUUUAUAUUAUUUAUUAAAUCAGCUCAAAAUAGAUGGGAAAAUUAUUCUUUAUUAACUUUACUAAACAUGGAAGCCAAAGGCCCUGAAAUGAAAACAAUUUUCACCAAAGCGUUUUUAUAACUUAUACACUUUUAAAUUAAUAAUGAUAAAAUUACAUGUUAACCCCCUAAAAAUGAUAAAAAUUUUAUUUAAUCCUUAUAAAAAUAUAAUUAAAAUGGUAAAAUUACAUUUUUAACUAUCCUAAAAUAUACAAUUUAAUUCCAUCUCCUCCAAAAAAUAAAAAUAAAAGAAAAACAUUACCGUUAACCCAGUUCAUAGGAGGCUGAAAGUGAUACCCGGUUCGAUGAAGUUGUUUUACAGUAAAUGCAGUUUUAGAUUAUAAAUGUGGAUGAAUCUUAUGAAAUGCUUCAACGAUGCCAUUCUUACUUAUUAUCUCACAAAAACACCCAAUUAUUAAAUAAACUAACAAAAUAUUUUUUGUAAACUCCAUUGAAAUUUCGAAAGCCGAAUGUUGAAACAGGAUGGUGAUUCAUUUAUAUAGGACUGAAAUUUAACAAUUUCAAAAAAAAAAUAUAUAUUUUAAAAUGUUUAGAUAAAAUAGUUUUUUAUUUGAAUUUACCAGUAAUUUAUAAUAUCAACAUUAAAUCUACAAUUCUUGAUUUUCUUUUUUUAAAAUAAUUAAAAUUUUAUUCUUAUAGUAUUUAAAUAAUUAGGGAUUAUGAAUUGUGGUUUAUGGUUUAAGGGUUGGGGUUUAAGGUUUAGGGGUUAGGGGUUAGGGGUUUAGGGGUUAGUGCUUGCUGAUUUUUUUUAUUGAUCUUCUACCCCUUGUACCUGGAUCCGACCUGACCUGGAUUGUUCCUUGUGUUCUUUUUCUGCUUUCUCAGCAGGGAGAUCCCAUUCUGCAGACAAAGAAGAACACAAAAGAUCAAAGGUAAUUUUAUUUCAAUUUGAUCCAUUUUUCUUGGUUAUCUUUUCCGUGUUUUUUUAUUUGUAAUUUGUUAUGUUUUCUGGGUUUUGCUUAUAAUGUCUGCAUUAAUAUUCAUUUCACAUUUUUUGUUUGUAUUUGCUUUUGUUUCUUUUUCCCAUCACAAUCAAAGUUCUAAACUAAUUUUUUCCCUGUAAUUUCAUUUUUAGAUUCAAAGUUUCUUUUUUUUUUUAAAUUUUUUUAUUAAUAGCAUUGACUUUUAAUAUUUAUUUUGAUAGUUUUUUUGGGGGAAGUGUGGGGGGGGGGGUCAGCAUAUUUGCUUUUGAACAUAAGAUUGAUUCUGCCUGUGUUGUGUAUUUGCCAAAUUCCAGUCCUGGAUUCAAAGUUUGUAUGUGUUUCUUACCAUUUUCUAAGAAAUAAAAAAUAUGUUAUUAAUAUUGUCUUUGUUAAGUCUUUUUCACAUAAUAUUCUUUGAAGUUUGAACAUUGUUUUGCUCCUUUUCAUUAUGGAAAAACAAAUCUUUUUUUUCCAAUUUAGUCUUUGUUUUUAAUUAUUUUAUAUAAUUAAAUUACUCAAAGUUUAUUUCCCUUUUUUUGAUCCAAACUUUUCUUUUGUACAAAAUUACUCUCUUUCUUAACUUUUUAUAUUAUAUAUAUGUUUUAUAAUAUUAGCUUUAGCUCUCAGUUUUCACUUUCACAUUGAGUUAUUUGAGCAUUUUUCAUAUUUCUUGCUAAUGUGGGACAGAUUUCAUUUUCUUAAAAGGAAAAAAAUUAUGUUGUUUUUGUUGCCUCAAUCCUCUUUAUUUGUCUCUUUAACCUCAUUGGAUAUGGAGUCUAUGUUGUCUUUUCUUUUCAGUUUUUCCAUUUUAGAUUUAUAGGUAAACUUCAAAGUGGUUCUUCUUCAAGUUAAAACAGUGGGGUUUUUUACAUUGAUCAUCUUAAGUUUUCAGAAAAUAUUUUUCCUGUUGAUUUGGAUUUUUUAAGGUUAUUUUUGUCUUUCCUUCCUAAAAUACUUUUUUUUGGAUGAUUUAAUGAAUAUGGCAGGAUUAAGCUUUAGAAAUCCAUGAUUAACUGAGGACUCUAUAUUGGGUCCUCAGUUCAGUUGUUUAAAAUCUAUAUAUUUUUUUAUAAUAUGCUAUGUUAUUCGGACUUGGAUAUGUCCUUGGAGGAUCAUAUCCCGGUACUUUUGUUUGCAUAUGUGCUGGACACAGAUGCUUUAAAUAAAAUGAAGAGUGCUUGCUGUCAACUAGGAGUUUUGAUGAUUAUGAUCAUGAUUGUUUCAUAUAUAUAUAUAUAUAUGCUCUAUUUUUCACCUAUAGUAACAUUAAUUUUGUAAAGAUAUUUUCUUCAAUUCUGAAACUGCUUUAAUAUCUCUUAUCUUAAAAGUUUUGUUUAUCUUGGUAAACUUAAUUUUGCAGCUGCUACUGGAUUUUUUGAGCUUCUCUGCUUCUAGCUUUUCAUCUAUGGCCAGAUACUCAGUUGUGACUGAUAAGGUCUCAAUAGAGGUUGUUGAAGAAUUCAUUCUAGUACAGUUGAAUCUGACAAAAGGCACAAUAUCUGAAAUUAAGGUACCUAAUUCUUUUUUUUCCUUCUUAGCCAUUAAUCAUUAUUGAGUGUUGACAUGGGGGAUCUAUGCUACUAUAUCUAUGUUACUCUAACUCAUCAUUUUUUCUGAAGUGCUCAUGUUUGACACUUGUGUUUGAUGCAUAUUUGGACAUGGAUACAUGAACAUGAUCCUCCAAAUAUAUGAAAAUCCUUAAAAAAGUUGAGCAUACCUAUGUGGGAUAUAUACCUUAUCUGAAAAUAAAGGUUAUGCCUUUUUAAAAACCUGUUUAAUACAUUAUAUAAAUUUCUUCUUAAAAGUUUGUUAGGGCUGAAGCAUGCAUUAGUCUACUAUAAUUUGCUGCAUAAAUGGAAAUUAGCUAGGUGUCCACUGCACAACCUUCAAUUAGACUUUACAUAAAAAAAUUCAUUAUUCAAGGCAAACUGCCUGGCUUGCUGAAAAAUGAUAGUUACAAACUGCCUUCAUUUCUCCCAUAAAGAUCUGCCGAAAUAUGUUUCAUCUAACAAGAUUUUGAUUGACAGCACAUUCAUUUGACAGGAUAAUUUGGAAACCCUGUUGCAAGAGGACAUUCAGGCUGAUCUAGUCUGCUGCUUGCAGCAUUUGCAGGUAUUUUGUGUAGUUUAAGUUGUGAACAUUGGGUUUUGAUUUGUCAUGUGAACAAAUAUGAUGAAUCUGAAGUGCAUUUCUAUUCUUCUAUUUGCAGUUAAGAUUUGAAAUUGAAGACAAAGCAAGGAGACCUCUAAGUAAUGUGUCAUUUUUGUUGAAACCAGGGGGUUAUUUUUUCGGUAUUACUCCUGAAAAAGUGAUUGCCAAAAACUGUUGUUUCUGGAUUUAUGUAUUUUCCUUUUUUUUUCUUGUGAUUACUGCUGCACCUGUUUCUGGGAGGUGAUUGUGUAAACAUUUUAGUGUGCUUUAAUUAUUGUAAGAAUAUUAAAUUUUAACAUUGUUAAUUUUAAUAUUAUUGUAAGAAUAUUUUGAAUUAUAAUUCAGUUAUCAAUUAAUAUCAUAUAUCUUUCAUUGAAUUUGAAGUAUCAUUUAAAUUUACUGUUUUUGGUUGGAUUUUAUGUUACAAGAAGAUUUGUAUAUGGAUGAAAAUCGGCAAAUUUGUCAAAAUUAGUGGCGUUUUCCCAUAAACGCCGCUAAAGUACGUACUUUUAGUAGCGUUUGUGAUGAAAGCGCCGUUAAAGAUAAUGUUCUCUAGCGGCGUUUGUGGGUCAAGCGUCGCUAAAGGUCAUGUUCUUUAGCGGCGUUUGUGUGUAAAGCGCCGCUAAAGCUCAUGUUCUUUAGCAGCGUUUGUGGGUAAAGCGCCAUUAAAGGACAUGUUCUUUAGCGGCGUUUGUAGCUAAAGCGCCGCUAAAGGUUAUGUUCUUUAGUGCGUUUGUGGCUAAAGCGCCGCUAAAGAUUAAGUUCUUUAGCGGUGUUUUUUUCACAUAAACGCCGCAAAAGUUAGCGACGUUCUCAAUAGCGGCAUUUUUUGCGGCGCUUUUGUGUAGUGGAGGAUGAUGAGGAAAGUCUUGACGAUGUUGUGGAUAGCUCGGUUCAAGUUUAGGGUGCUUCUAAUAGUGCUAAUGUUUCUUCUAUUGUUCCAUCGACUGGGAAUCCUUCUUCUAUUAGUGUAGCUGCUGAUACAGUUACCUCUACUUCAAUAAGAGAUGAGACAAUACAGAUUGCCUGGGUCAUGUUUAGUCUUUUUGUAAAACUUUGGUAUUUAAUGCAAACUUUAUCCCUUAUUUGGAUUCCGUGUUUAUGUUAUGCAUCCUUGCAUUUCUUUAUCAACUUAUUGUAUUGAUCUUGUGUAGCUUUAUCAAGCUUUUAUUUUUACUACUUGGAAGAUGUAGGGAAUUUUAUUCUUUCCUUAUUUGUUGUAUUGUGCUUUUAGAUUAACUUAGUGAGAAGUACCCUUGGCUAAGUCUUUCAGAAGGCUAGUAGUUUUAUUUGCUAUUAAUUUAACGGGCAGUAUCCUUGGAGGGUCUGUGCUAAAUUAAUGGGCAGUAUCCUUUUUUAGUUGCAAUGUGACACCUCACACUCGAUUCGGACGACGAAUUUAUAUAUAAAACAUCACAUUCAUUAUCGAAACAACUCAAACAAACAAGAAACUGACGUCAAAGCCAAAUCAAGAAGCAUAGCACAUAAUUCAUAAUUUCCAAAACGCUAAUAAUUAAUUUGUAACUUUUUUUAAUAUAGUUAAUUUAAUGACUAAUGCCGUAAUUAGUCUCACUUAAAAAGAGCCCACCAUUUGACUUGACGCAGAGGUCAAGAGAUAUCUCUAAAAAUGGGAAGCAAUAUAUGAUGUUUAUGGUUGAUAUUGUUCUAUGUGAGGUGUUCAAAUGGUUGAUUGAUCAGUUAACUAAAUCGAACUAGUAUUAAUUGAAUUAAUCUAACUUUUUAAUCUUUAACUGUUAAUUAAAUCGAUUUUUUUUCAAAAAGAUUAACCGAACAAAAAAUAUUUCAAUUAAUUCAAUUGGUUAACCAAAAUUUAUAUAUAUUUUUUGUUUAAAAUGAAUAUAAAACAUAUAAAAAAAUUGAUAAUGUUCAUUUGACUGAAUUAACCUAAUUAAUCAAAUUAGUAAUAGCCUAAUACAUAUGACAUAUAAUAUUAUUUAUUAAGUUCAGUUAAUUCGGUUAAUUACUCGAUUUCGAACUGAAUUAACCAUUAACUGAAAUUCCAAAAAUCAUUUAAUCGAUUUUUAACCAAAUUAAAUCAGUUAACUGAUCAAUUAACCGAAUUAAAUCAAUUUAAUCAAUUAAUUUAAUUUUAACCGAAACUUAAACACCUUUUUUAACUCUAUGAAUGCCAAAAUCCAUAUAUAGACUUAUUUCGGAUGUUAGAAUUUUCCACCAAAAACCAAGUCUUUGUGGAAUUAAAGUUUUGUUGCUAAGACCCACUGGAUUUUUCAUAACCACUAUAAUUAGAUUAGAACUAUCUCUCCGCGUAUGCUCGAGUUUAAAAUUUUUUAAUUAAAUUUUAUUAAUCUAUUUUUUAAUUAUUAUAAUAUUAACAUAGAAAUUAAAAUUGUGAUUAUUGUUUAUAAUAGAAUAUAAAGUCUUAAAUUAUAAUGAUAAAAUCAUGGAGAAGAUAUUUUAAUUUAAAAAAUGUAUAAAAUUUAUAUAUUAUCUCUUCAAUAAUUUAAAUUAUAAUGAUAAUUUUUAUAUAUUAAAAUUAAUAUAUUAUCUCUUUUACAAUUACAUAAAAAAUUAUAUUAAUAUAUAAAAAUGAUAAAUUAAAAGAAAUUCUCUUUUAAUUGUUUGCCAUUAGAUAUCUAGUGAACUGAUGCCACUAAUUUAACUCUCAAAAAAUGGAAGUUUGAGAAAGCUAAAGGUUGUUAAAUUAGACAAAAAGAAACAAGAAGCCAUGCCAAUAAUUCCGUUAACAAUUUAACCGGACCAAAGUAGAACUAAAUGAUAACAUUAAUGAUGAAAUUAAAAGUUUUUUGUAGUUCAAUGACAAAACAAAAAUACGCUAAUAAUUGAGCCAUUCAUUGUGCAAUUUAGACUUAAUUUAUUUUUGGAAGAAAUUGUAUUUAUGUGAUAAUAAUAAAUUUUAAAAAAAUAUUUAUUUUGUCAAAAAUUUGUAAUUAUAAUCAUUUAAAUAUAUAUAAAAAAGUAUCCAACAAAUAUAUCAAAUUAUUGCAAUAAAAGGAUGAAGAAAUCAUAAUAUAACAAGACACCAAUUAGAAAUAACUUCAUUUCAAAUAUAAAUGAAAUUUAAUAAUGAAACAAAUUUUAUUAAAGGCAAGGACUAAAUUAAAAAAAUUAAAAUCAAUUAUAGACUAAGGGUGAGUUUGGAUGGGCGGUGUGUUUACCUGUGGUUAGAGUAAAAACAGCGGUGGUGGUGAGAUUAGAUACUGUAGCGAUACUGUAGCGUGAGACAAAAAAUAAGUUAAACGCACCGCACCGCACCCAAUCGCCCAUCCAAACUCACUCUAAGAUAUGAAUAUAUAAAUAGUGAAAAGCGUAAUCAUAAACUUUUAAAAUAAAAAUAUUCUAGAAAGCAAUUAUUUCUAAAAAGUAAAAAUCAUCCACCCUCUUUUGUUUAUUAUACUUUUAUAUUGAAUAUACUAUGUCUUUUUACUUGCUGAAAAGGUUACAAAGUUAUCAUAAAUUUCCUAAAAUCUUAUAGCACUUUUCCAAAGAUCCAAUACAGCAUGAUACAAUAGCUGAAUUAUACCAUUAAUUAUUAAAUUAUAGAUAAUCAAACAAGAUUAUAAUUUAGUCAUUAAUAUUUUCAAAAUUAUUUUUAUGGUCACCUGAUUAAGUGGCACUUUUUUUUGUUAGUAUGAUAAUAAUUUUAUUCUUUGAUUUUUCUAUUAAUUUGACUCUGAUUCUAAAUAAAAAUUAUAAAUAAAUAAAUAAAAAGACAAUUUCAAAAAUAGUGGUAAUCAAAUUGUAACGUUUUUAGUUUAAUGUCAAAAACAAAAAUUUAUCUAUAAUUAAUUUAACGCAUAUAUACCCUUUAUUUUUUGAAAGGAAAUCUUACUUAAAAAUAUCCCACCACUUGACUUACACACAAGUCAAGUAAGGAAAGCAAUAUUUGAUGUUUACUGUUGAUAUUAUUUUAUGAAUGCCAAAAUCCAUAUAUAGACUUAUUUCGAGUGUUUGAAUUUUCCACCAAAAACGAAGUCGCUGUUGAAUUAAAAUUUUGGUGCUAAGACCCACUGGAUUUUUCACAACCACUUUUAUUAGACGAUAAUUAUCUCUUCACGUAUGCUGGGGUUUAAAAAUUUUUAAUUAAUAAAUAAACAGAGAUAAUAAAGAACAAAGAAUAUGAGAGUUAACAAAAGAGAGUGUGUGUUUUAUUGAUCAAUCAGAAUAUUUACAAAACUUUUUCAAAAUCUUUAUUUAUAGGUAUAAAAAGUAUAAAUGAAGUAGAGAUCUCCGGAUGACUAUUAAAAUUUAAAGUACAUCAAAACUUUUCUCGGUUUUAAUGGAUAUCCGUUUAAUAAUAUAUCCAAAACAUUUAUUUAUUUUUAAAAAAUAUUAUAAUAUUAACAUAGAAAUUAUAUUUGUGAUUAUUGUUUAUAAUAUAAUAUAAUAUAAAUGAUAACAUCAUGGAUAAAAAUAUUUUAAUUUAAAAAUUGUAUAAAAUUUAUAUAUUAUCUCUUCAAUAAUUUAAAUUAUAAUGAUAAUUUUUAUAUAUUAAAUUUAAUAUAUUUAAUCUUCCUUUAAACGAAACAAAUUACUUGUUGAGUUAUUGUAUUUAUUCUAUGAAUUAAUUUUAAAUUUUAUUUGUUAAUCUUCACAAAAUUAUUAGACACUUUGAGCAGUUUAGAAAAUCAUUUAAAAGUAGAGAAAUUCUAUUGAAGAAUGAUAUUUUUGAUUAUUGAAAAUAUUUGCUUAUUGAAGAAUGAUAUUUUUGAUUAUUGAAAAUAUCUGCUUAUUAUCAGACGGAUGAUAUUUUAAAAACUCAAACUAAUAAAACAAUAAUUUGAAACAGUGAAGAAACUUAUAGAAAGGGUGUAGCAAGAGAGCUAGAGGGUUGACACCAGAAGUCAAGAGAUAUCUCCAUAAUGGUCACUUGUGUUGAGUGGUCUGGGGUGAUUGAAUUUUGUACAUUGAAAACGAAGGUAGAGGACAAUUGCUUUCUUGUCACUAUUGCUACAAAUGCCAUUGAAUUUCCACAAGAAAUUUAUCCCAUAUUUAGUUAAGGGAACCUCACUUGACUUGACACGUGACACAAGUCAAGAUAUAUCUCUGAAUGUAAGUAUUAUAGAUUUUUAUUUUUUUUCUAUUAUAUCAAGUAAAUUUUUUAUAUUUAUGUCAUGUAAUUAUAUUAUGCAGUAAAACGUACAAGUCUAAUUCAUAAUGACUUUCGAUAUUGCCUCACGUAUCAUCAUGCCUAUGCUAUUUUUGUAUUAUCCUUGUUUUGAAGGCUAUAUAUAUUUAUAUAAAUUUUGUUUUAGGUAGAUUUUAACAUGUUUUUUCUUCAUCUCAAGUACAUUUUUUUUUAUUUUUUUUUUCAUAUUUUAGUUAUUGAAUGUUGGGCUUAAAAUAUUAUAAACAUUCCUAAUUAUAUAUUAAUUUUACAUUAAGUUUUAACAGAUAAAUUUAGCAUUAUUAUAUUAUACUAUAAUAAAUUUCUUAGGUCAAAAUUAUCUUUGAUUUUUUAUCCAAUUAGAUAUUCCUACACCUUUUUUUUUAUUUCUAAUAACAAAUUCAAAAUUAUCUAUAUCUAUCUAUAGUACAAACUGGCUCUUAAGAGAGUUUUAAGAGUAAAUGGGUUGAUAAUAGUGUUUUUCAAUUUUAUACAUAUUCACAAUUUUUAUCUUUAAAGGUGUCAAGGUUCGUUCAUUUAUUUUCAUAUAAUUAUGUUCAUUUAUCUUCAUACCAGGCUUUCUUGCAGGCUUACAAUCUACUCUAGCUUAUUAUUACUUUAAUGCAAGCUGCAGGACAGGAUUAUGAGUGUAACACCCUAAAUUCGGCCUAGACGUUAUAGUCGUAUCUGGUAAUGUCACACGAUAGUGUUUUUGAAACUUCAUUGUUACGAUGAAAACAUUCCAUAUUUUUUAUUUUAUUUUUUAUUUUAGUAAACCUUUGUUAGAACUUAGGAAGUCGUCUUUACUCAUUUAAAACAUUUUUUUUGAAACAUCCCUCGUUAUAAAUUCAUAAAGUAAAAUAAAUAAAUAAAAACCCAAAUUUAAAACCAAAGUCCCAGAGGGUCCUUAAAUUACAACCCAAAUAAUCAAUAAUAAUCAAAUCGUAAAUCGUAAAUUGAAAACCAUGAAGUCCAAAAAUUACUAUGGUCACCGCUGAGUCCUCCAUCACACCUAUUCAUCUAGGUCUGGGGAUUACCUGUGCACAGUAAACAAAAAGGCGAGUUUAUGUAAACUUAGUGUGUAAUCCCAUAGAAACAAACAAACAAUCAAUAUUCACAGUGCACAGUUGAAUAGUCUUGGGCCUAAGCCCUUUUCAGUAUCAGUGACAGUUUGGGCCUUAGCCUAUCUCAAUACAAUGUCAAAAAUGCAAUAGGACCUUAGCCCAUUACAGUAUUAGUAGCAGUAACAGUUAUGCAGUAGUAAAAUCCUACCUAACCAGCCUCUACACACCAUCUCCGUCCAACCCUACACUCCAUAUAGGGAUAUAAUCAACUCACUCAUCUCUACACUCUAAGUAGUACCGAAUGAGGCACAAAACAGUAGUUUGCAACUGAGCUGCCAGUAAAUUUGGCUAAAAGCCUUUCAGUACACUUCUUCCGAAUAACAACCCCCAAUCCAAUGCAAUGCAACAUACAAUGGAUGACAUGCUAUUAUGCAAUUUCAGUACAUAUAUUCAAUUCAAAUAUUUUCAUACUCAGUACAGAUAUCAUUCAGUCAAUUUCACACAUUUAGGGAUCUAAGUAGCGUUUACCGACCCUACAAUAGGUUCACAGUCGACUUGGGUGACCCGUGCAACCUUAGAAACAUUUCGAUGAAAAUGGGCUCACAUACCUAUGUGAUCUGCCCCUGUGGGCCCACAGGCCUGUGUAGCCCACUCGGCCCAAAUUGGCCUUGGUCGUGUGAUCUAUUUUUAAUGUAACCCAUGCUAGCUAAAUAUUCAUAUAUGUUUUCACUAUUUACUUAUAUGUUCAUUCAAAGUUGUCUACUUGAGUCAUUGUCACUAAAUUAUUUAUAUCUUGAGUUACGAAAAUCCAAAUUAAGACCCGCUUGAUGUUUUUGAAACUAGACUCAAAUACCUUUCUACCAUAAAAUUUUCAGAAUUUAUAGUUUAUCAAAUAAGUACAUUAAAAUCUUCAAAUUUAUCCCAAUUCUGCUAUUUGACAGCUUCAACUUUUUCUUACUUAAAAUUAUUUAUCUCUUAGUACGGAAUUUGGAUGAUGUUUCUAUUUGUUUCUCUUGAAAAUAGACUCAUUAACGAUUUAAACAUAUAAAUUUAAGCCCUUAUUUAUUGUUUUUCAAUUUUUGAUGAUUUUCCAAAGUCAAAACAGGGGAACCCGAAAUUAUUCUAACAUUGUCUCACAAAAUUUAUUAUAUCUCAUAAUUUACAAUUCAAUUGCUUACAUUGUUUCUUCCAUGAAAAACUUAAUAAAAUUUAAUUUCUAAUUUUAUUCAACCUCUAACUCAAUUUCCACUUAUCUUGAUGAUUUUUCAAAGUUAGACUACUACUGUUGUUCAAAACUAUUUUAGUGCAAAAUGUUGAUUUCCAAGUUUAUAACACCCUUAUUUCCUUUCUCUAUAAGUUUUCACAUUAUUUUCCCUUAUUUCUCUUAUUUCUCGAUAGCAAGCAAUUUCGACUUUUCGCCGAAUCCUAUUUUCUGCGUUUCGGGUACACACCUGGUAUCGUUUUGCUGCAAAUACGCUCUCAGGCACUCCAAGACUUAAAAAUCGAUAAUUAGAGCCCAAUUUAGAUCACUAACGAAAACUCAAAACUAAAAAUCAUCUACAUCAAAAUCAAUAGCAAACCUAAACACUUACCGACAACGAACUAAAAUUUCUAACGCUCAAUUUGCUUGUGAAGCCGCAACUGAUUUCUGAUUUUCGCCUAAACCAAGAGAGCCAAAACAAUCCUUUUUAGGAACUAGCUAAGAAACGAUAAAAUAGAGACAAUUAGAUACUUACAGAACCAGUGUAUACAAUUGCUAGUUGGAAAAUAGGCUAGUAAAAAAAUCAAAUAGAGAGGGUGGGCUAGGGAACAAAAAUUUGGCAAAGCAAAGAAGAAGAGGACGGUAGAAAAAUUGGGGAAAAAAAGAGAAUGCCGAAAUUUAGGAAAAAUAAAAACCAAAUAGAAACUUAGAUGAUAUUAAUAACUACCCUACAUCCCUAAAUUUUCUCCCACCAAUCCUACUAACCUACAACCACUCCAGAAUUCCACUCUGCCGAAAUACUUGUCCAUCAUUGCGUAAAAAUAACGCCUAUGCUCCAGCAUAGAUUCGAACUCAGGACCUCAUAUAAUUAAACACUCUACUUAACCACUAGACCAGCAGACCCAUUUUGUUAUUUAAUUACCAACUAUUAAACUUAAGCUUUUUAGGCCAGGUUAAGGCUUUAUUUAUAAAAAUACUAAUAUUUGCCCAAGUCAUGGCUUGAACUUGGGACCUCCCACACACUUCCAAAACACUUACCCAUUGAAGCAGACAAGUACUUAUAUCACAAAAACAAGAAUUAAAAAUUUUGGUGCAUUAUAAUUCUACCCCCAAGAGAAAAUUUCAUCCUCGAAAUUUACCUGAUCAGAACGAAUGAGGAUGCUGCUGACACAUCGCAUCCUCAAGCUCCCACGUUGCCUCCUUAGUAUUAUGGUUACACCACAGAAUCUUCACCAGAGGGAUAGACUUCCUCCUCAAAACCUUUACGUCUCAAUCCAUAAUCUGAACCGGCUCCUCCUCAAAGGUUAAAUCUGGCCUAACCUCAAUCUACUCUAUUGGAACAAUAUGUGUAGGAUUAGAGAGGUAGCACCUCAACAUAGAAACGUGAAACACGUCAUGAAUUUGAUCCAACUCUAGAGACAGCUCCAAUUGAUAAGCGAUCGGUCCCACUCGUUUCAAAAACCUAGAGCUCAACUUGCUCUUACGACCAAACCUCAGACUCUUCUUCAUUGCAAAACCUUGAGGAACAUGAAGUCCCCCACGGAAUACUCAAUCUCUUGACGCUUUAGAUCCGCAUAGGAUUUUUAUCUGUCUGAUGGCAUUUUCAGACGAUCCCGAAUCAGUCUAACCUUAUCUUUAGUCUCCAAUACUAACUCAGGAUCCAGAACACGUCGUUUGCCCAACUCAGUCUAACAUAAAGGAGUGCGACACUUAUGACCAUACAAUGCCUCGUAAGGUGUCAUCUAGAUGCUAGACUGAAAACUGUUAUAAUAGGUGAACUCCGCCAGUGGCAGAUAAUCUUUCAAACUACCUUAAAAAUCAAUAGCACAGCUCUUGAAUUUGAGCCUUAAGCUCCACAAGCUCCUUCCGUGCCUUUCGAUAGGGAGCGAUGGACACCAGAGCUGUACCUGGAAGUAGCUCAAUCCCAAAUUCCAACUCGUGAUUCGGAGGUAACCCAAGUAGCUCUUAAAAAAAGACGUCUAAAAAAUAUUUUACCGUUUCAAUAUCCUUAAUUGUAGAAUCCUUAGAAUCCAAAACACUUACGGAAGCUAAGAAUGCCUCACAUCCCUUAUGAACUAUUUUCUCUGCCACCAGUAUAGAGAUCACAUUAGAUAAGUAAUUCUGGCAUUCUCCAAUCAUGACUACCUCUUUAUCCUUCUUAGUCCUUAGUACGACCCUCUUAGUCGCACAGUCUAAGCUAACACGAUGCUUGACCAAUCAGUCCAUCCCUAGAAUUAGGUCAAACUCCCCAAAUAGAAGCUCCAUCAAAUCAGCCAAGAAGAUUGCCCCUUGUACCUCUAAAGGAAUGUCCUUAUACAGUUUACUAACUCUAACAGAUUGCCUUAAUGGGAUCAGUACCGUAACUUCACUCGUAGUGCUCUCAACUGGAAUUGUUGACACCAUUUUUGGAUUAAAAACGGGGUCGACUUGGGUUUUGAAAAUGAAAAUGAAUAGAGGAGUCGCCACCAAUCCUUUUUGAUGAGGUGCGAUCGGGUCACCUCGAAUUAAUCAUUUUAAUAAAAGUUAAGAUUUACUAAAACGAUAAUUUUUUUUGGUCUACGAAAAUCAGAAAAUGAGUUCGGGAGUCGGUUACGCACGAGGAAGGAUUAGCACCCUCGAUACGCCCAAAAAUUGGUACCUAGUUGAUUAAUUAGUGUCUUAGUUUCGAAAAUUGAAAACUUAAAAUACUUUGAAAUACGAUCCAUCUCUUUGUAAAAAAAACUCAAAUAUUAAAGACCUUCUCAUCUCUAAGUGAUAAAAUAUCACAUCCAGUAAGUUAGGACACGACAUCUCGAGCUUUUGAGAGUGAGUUUGUCUUUAUUUAAAAUUCAUGCAUUUUAACUUUUUUUUAAAAAGGAUGUUCGGUUAUUUAGGGUAAACGAAGAAAGUCGAAACCCAGUAAGUUAGGGUACGUUUUCUCGAAUUUCCUAAAAACGAAAUAUUGCCUUAUUUUGAAUUUUUUUUUGAAUAAUAGCAAAUGCAACAUUUAGAUAGUGUGCAUUAUUUGUUUGGAUUAAAAUAAAACAAUUUAUUGGAUAAAUGCAACGAGACUUGAUUCAUGAAGCGAUGAUAUAAAAUAAAAAUAUAGUAAUAAGCCUAGAACAAUGAUACAUGAACACAACAUUAUAUGGAUGAAUCACAAUAAUGCAAAAAUACGAAAUAAACAAAUUAAAAUACACAAAGACAAUAAUCAUACAACAUUUAAAUAAUAACAUCGAUAGAUAAAAGACCAAUGAAUUAAAUAAUAAUUUUUUAAGAAAAUAAAUGGCAUAAAAUAAAUUAAAAUAAAUAAUAUAAAACAUUUUAAAAUGACAAUAAUAAGUUUGAAAUAAAUAAUGUGAAAAAGGAAAUUUAAAAAUCAAUAACACACUAAACGAUAAAAAAUAUGUUUAUACAAAAAAUUAAGAUAAACAGUAUGUAUAUAUAUGUAUAAAAGUAUGAAGUGAAUGAUAUAAAAAGAGCAAAUAAUAGCAGUAAAACAUUUCGGAAUAAAUAAAUAGGAUUCAAAAUAAGAUACGUAUAACAAUUUAAAAUAAGCAAUAUAUAAAUAAAUAGAGUUUAAAAUAAAUGAUGUAAAAAAAAAAAUUUAUUUAAAAAAAAGGAACAAUAAUAUACGAAAAAGAAAAAAAGAUAUAUGAAGAAUAGAAAAUAUUUAUAUAAUAUGUGCAAAGAAACCAAAAUAAAUAAUGUAUGUAGAGUAGUUUAGAAUAAACAAUAUAUGCAAAACAACUUACAACUUUGAGUAAUUGAUACAUAAAAUUGGUUAAAAUUAAUAAUAUAUGAAAAUGAACCGUAUAUAGAAUAUUUUAAACACAUACAAUAACAGUUCCUUUUUUAAGAAAAAGAAUUAAACAGGUGAAGGAUUAAUUCGAAAACAAUACAAAAUUCUAGGUAAAAAAUAAAAAGAUACUGCCAGGAUUAAAAUGAAGUGCACCUAAAAUCAUAAGGACCAAAUGGGAUAAAAACCAUAGCCCUAACAUGCGCAUGAGGCCCGACAGAUCAAAAGACUGAUUUAAAAAACAAGCAAAAUCUAACAACUAAAUUAAGAGAAAAAGCAAAGAUAAAAUAGGGCCUGAUCAAAGGACGCUAAAGAUGGAGGGACCUCGUGUGCAAAUAUCCUAAUAAUUGAGGAUACAUGAAUCCCCAUCCCCACCAACGGCACCGUUUUGUUUGGUGUUUAAAACACCCAUUCUCUUUAUUAUUUCAGCCCUAAUUUCAUAGAAGAAAAGAAAAAAAGAACAAAAAAAAUAGAAUGUUAAAGCUUCUCUCCCUCUCCUCUCUUACUGAAUCGUGAGCCCGUCGCCGUUGCAUCACCGCGCCCCCACCGUAUCGGUGGCUGGCGAUGCUCAAGGGUGGGUUUUUAGCCCCCGAUUCAACCAGGUAUGAAGGCUAAGAUUUUUUAACCAAGAAAACCCGAAAAUGAAGGGAUCUCCACCCGUUUUGGGUUCGGCUCCGACGACUGAGGGAACCGCCGACGGUGUGACCCAGGGGUUCGGGUAAGUUUUCUCCCCGUCUUCUUUUUAUUUCUUGUUCUUGAAGCUUAAAAGCAAAAUCAAAAAUGAAAAAAGAAAAAAAGAAAUCAGAAAUUGAAAAAACGUAACCUUUUUCUUUUGUUUUUGCUCUUUUAUUUCUGAAAUAUGCGUGUGUACAAGAAUGGGGAUCCCUUUUUUACAAUUGCUUUCGGCUUCUGUUUUUAGCCGAAUGAGAUAGAAUCCAAAAUCUCCCCCUUUUACAUUGAAAAUGAAUGGCUCUUUAUAGCCGAUUAUACAAAGUCCUAUUGUUGUUUUGUUACUGUUUGCUGCGUUUCUGUUUCUGUUGCUGCUUCCGUCAUGUUUGCAGGUGUUCAAGGAGGUGAUGGGAGCAGGUGGAGGAGAGAUGGCGAUGGGACGUGCGGCUGACAGAGAGCAGCGGCAAGUGGGAUACUAGGGUUUCAGUUUCUGAAACCCUAGUCUGAUGUGGGCUUGGCUGUUGGGCCAGGGUGCUGGGCCUUUUAUUUCUUUCUUGGGCCCGGGCAAAUGGGCCUGCAACAGCUGCCCCUCUUUGCUCGUUGUCGUGUAACGAUAACAGAGAAAAGACUAAGAAAGGCCCAUUUUGCCCGGUCUCGCCGAGUCUUGACUUGUUCUGGUACUUCUCCAUUUCAAGUAGUUUCAUUCCAGUCCACUAGGUCUUGUUGCUUCGAUCCAUUCCACUGCAUUUUAGAGAGAUGCGUCCUGUAGCCUUUAUCUUCUUCGUAGCAACUUCAGGGGGACGAGGUUUGUGGUUUUCAAUCUAUUCCACUGCAUCUUCAGGGAAAUAAGACUUGAUGCGACCUACUCUGCUGUAACCUCAGAGAGAUAAGAUCCUUUAUUUUAACCCACUCCACUGUAACUUCAGGGAGAUAGGAUAGUGUCUUCGAUCUGCUCCGCUGUAAUCUCGGGGAGAUAAGAUCUCUGGCUUCAAUCUGCUCCACUGUAACUUCAGGGGGACAAGAUCUGUAAUUUCCAAUCUAUUCCACUACAGGUCAGGGAUAUAGGACUUGUGGUUUGAAUCCGCUUCCUUACACUUGAAGAUAAGAUUUGCUGUCUUUGAUCUGCUCCGCUACGGCUUAGGGAGACAAAAUCUGUAACCUUUAACCAGCUCCAAUGCAACCAAUGGAGGCAAGGCUUUGUUUUUGAUCUGCUUUACUGUUAAUGCAGGAAGGCAAGAUCUGCUUCUUUAACUAGCUCCACUGCAAUCGAUGGAUGCAAGGCUUUGUUUUCGAUCUGCUUCGCUGUUAAUGUAGGACGGCAAGAUCUGCUUCUUUAACCAGCUCCACUACAACCGAGAGAGGCAAGGUUUGUGUCUUCGACCUGCUUCAAUGUCAAUGCAGGAAGGCAAGAUCUUUUGUCUUCAACCAGCUCUAUCACAACCGAAAGAGGCAAGGUUUGUGUCUUCGAUCUGCUUCGCUGUCAAUGCAGAAAGGCAAGAUCUUUUGUCUUCAACCAGCUCCAUCACAACCAAAGAGGCAAGGUUUGUGUCUUCGAUCUGCUUCGCUGUCAAUGCAGAAAGGCAAGAUCUUUUGUCUUCAACCAGCUCCAUCACAACCGAAAGAGGCAAGGUUUGUGACUUCAUUGAUCUGUCCCUUGGGGAACAUGACCUGUAUGUUCUAUUUUAUGAACCUAAUUGUGCCUAGUGAUUAGGAUGACAUAAUCAGAAUGAAUCAAAUGCUCCUAACUAGAUAUGUAUGAAUGACAUUUGAAUGAAUGCAAAAUGUCAUGAAGAUGAUUCCUUAAUGCUUAGGUUAACAUCACGUAAAAACUUAUUAAGGUUUUAUCACUGACGUACUACAACGCCUUUUUGCUCGUCUGGUAUAUCCAAAGAAACACUUAAUCUGGUUGCCCCCCACUGUAAACCUUAAAGUUUAAUCUAUUAGGGCACAAAAUUUGUACCAUCAUUCUCCCACUACAAUCCAAGGGUAGAAAUAUGGUUUUUCCUCAAUCCUCUUUUAUCACAAUUCAAGGAUAUAGGAUCUUAAUCUUUCUGGUCCCCCUUUACACCAUUUCCAGGGUGUCGUUUCAAAGACUCAUGCACAAAUGAAGGCUCUCUUCUCCGAGGUAACCUCUUCCUAUUGCCUAGUGAUCAUUGCUUGCUUGUUUAUUUAAGCUUUUUCAUUGACACGACAUCUUGUCAUUUUGUUCAAUCAAUGCAUUUGUCAACAAAAUCCAAAGAGAAAGUCUAAACUUAGACUCUUCCUUCUCAAAUUUCCAACCUUCAAAUUUGGCAUGUUCUAAACAAUAGUCCUGUUUUAGGUUCCUGUAUUAUUUAGAAACUUUUCAGAGUAAUAUGCAAAACUUCCUUUGUGAAAGUUUUAUUAGUCCAUUAAUCAUUAUUCCAAUGCUUGCAAAAAGGUCAUAACAAUGGAUAAGAAUAAAGUUGGUUCUGAGCAUAGCUCGAAAGAACAAAUUAUCGAAAAUAGUGAAGAAGGACAACAAAAGAAUUAAUUGGGAAUGUAUAUCUUGGAAAGAAAGAAAAAGUAUUCCAAGAACAACAAAUAACAUGAGAAUUGGGUGCCCCAGAUAUCACAGCUUGAACUUCUCUAUACAAACUUUCUGAAGACCCUUUUGAGUUGGACAUGUGUUUAGGAGAUCUACAAUGCUCUGUCGAUGCCCCCAAGAUGUCGCCUAUCCUUUCCUGUUGAUUCAGGCAUGGCAAGAUCAACACAUGCCUCAAUAUGAACAAAACUUGAGCAGCUUAUAUCACCCCAUGCCCCAUUUUGAUCAGUAUUUGAGCCGCCCUUUUCGGGUUUUCAGCUCAGAUCCCCUUUGGCCUAAGGCGCCCUUUGCGGGUUUUCCCCUUAGCCUCUCCAUUUUACUCUUUUCAUUUUCCAUUUUCAUUCUUCAUCUUUUUAUUUUUUUUGAACUUCAUUGUCUUACAAUACAGUGACAAACUGUGAUGUCUGAUUUUGAACCGAUUACAGCCCUCAACUAUCAUGUUGUCAUUCUAGUUCAAUACAUUUUCCCAUACCAUCGUCUCUAGAAUUCUAUAUUGGCAUAUGAUGACAUUGACGCAUGCUGUAGCCUUUAUCCAUUUGAUGAAGUAAUUAAUGAUCUCAAUAGUGAAGCAAUGCCCAUUAGAAGUCUUCGAUAAUGGUGAUGUCCAUGCCCCAUUUUGCUCAAAAUUUGAGUCACCCUUUUUGGGUUUUCCACUCAAAACCACUUUUGGUCACAAAGCGCCUUUUUGGUUUUUCGCCUUGGCCUCUCCUUUUCUUUUCUUUGCUUUUCGUAUUUUUAUUUUGACUUUGAUUGAUUUCUCUUUGUUUUUAUUUUUUAUUUUGAUUUUGAUUUUGAUUUUGUUUUUUUUUUUCAUUUUUCCUUGUUUUUUGAAUCGGAUCUAAACUCUUGGGAUUAGGCAAGUCUUUGUUAUCCCCUUCAAAGGAUCUUCUCUGAUAUCGAAUUUCCUUUAUAGAGCCUUUUAGGGCAAAACUACAACUGGAAACUUUUGAUCUUCUUCUUCCAUCGGGAUAAAAUCUAGCAACAUCUUGAAGGAAUAGAAACUCGACUUCAAACGGGCAAAGCUAUGCUGAAUUGACGAGAACGGUAUUGCCCCGGCAAAGAAUUGUAUCAUUCAUACGAGUUUGGACAUCGUGUUGUUGUGCAGAUUUCAUUAUCAGUGCUUAACCCAGCAUAUCCUGGUAUGAUCCUACAAAGACAUCUUUGAACAAGGUCUUGCUUCAUUUUUAAGGACAAGUCAAUUCCAAGCUCAGAAUUCCUAGUGAUCUGUCUAUCCUCCUACUCAACCAUCCUCAAUAAGUUUGGGGGUAAGCUACUAUCUAUGUCAUUUCCAAAGUCAUGAGAUCCAUCUAAGCACAUGCCUCACUCAAGUGGAAAAUCUGAGUUUGCAGCAGUUUCAUUCAUGUUAUUGAUAUCUGAGGACUCAUAAUAAGCACCGAGGAAUAUACAAAAGAAUGUAUAAAUUUAUGAAUGAUUAUUUACAAUAUGAUUAUGAAUGAAUGUUGUGGAAGAAAAUCCAACAGAAUGAAAUAAUCAAAAAUAAUUAUUAAAAAGAAUGAAAGAAUAUUGGCUCAAAAAGGAACGCAAAGAUGUAUUUUAUUAGAAUAAUAACGUUCAGACAUUAGCCUAUUUCACAAAGGAAUUUCUAUCGCUUCAGGCUAAAAACAGCAAAAAUGUUCUGAACAUUACUCUAAAUAAGCUCUAAAAACUACAGGGAUUUAUUCUACAAGCCCAUUGCUUGGAACACUCCAGGUUUAUAAGGGCAGACAUCUAACAAGAUCCCUUUUCAAUUAUGCCUUCAUAUAUGGUAUUGAUGUGAAAACUUCCCAACACUUUCUCAUAUAUUGCGUUCACCCCAUUGUUAAUCAUGAUUGGGUGGCGAAUUUUCUGCAUUAGAUGAGUCACCAAACUUGACGACACCCAUGUUGAUGAGCUUUUCAACCAGUUUCUUGAAGGCUAUGCAGUUCUCUAUGGAAUGCCCCGUAUUUCCCGCAUGAUAUUCGCAAUGUGCAUUCGCAUCGUGCCAUUUGGGGUACGGUGGCUGUGGAGGUUUUGAGUAGAAAGGAGAAACAAUGCGUGCAUCGAAUAACUUUUGAUACAGCUCAUUAUACGACAUCGGGAUUGGCGUGAACUGGAGGUUCUCAGUACCUUGUUUCACACUAAUUUCUUGUCUAGAUGAACCUUGCUGACUAGCAGUCACCUUUCUUGGCUGUGUAAUCGAUUUGUUGUAAGUGUUGACAUUGCUCACAUCAUUUUCCUUCUUCUUUAAGUCUGACCUUCUAUUAUUCUCCCCAGCAUCAAUCUUUCCACUUCUCACGGCACUUUCAAUCAUUUCACCGCUCAUGACUAUGUCUGAAAAACUCUUCGAAGCACUUCCUAACAUGUGGGUGAUGAACGGGGCCUUCAAUGUGUUGAUGAAGAGCAUCGUCAUUUCUUUCUCUAGGAGUGGCGGCUGAACUUGGAUAGCGACCUCCCUCCACCUUUGUGCGUAUUGCCUAAAACUUUCAUUAGGUUUUUUCUCCAUAUUUUGCAGGGUUAUUCUGUCAGGGACCAUAUAAGCUACAUGACUGUAUUGUUUCAUAAAGGCUUGUGCUAAAUCCCUCCAAGAACUAAUCUGGAUACGCGUCAAUUGAUUGUACCACUUAGACGCUGUCCCUGUGAGGCUAUCUUGAAAGCAGUGUAUGAGCAGUUGGUCGUUGUUGACGUAUCCGGCCAUACGCCUACAGAACAUAGUAAUAUGAGCUUCUGGGCAGCUGGUCCCAUUAUAUUUCUCGAAUUCCGGCAUCUUAAAUUUGUAAGGGAGCACCAAGUCCGGAACCAAGCUCAGAUCCUUUGCAUCUAUUCCAUAGCUUUCGAUGCUUUCUAUUGCCCUAAACUUCUCUUCUAUCCAUUUCCAUUUCUCCUCAAAUUGUUUUGGAAAUUCCUCCUUCGCCUUAUCCUUUUCAACCAUCUCGUCAAGAUCUGGGACAGCAAUAUUAUUCGGGCUAUCACCGGGAUUAAAGCCCGCUCCGGGUUGAAAAUUCAUUGGAAUUGAAGCAUCGCCUUGGAACUGCUGGGGCCUAACCGACACAGAGGGUCUCCGCGGAUGCAGCUCAGUCUGUACUUGCGCAUGCGGAGGCGUGAAACCUGGAGGAUAAAGUGGUUCACCAUUGUUUUCUUCUUCACUAACAAUCACAGGACCUUUACCCUUGUCUACUCCCUUCAAUAAUUGCGUCAUCUUAGCCACCAGAUCAUUUUGGGACUCCUCCAUCUUUUGCACCAUGUCACGCUGAAUCUUUUCUAUUUGCUCUUUCAUUUGCGCCUGCAACUGGUCUUGCAUUUCUUUUUGAAGUCGCUCUAGCUUCUCCAACCUUUGGUCCAUAAUUUUUGUCUUAGCUCGGGUGCCGUAACUUUGUUGGUUUUCCAGGUUAACUGAAAUGAUUUUAUUCGAUUAGGUUUUUAAUGGUCAUUAAUGCAUGUGAUGUGAUGCAAUGCAUGAAAAGAAUGCAAAGAAAAAGAGGCACUGAUUCUAAUUCAACUUCAUUAGAAAACUUUACUAGAUAAAGAGUUUCUUUACAUAAAAUAGACUACAUAUAUGGCUUUGCCCUCACACUCAAAGCCUUAACCUUUCUAAGAAGCCAAGCUAAUUCUCGGCCCCUGUCCGACUCUGACUCAUACUUCAAACUUAAUAGAUCAGCCUGAACCGCUAGAGUUUGCAGAUGAUCAGCUACUUCGCGCACUUGAGUCACCGCCUCUCCCAUAAUAUAAUCUCUUUCUCCAAUCUGCUCUUGAGACCGACGGAAUUGUCUUUGCCACUGCUCAUUACUUUCUUCCAGAAGCUCUAUCCGGAUUUCACUAUUUUGUAAUGCAUUCUCUAGCCCUCAUAUCUGUCUUUUUAAUUCUUCAAUUUUGUCUAAGCUCACCCUUAAUUCAACCGUAGCAUUACGAUUACAGUACUGGUGAAGCGAUCUUUCUAGUUCAGUUAUCCGGACCUUCAACACCGUCUUCUCGUCUUGGCAAACUAGUAGACUCUUUCCCAAGGCGACUUCUCGAGCCCGAGUAUCCUGAAAUUUCUUUUCCCAUUGAUUAGCUUUUGUCUUUUCCUCCUGAAUUUCUUGUCGCCAUUGUUCUGGUGUUUUACCCAAGCCAGCGGCUCUUACCGACUUACGCAACUUCUUGUAAUCUGUCUUCAGGCUGUCCAAAUCUUCUUCUGCCUUGUUCUUUCCUUUUCUCAAUUUGUUGGCCUCUAAUCUUUGAAUGUCCACAUCCAGUCCUAACUGCAUUUUUUCUUCCUCUAGUUGUUCUAUCUUCUUCCCUAAUUCUAAACUUCUUUUUUCGAAUUCUUGUUUGAUGAUUUCUAUUUCAGAAGGCAAAACUUGUAAGUGUUCCUCUAAAGAUCGAGCAGUUUCUGAAUUUGACGCCGGGAUGUUGUCAUUGAUCCUUUGAUCACGCCACUGACCAUACUCGGGGGUAAUUGUCGGACCCACGGCUAAGAUCUUCAUUCGACGAGUCUGGUUCCAGGCACUAGAUAUUUCUCGAACCUUCUUCUUGUAAUUGUCCUUCCUAUAGGAAAAAUCACUAUAAGCCAACCCCUGGGUUGCUGGUAUGAAUUGUCGUGAUCUAUACUGUCUUGAUACGAGUAGAGGAGCAUAUCCGAUAGCUCUCCAUAUCCCGAGCAGCGGAACCCAGUCAAAAUCUCCACAUCGGUACAAUAUCUCAUCAGGAAUUAACCAAGGAGCCCUCCAUUCAAUAUCUUCAUCUUGGAGAUUCUGGAGUAUCUCUAUCCAUUUUUCUUCUGAAAUAUCAUCUCGUCUUGGCGUGGCCACCAAUUCUCCUAGAGGGGAGUAGCUAUCAGAGAAUACCCGAUAAGAGACCUUUUCGACUUUCCAGAAGUGGCUAUGGAACCAUGCCAAUAAGAGCUGCGCGCAUCCAAUAAACCUUCCCUCCCCUACUUUUCGACACGCAUUCAAUGAUCUAAAAGUUUCAGCGAGUAUUGCCGGAACCGGUGUAACCCCUUUACUAAGCCGAUCGAACAAAUCAGAUACAGCCUCGUCUAUGUGUCCUAAAGCUUUGGGGAAAACCACUAGUCCAUAGAUACCUAAAGCGAAAACAUCGACCCUUUUCUUUAAGUCAGGAUGUACAAGCACCAAAUCUCGCAAACUUUUCCAAGGAACACAUUUACUGUCGCCCUUCUGUUGGAUCCGGGCAGCGACCCACUGCUCGCUCAUUCCAGUGAUGUUCAUUAAUUUCUUUAACAACGGAGGGACACAAGCAGCUCUGGAAUAAGCCUUGUCGACUUGAAUCUUUGGGCACCGAAGCAAGGUCGUAUACUCCUCCACAGUAGGCGUCAAAUCUACCUUCCCAAAAGUGAAACAACUGUAGGCAGGAUUCCAAAACUGAGCAAGGGCUCGGAAUAAAUACUUGUCCACUUUGACACUAAGCAGGUAAGGUAGGUCACCGUAGUUACAAUAGAACAGCUGCUUGGCCUCGACAUCCCAUUGAUCCCAGACUUCUUUCAUUUCUCGAAGGUCAUUUUGGAUUACACUGAUACGGGUAAAAUCCCACAAUUCUGACACGUACCCUUCGGUAAGACUAUCGCCUUUCUCCCGUUGUGUCGUUUCAGCCCAUAUUCGCACAGCCGCAUUAUCCUCUACUUUAUCAACAAACCCCUUUUCCAUGAUAAGCUUUCUACCAAGAAACUGAACGUAAAUCGACACCUCUUUUAGAAUGAAGAUGCCAUGCAAUCACAAACAAAGUAAAUUAGCAUUAAACACAGAAUAAGAUUUAAAAUAAGCGACAAAUAAAUACAACAUUCAUUUAGGUAAGCACUAAAAAUUUAGAGUAGCUCUACCUAGGUUGGUUCCUAUGGCUCAUUACAUGUGGUUUGGUUCUAAAGUAGGGUACCUGAACCAGCAAAUUCCUCGAUCCUCACCCAUUAUAGGCUCAUACGGACCAAGUUCGAUUCAGGGGGAUACAUUUCCCUAUGGCCAUGCGGAGAUGAAAAUCUCACGAAGACAUAGGUACGGAUGUAUCCCGAAAGCGAUUCACUAUCCCAUGCGGAGGUGAAAACCUCACGAAGGCGUAGUUUCUCACUCCCACUUAAAAGGGUGUGACCAACGGUCAUGCAAUGCAAUGUGCAGAAAGAUACAAAAACUUAAACUAACACAACAAUUAUAAACCACAACGAUGAAAAUUGUAAUAAAGAGCAAUGAAAUGCGAUGAAAGGAUCGUAUAUUUAAACCAAGUUUUGAUUUUCGACAAAAAGACAAAAAAUAAUCAACUCGUGGCCCGACUCACUUAUUGUGGUUGUCCCCAGUGGAGUCGCCAAGCUGUUGACACCAUUUUUGGAUUAAAAACGGGGUCGACUUGGGUUUUGAAAAUGAAAAUGAAUAGAGGAGUCGCCACCAAUCCUUUUUGAUGAGGUGCGAUCGGGUCACCUCGAAUUAAUCAUUUUAAUAAAAGUUAAGAUUUACUAAAACGAUAAUUUUUUUUGGUCUACGAAAAUCAGAAAAUGAGUUCGGGAGUCGGUUACGCACGAGGAAGGAUUAGCACCCUCGAUACGCCCAAAAAUUGGUACCUAGUUGAUUAAUUAGUGUCUUAGUUUCGAAAAUUGAAAACUUAAAAUACUUUGAAAUACGAUCCAUCUCUUUGUAAAAAAAACUCAAAUAUUAAAGACCUUCUCAUCUCUAAGUGAUAAAAUAUCACAUCCAGUAAGUUAGGACACGACAUCUCGAGCUUUUGAGAGUGAGUUUGUCUUUAUUUAAAAUUCAUGCAUUUUAACUUUUUUUUAAAAAGGAUGUUCGGUUAUUUAGGGUAAACGAAGAAAGUCGAAACCCAGUAAGUUAGGGUACGUUUUCUCGAAUUUCCUAAAAACGAAAUAUUGCCUUAUUUUGAAUUUUUUUUUGAAUAAUAGCAAAUGCAACAUUUAGAUAGUGUGCAUUAUUUGUUUGGAUUAAAAUAAAACAAUUUAUUGGAUAAAUGCAACGAGACUUGAUUCAUGAAGCGAUGAUAUAAAAUAAAAAUAUAGUAAUAAGCCUAGAACAAUGAUACAUGAACACAACAUUAUAUGGAUGAAUCACAAUAAUGCAAAAAUACGAAAUAAACAAAUUAAAAUACACAAAGACAAUAAUCAUACAACAUUUAAAUAAUAACAUCGAUAGAUAAAAGACCAAUGAAUUAAAUAAUAAUUUUUUAAGAAAAUAAAUGGCAUAAAAUAAAUUAAAAUAAAUAAUAUAAAACAUUUUAAAAUGACAAUAAUAAGUUUGAAAUAAAUAAUGUGAAAAAGGAAAUUUAAAAAUCAAUAACACACUAAACGAUAAAAAAUAUGUUUAUACAAAAAAUUAAGAUAAACAGUAUGUAUAUAUAUGUAUAAAAGUAUGAAGUGAAUGAUAUAAAAAGAGCAAAUAAUAGCAGUAAAACAUUUCGAAAUAAAUAAAUAGGAUUCAAAAUAAGAUACGUAUAACAAUUUAAAAUAAGCAAUAUAUAAAUAAAUAGAGUUUAAAAUAAAUGAUGUAAAAAAAAAUUUUAUUUAAAAAAAAGGAACAAUAAUAUACGAAAAAGAAAAAAAGAUAUAUGAAGAAUAGAAAAUAUUUAUAUAAUAUGUGCAAAGAAACCAAAAUAAAUAAUGUAUGUAGAGUAGUUUAGAAUAAACAAUAUAUGCAAAACAACUUACAACUUUGAGUAAUUGAUACAUAAAAUUGGUUAAAAUUAAUAAUAUAUGAAAAUGAACCGUAUAUAGAAUAUUUUAAACACAUACAAUAACAGUUCCUUUUUUAAGAAAAAGAAUUAAACAGGUGAAGGAUUAAUUCGAAAACAAUACAAAAUUCUAGGUAAAAAAUAAAAAGAUACUGCCAGGAUUAAAAUGAAGUGCACCUAAAAUCAUAAGGACCAAAUGGGAUAAAAACCAUAGCCCUAACAUGCGCAUGAGGCCCGACAGAUCAAAAGACUGAUUUAAAAAACAAGCAAAAUCUAACAACUAAAUUAAGAGAAAAAGCAAAGAUAAAAUAGGGCCUGAUCAAAGGACGCUAAAGAUGGAGGGACCUCGUGUGCAAAUAUCCUAAUAAUUGAGGAUACAUGAAUCCCCAUCCCCACCAACGGCACCGUUUUGUUUGGUGUUUAAAACACCCAUUCUCUUUAUUAUUUCAGCCCUAAUUUCAUAGAAGAAAAGAAAAAAAGAACAAAAAAAAUAGAAUGUUAAAGCUUCUCUCCCUCUCCUCUCUUACUGAAUCGUGAGCCCGUCGCCGUUGCAUCACCGCGCCCCCACCGUAUCGGUGGCUGGCGAUGCUCAAGGGUGGGUUUUUAGCCCCCGAUUCAACCAGGUAUGAAGGCUAAGAUUUUUUAACCAAGAAAACCCGAAAAUGAAGGGAUCUCCACCCGUUUUGGGUUCGGCUCCGACGACUGAGGGAACCGCCGACGGUGUGACCCAGGGGUUCGGGUAAGUUUUCUCCCCGUCUUCUUUUUAUUUCUUGUUCUUGAAGCUUAAAAGCAAAAUCAAAAAUGAAAAAAGAAAAAAAGAAAUCAGAAAUUGAAAAAACGUAACCUUUUUCUUUUGUUUUUGCUCUUUUAUUUCUGAAAUAUGCGUGUGUACAAGAAUGGGGAUCCCUUUUUUACAAUUGCUUUCGGCUUCUGUUUUUAGCCGAAUGAGAUAGAAUCCAAAAUCUCCCCCUUUUACAUUGAAAAUGAAUGGCUCUUUAUAGCCGAUUAUACAAAGUCCUAUUGUUGUUUUGUUACUGUUUGCUGCGUUUCUGUUUCUGUUGCUGCUUCCGUCAUGUUUGCAGGUGUUCAAGGAGGUGAUGGGAGCAGGUGGAGGAGAGAUGGCGAUGGGACGUGCGGCUGACAGAGAGCAGCGGCAAGUGGGAUACUAGGGUUUCAGUUUCUGAAACCCUAGUCUGAUGUGGGCUUGGCUGUUGGGCCAGGGUGCUGGGCCUUUUAUUUCUUUCUUGGGCCCGGGCAAAUGGGCCUGCAACAGGAAUCCCCAAGUUUCUAGAUAUGUUGCUAGCUAUGUAUGAGUGAGUAGACCCUAUGUCUAUCAAGGUAAUAUAUAGUACAUCAAGAAUAAAGAACGUACCCGUGAUGACGUUCGGAGCAUCUCUAUUCUCUCGGCGACAAGCAACAUAUACUAGGGCCGACUGCCUUGCCUCAGCCUGUCCAACACCUCUGCUUCGGUGCUCUCUACCUAUGACCCAUACCAUUACCACAUCUGGCCUGUCUAUGGCCCCUCGGUGGUUACUGUACUACCUUUUAUAACUAUACCGUACCAGUACCCGAAGUUUUCAUCUGAUCGGCCCUUAACGAACACUCCUUACAGUACUCUAAUGACUCAUACCGCAAGCACACCUCAGUCUUUCUCUAACACUCGCCCUGAUGGCGUCUACCACAAUCAGUACUUAGCUGCAGUUCAGUAACAGUAACAGAGGGCCCAGCUCUAACCGACCCAUCAACUCUGCCCUUUUUCUUAGGCCUCUGUGCAGAACUCGAAGGCUCUAAAUCCCUCUUAUUCUUACCUCUCUCACAGUAAUAGUUCUGGCGCUCAGCGCGCUUAAUCUCAUCGGUGAUCUUCGCCUUCUCCACUAGUGUAGAAAAAUCACCUCUCUCUACGGAGCUAUCAAGACUCUCAAAUUAUCUCUGAGCCCAUCCUCAAAACGAAUACAUCGCUCAUACUCAGAGGCCACCAUACCUCGCGUAUAGCGGCUCAGUCACAGGAACUCAGCCUCAUACUCGGCCACUGAUCAAUUUUUCUGAGUCAAAUUUAAGAAGUUCCUUUUACGGGUAUCCACGUAGCUCGCCCUCACAUAUUUCCCCUAAAAGGCAGUUUUAAAGAACUCCCAGGUUAGAUGUUCGGGCUGAGUGCCCUCCUUAACAAUGAGUCAUCACUGAUAAGCCUCAUCCCUCACCAGUGAGACUGCACCCUUUAAUUUCUGCUCUAGGGUGCAGUCUAAGUCAUCCAUGAUCCUCUCCGUGGCCUCAAUCCAGUACUCGGCCAUAUUAGGGGCAACUCUAGUGACACCCCUGAAAAGCUCAACUCCAUUGGACUAGAGUCGUUUCGUAUUCGAUCCUCGGACCCCUAAUCUAGUAUUGAUCCGAGCGACCCUCUCCAAAAUCCUUAGCAUAGCUUGGGAUAAUGCGUCGUCCUCAGCCAUGCGAUCUUGAGACCCAGUCUCAGUAGUAGGCGACACUAGCGUCUCACUAGUAUCCAAAUUCGGUAUGCUACCCAAUGAAGAGGACUCAGAUCGAGCUCCUUUGUGACCUCUACCUCAGCCUCUAGUACCCCGUCCACAGAUACAUCGUAUGCUCAUUGUCUAAUCACGUUUAUCUGUAUUAACAGUUUUAUGAAUCAGUUACGGUUUCAGUGUUUAUUAACAAAUGUUUUAUGUAAAAUAGUAUCGGUUAUUCAAAGUUCGUUUUGUAAAUCACAGUCUUACUAUAGUUUUUAGUUUUUUUACAAUUUUUAUUAUACACUAACUAGAGUGUUUUCAGUACAGUUUACUACCUAUAGUAGAUUCAGAAUAUACUAUCCAUAACAGUUUCAGUUUAAAACAAAUCACAGUUCAAAAUACUUACAGAAUCGACACCGGAGACUCGGUGUACCACUUACUUAGUACAAACAUUUCAAAUCAUUUAGAAAUUAAUCAACUUUUCGAAAGCUCAAUUUUUACAAAACCCAUAAUCCACUAUCGAGUUCUGUAACUUGGCUCUGAUACCACUAAAUGUAACACCCCAAACUCGGCCUAGACGUUAUGGUCGUAUCUGUUAAUGUCACAUGAUAGUGUUUUUGAAACCUCGUUGUUACGAUGAAAACAUUUCAUGUUAUUAUCUUUAGUAAACCUUUGUUAGAACUUAGAAAGUUGUCUUUAUUCAUUUAAAACAUUUUUUUUGAAACAUCCCUCAUUGCAGAAGCUUUAAUAAAAUAGUCUAGGUGAUCAUGCGUUUAGAAAAUAUAACUUUAUGAAAACUGAAUUUCCUACGACCAGCAGGUAUAAAUCUAUAAAGUAAAAUAAAUAAAUAAAAACCCAAAUUUAAAACCAAAGUCUCAAAGGGUCCUUAAAUUACAACCCAAAUAAUCAAUAAUAAUCAAAUCAUAUAUCGUAAAUUGAAAACCAUGAACUCAAAAAAUUACUAUAGUCACCGUUGAGUCCUUCGUCGCACCGAUCUGUCUAAGUUUGGGGAUUACCUGUGAACAUUAAACAAAAAGGGUGAGUUUACGUAAACUCAGUGUGUAAUCUCGUAGAAAUAAACAAAUAAUCAGUAUUCACAGUGCACAGUUGAAUAGUCUUGGGCCUAAGCCCUUUUCAGUAUUAGUCAUAGUUUGGGCCUUAGCCCAUCUCAGUAUAGUGUUAGAAAUGCAAUAGGGUCUUAACCCAUCAUAGUAUCAGUAGUAGUAACAAUUAUGCAGCAGCAAAAUCCUACCCAACCAGCCUCUACACACCAUUUUCGUCUAACCCUACACUCCAUGUGGGGAUAUAAUCAACCCACCCAUCCCUACACUCUAAGUAGUACUAAAUGCGACACAAAACAGUAGUUUGCAACUGAGCUGCUAGUAAAUUAGGCUAAAAGCCUUUCAGAACAUUUCCUCCGAAUAACAACCCCUAACCUAAUGCAAUGCAACAUACAAUAGAUGACAUGCUAUUAUGCAAUUUCAGUACAUAUAUUCAGUUCAAAUAUUAACAUGCUCAGUACAUAUAUCAUUCAAUCAAUUUCACACAUUUAGGUGUCUAAGUAGCGCUUAUCAACCCUACAGUGGGUUCACAGUCGACUUGGGCGACCCGUGCAAUCUUACAAACAUUUCGGUGAAAAUAGGCUCACACGCCCAUGUAAUCUACCCGUGUGGCCCACUUGGCCCAAAUUGGCCUUGGCCGUGUGAUCCAUUUUUAAUGUAACCCGUGCUAGCUAAAUAUUCAUACAUGUUUUCACUAUUUACUUAUAUGUUCAUUCAAAAUUGUCUACUUGAGUCAUUGUCACUAAAUUAUUUAUAUCUUGAGCUACAGAAUUCCAAAUUAAGAUUCGCUUGAUGUUUUUGAAACUAGACUCAAAUACCUUUCUACCAUAAAAAUUUUAGAAUUUAUAGUUUAUCAAAUAAGUACAGUAAAAUCUUUAAAUUUAUCCCACUUCUGUUGUUUGACAGCUUCAACCUUUCCUUACUAAAAAUUAUUUAUCUCUUAGUACGAAUUUGGAUGAUGUUUCUAUUUGUUUCUCUUGAAAAUAGACUCAUUAAAGAUUUAAACAUAAAAAUUUAAGCCCAUAAAUAUUUUUUAAAAAUUUUUGGUGAUUUUCCAAAGUCAAAAUAAGGGAACCCAAAAUUAUUCUGACAUUGUCUCACAAAAUUUAUUAUAUCUCAUAAUUUAAAAUUCCAUUGAUUACACUGUUCCUUACAUAAAAGACUAGACUCAAUAAACUUCAAUUUCAUAUUUGAUUCAACCUCUAACUCAAUUUCUACUAUUUUUGAUGAUUUUUCAAAGUUAGACUACUGCUGCUGUCCAAAACUAUUUUAGUGCAAAAUGUUGAUUUCCAAGUUUAUAACACCCUUAUUUCCUUUUUCUAUAAUUUUUUGCAUCAUUUUCUCUUAUUUCUCUUAUGUCUCGACAGCAAACAAUUUUAGCUUUUCACUGAAUCUCAUUUUUUGCAUUUCGAGUACAUAACUGGUAUCGUUUCGCUGUAAAUACGCUCCCAAACACUCUAAGACCUAAAAAUCGGUAAUUAGAGCCCAAUUUAGAUCACUAACUAAAACUCAAAACUGAAAAUCGUCUACAUUGAAAUCGAUAGCGAACCUAAACACUUACCUGCAACGAACCAAAAUUUCUAAUGCUCAAUUUUCUUGUGAAGCCGCAUCUGAUUUCUGAUUUUCGCCUAAACCAAGAGAGCCAAAACAAUCUUUUUUAUAAACUAGCUAAAAAGCGAUAAAAUAGAGAAAGUCAGAUACUUACAGAAUGAGUGUAUACAAUUUCUGGCUGGAAAGUAGGCUAGUAGAAAAAUCAAACAAUGAGGGUGGACUAGGGAGCAAAAAUUUGGCAAAGCAAAGAAGAAGAAGACGACAGAAAAAUUGGGGAAAAGAGGAGAAUGCCGAAAUUUGGGAAAAUAAAAACCAAAUAGAAACUUAGAUGAUAUCGUUAGCUACCCCACAUCCCUAAAUUUUUUCCCACUAAUCCUACUAACCUACAACCACUCCAGAAUCCCACUCUGCCGAAAUACUUGUCCAUCACUGCGCAAAAAUAACACCUAUGCUCGAACAUGGAUUCAAACUCAGGACCUCAUGCAAUCAAACACUCCAUUUAACCACUAAACCAGCAAGCCCAUUUUGUUAUUUAAUUACCAACUAUUAAACUUAAGCCCUUUAGGCUAGGUUAAGGCUUUAUUUAUAAAAGUACUAAAAUUUACCCAAGUCAUGGCUUGAACUUGGGACCUCCCACACACACCCAAAACACUUAAGCAUUGAAGCAGACAAAUACUUAAUAUCACAUAUACACAAAAACAAGAAUUAAAAAUUUUGGGGCGUUACAAUGAGAAGGAAAAACUUAACGAAAGAAAUUGAAGUUUCUUGGGGCUACCUUUGUAGAAAUAAGAGAUCAAUAGAGUUUCUUGGAAUUGAAGUUACAGUUUCAAAUUGUAUUAGCUUUUAUGUAGUACAACAUCAAUAUCAAUGUCCAUCAUCUUAUGUACUUUUUUAUUUGUUUACUUUUGUACAUUGAGUUGAAUGUUAGUGGUAUAUGUUAGUGGUAUACAUUUUAGCUAAAUGUUAGUGUAUUUUAAUUGUUGGAUCGAUUUUUGUAGUGAAUAUUAAAUCUUUAUUUUAAUUUUAAUUUUAUAUUUUUUUGUUGUAUUUAUAGCACAAUUCCUAUCAUUAUUCACUGUAAAUAUUUAUAAAAAUAUAUUAAUAUUGAAAUAAUAAAAAAUAGAAAAAAUUACAUUAUACGUGUCUAUUCCAAUCUUUUUAAGAUUACCUUAGACGGGUUUAUCCCAACCUUUUUUUAAAGGUUGCCUUAGACAAGAUUUAUCCCAACCUUUUUAAGGUUGCUCUAAACGGGUCUAUCCCAACCUUUUUUAAAAGUUGCCUUAGACAAGGUCUAUCCCAACCUUUUUAAAGUUGCCUUAGACGGGUCUAUCCCAACCUUUUUUAAAGGUUGCCUUAGACAUGGUCUAUUCCAACCUGUUUAAGGUUGCCUUAGAUAGGUCUAUCCCAACCUUUUUUAUAGGUUGUCUUAGACAAAGUCUAUCCCAACCUUUUUAAGGUUGUCUUAGACGGCUCUAUCCAAACUAUUUUUAAAAGUUGCCUCAGACAAGAACUAUAUCAACCUUUUUAAGGUUGUCUUAGAUAGGUCUAUCUCAACCUUUUUCAAAGGUUGGCUGUAACUAGGUCUAUCCCAACCCUUUUUAAUGGUUGGCCUUGACUAGGUCUUUCCCAACCCUUCAAUAAGGGUCGGCUUAUGUUGACUUAUGCUGACGUUUUUUCAAAAGUGUUGUGGAGCCUACGCCAACUGUAUUAUAGACAACCUUUUCGAAAGCAUCAGGAGAACCGUCGCGAAACUUAUGCCAACCUUUUUUACGUUGUCUUAGGUCAAAAAAAAGUGUCACGAUAGGCUUAUUUUAUUGUAGUGAUAGUAAUAUUUUUAGCUCUUAAAAAUCUAAAUUAUAUAUAAUAUGUAUUUACAACUCUAAAUAUUAAAGCUUGAUUAGAUAUAGGUUAUUUGAACUUUUCAUCUUAAAUAAAUUUGAGGAAAUUAAAUAUGGAAAUUUUAAUUAAAUUAUUUUAAUAUAUAUACACACCAUUAUUUUCAUUCAUUAAUAAUUUUAAACUAACAUUUUUUCUUCAGUAAAUUUCACUUUAAUCCCUUUCUUUACUUUUCUAAUGUUAUUUUUAUUUUUUUGUCCUUUAUUUUUCUUCUAUUUUAUAAAUUCUUUGAUCUUAUAUGUUUCAAGUAUCAAAGUGUAAAUAAAUAUAAAUAUUAAAAAAUGCCAAAUGUAACUCUAUGUGAUAUUAUUUAAUUGCUACUCAUUUCUUUUUGUUUCAAAAAACAAUGGAAAACUUAAGAAUUUUAAAGUUUUUGGUAUCAAAUAUAUAUAUCUAUACAUUUACAUUUUAAACUCCAAACUUAAAUAAAUAGAGAAAAUCUAAAAAUUUAAAAUAAAAAUAAAUAAAAAAUGAAUAUUUAACUUUUUUAGUACACAUGUAUCAUUCAGACAAUUUUAAUAUAACAAAUAAUCAAGUAAUUGGGAUUUAAUAUUUAAUUAAAAAUAUUCUUCUAAAAAUUGUAAAUCGCAUAACAUUGAAAGUCUUUAAAUAAUAUACUAAAGGGGUGAGCAUUCAAUCAAAUCGAAUGAAAAAAUUUUGAGUUAAUCGAGUUGACGAAUAAUAUUUUAUUAUCCUAACUAGAUUUAAAUUUUUCUCGAAUAGAGUCUAGUGAGAUGGAACUCGAAUCGAAUCGAAUAUAUUUGUUCGAGUUAAAUUAAGGUCCUUGUAAUCAUUGUCACCCACCGCAAUCAGAUUUGUUAUUAACUUUCACUCCCUCAUAAUUUAUUUAUUAAUCUUUUAUAUAGGGUUAGAUUCUUUGCUUGCUUAGUUGCUUCAAUUAUCUUCUGAUUUUGUCACUAUGUAUUCUGAAAUUUAAAAAUAUAUUAAAUGUAAAAAAUGUGAUUUUUUUAAUAAAAAAAUAUCUUAAAGGUAAAAUAUAAAAUUGAUACCAACAUAAAAUUUUAGCACGAAUAUUUUAUGCCAUCAUCAAUAAUUUAAUUUUAACAAAAAAAAUUAUAAAGAUUCAAUAUGAUAAAAUAAUUCAAUAAUAUUGAUAAGCUAUAAAAGUAACAUAUUUUAAUCUCAAUCUUAAUGUGUUUUUAGAUGAUUAAUUAUGCAAAUUAGUGAAUUUAAUGCUCCUAAUCCAUUAAAAUAAUGCAUGGUACUUUUGAUAUUGUAUAGUUCUUUUGAUGUCAAAAUAAUGCAUUAAAAUUUAUUCAACUGUCAAUUUAAGUGGAAAAAGUUGGAGAUGAAAUUUGUAAUUAAACCUUCUUUAAUUUACGUCUUUUUCCCUAAAAAUAUAUUUUUUAAAAAUAUUAAAUGUUAUAAAACUUGGGACAAAUAUUAAAUGUUGGAAAGUGGUUAAGAAAAUCAUUAUCAUUAUAAUUCAUCCUCAUUAUUGAUCAGUGUCACUGAAGCAAUGAAUUUCAAUGGGUUUGGUAAUGGAUGAGAGUUUGCUAAAAAUCUUCCUUUUGGUUUGUAACCAUUUUCACUUACAUAGUCUAGGAUAAGAAUGUUAAAAACCUAUGUUAUAUCCAUAGAAAUUGAGGGCUAUAUUUCUUAUCAUCACAACAAGCGCAAGCAUUGUUGGGGUAUAUCCACUUGUCUUAAACCACUAGAAUGUACAAGUAGCAAAAGAUAAUAAUGAUUAAAAGCUUGGGUAAUUAAUUUUGUAGUAUAUAGUCGGUCCAACACUGACUUAUAUCUAAGCAAAGUGCAUGCAUCAACUACAACAUUUUUUCUCUGAUUACCUUCUCCUUUCUUCUAUCAUUCUAGAGUGUAAACAAUUCACUCAAAGGCAAACAAUUUAUAGAAUUGUCUAACCAUGUGUAUUGCUGCUUUCAUUUGGCAAGCUCAUCCACUCUACCCUCUACUGCUUUUACAAAACAGAGAUGAAUACCACAACAGGUAUGUUUCCAUUUCACUUCAAUCAUUCUUCUCUUGAAAAUAUAUUUAUCUUAUUAAUAUAUAUGGGUGGAAUUGAAGGCCUACGAAGGCACUUGCAUGGUGGGAUGUUGAUGGUUGUGAGAUAUUAGGAGGAAGAGAUGAAGUAGCAGGAGGGACAUGGUUGGCUUGUUCAAGACAAGGCAGAGUUGCUUUUCUCACCAAUGUGUUGGAGCUUCAUCCCCGUCCCGACGCCAAGACCCGCGGUGAUCCCCGUCCCGACGCCAAGACCCGCGGUGAUCUUCCACUUCUUUUCCUGGAGGUAAAUAAAUCUAUAUGCCUUUUUUUUCUUCUUUUUAUUUGGUCGAAGCCAGCUCACCUAUCAAAAACGGUGGUCAUUCAUUAAAAGUAAACACACUGUUGUUGAUACAGAGCACAAAGAGCCCCAUGGAAUUUGCGGAGCAACUGGCCACCGAUGCUCAUCAGUACAAUGGAUUUAACCUCAUAGUGGCUGAUAUUCCUUCCAAAUCAAUGGUUUACAUCUCGAACAGGCCAAAGGGGGAACCCAUUAACAUUCAACAGGUUUCUCCGGGGCUUCAUGUUCUUUCAAAUGCCAAGCUUGACUCUCCCUGGCAUAAGGUACAUUAACUUGUUUCAUGUGUUAUAUUCCUAUAAAGUUAUGCCCAAAGGCAGAUGGACGCUGGAGAAUUGAUUCAUCCACUCCCAUUGUGCAGGCUUGGCGGUUAGGUAAAGGCUUCAAACAGAUGCUCAAUAGAUACGGUAAAAAUGAAGUAAACGUGAAAGAAAUGGUUGAGAAACUUAUGAAAGAUAAAGUGAAAGCUGAUAAAAGUAAGUUACCUGGCAUAUGUGAUCUCGACAUGGAGUUCAACCUUAGCUCCAUAUUUGUUGAAAUGGACACCCCACUGGUAAAAUUCCAAGUUCUAAACCAUCCUCCUACUAAAAUUUAUGUAGAACAAUGUUGAAGCCAAUAAAAAUUGUGGUUGUUUCAACUUACAUAUCCAUCUAUUUUCCGGAAUACAGGGGCUUUAUGGAACAAGGAGUACUGCAGCAAUAACCGUAGGUGCUGGUGGGGAAAUUAGCUUUUAUGACGAGUAUCUAGAAAAGGGUGUGUGGUUUGAGAGAACAGUCAAUUAUCAUAUCCAGAAGCUCAAGUAGAUUGAAUCCAUGUCAAAGCAAGGGAUUUUACUACUCAAGUUAUUUAUUGAUUUGCGAAUGUUAUAAGCAUUUUAAGUUUAUACUAAUUGUAACAUAGGAGUGAUGUAUGAUGUAUCUCAUUCUUAAUACUUUACAUUUUCACUUUAAACUCCAAACUUAAAUAAAUAGAGAUAAUCUAAAAAUUUAAAAUAAAAAUAAAUAAAAAAUGAAUAUUUAACUUUUGUAGUACACAUGUAUCAUUCAGACAAUUUUAAUAUAACAAAUAAUCAAGUAAUUGGGAUUUAAUAUUUAACUAAAAAUAUUCAUCUAAAAAUUGUAAACCGCAUAACAUUAAAAGUCUUUAAAUAAUGUCACAUACAUGAUUUUUUUUUUGUAAAUAUACAUGGUCUGUUUUUAUUUAUAAAACUUCCUUUUACCUCAUUUUUCUUCAUUAAUGUCUACAAAUUUGAAGGGAGUCAUGUACCGAUUAAAUUUGAAUCCUAUCAAGAAUGAGCUUUUGAUUGUUAUAUUUGAUGUUUUCCUAUUAGUUUAAGAUCCCCAAUAAUUAAGCAUGCUUUCUUAAUAAUUGGAAAAUAUUUAUUUAAAAUAUUACUGUAACAGCUUAAUUUUAGGCCUAGUCGGAACAGUAGUUUCGGGACCACGAAUCUGACGAGGAAAAUUUUAUUUUUUAUUAUAUUUUUAUAGUCUACAAUUUCACAGAAUGAUUUCGUGAAAAUUUUGUUCAAAAAUUUCGACGUUUGUGCACUCAAUUUAGCCAAAAGGACUAAAUUGUAAAAAGUGCAAAAGUUGAGUUCUACAUGUUAGAAGUGUCCAAUUGUUAUGAAAUUUUAAAUUGGAGGUCCUUAAAUGGUAAUUAGACCAUUGGUUAACUUUUUGGACAAAAAUGGACAAGAGAUAAGUGAAAUAAGAUAUUUUUAAGUUUGGGGCAUUUUGGUCAUUUAGUAAUUAAAAGAAUUAAAAAGGCCAAAAUAGCCAAAAAUUUGUCCAUCUUCUCCAUGGUGAACGAAAUCAGCAAGGGGAAGCCAUGGUUAGGGUUUUCAAGCUUCCAAGCUCCAUAGCAAGUGAUUCCAAGCCCCAUUUUUAAUGUUCUUUACAUUUUUGGAGUCUCAGUAACUUGAUUUAGCUUAUUCUAACAAUAAUUUAACCUAGGGUUCAUAUUUGGAAAAAUACCCAUAGGUGAAAUGUGUUUAUUUUGAUGUUUUAUGGUAGUGUAUGAAGCUUGAAAUUAUGUUAAAUAACUUUUGCUAGCCGAUUUUAAGUGAAAACGAGUAAAUUGACAUAAUCGAUAAAAAUACCUAAUGUUCAUAAGUAAGUGUUAGAGUGAGAAUUUGAUGUUGCCAUAGAAGGGAAAAAUGUUCAGCAUGUCAUAAAACAUAAGAAAAAGGAAUAACGUUUAAUCUCCGAGCCUAGGGGCAAAAUUAUAAUUUUGUAAAACUUUAGGGGCAAAAAUGUAAUUUUGCCAAAAUGUGAUUUUUGGACUGGAUUGAAUAAUGUGAGUGUUAAAUAAGUUAAAUAUGUUAUUAUAAGUCAAUAAAGACAAGGAAAUGACUUUGAUUAGUGAAAAAGAAAAAAAAAAGAAGAAAAACUGAGAAAUUUCCCGAUUGAACAUUCGGAAUAAAAAGGGAUAUGAAUGAAGUGACAGAAAUGAUCACAUGCGUGGCAUGGACUGUGUGUAGGCCACUAUGUGAAAGUGAAAGUGAUGGUCACGUGUGUAGUACUAUGUGCAGGCUACUACGUGUACCAGAAUGAUAGGUCGCAGGUGUAGUACUAUGUGCAGGUUACUAUGCGUACCGGAUAGCUUCGAUCACGUGUGUAGUACUAUGUGCAGGCUACUACGUGUAUCGGAUAGUGAUGGUCACGUGUGUAGUACUAUGUGCAGGCUACUAUGUGAACCGGUAUCAUUAAUUAUAAGGUGGUUGCUAUGUGUUAAUCCCACAAGAUAUCAUUGAUUACAAAGGGUAGUUGCUGUGUGCUGAAUCCAUCGUAUAUAUGUUAUUAUUCUAAACUGUUCAUCAGGAAAUUGACUAAGUGAAAAUACAUGAGAUCAUGUAAUGAUUAAGUGUGAUUGAAUGAUGAAUACAUGUGUGGAAUUGAAUUGAAUAAUGAUUGAAAGUGAAAAGUGAAAUUAUGAAAAAGUAAAACUAGCAACAAAUAGUUUUAGACAGUAACAAUAGUGUGACUUUGAAAAAUCACCAAAAAUGGUGGAAAUUGAAUUAAAGAGUGAAUAAGAUAUGAAAUGAAAGCUUAAUGAGUCUAUUUCUACAUAAAAGAAACAGAGCAAGCAAAAGAGUUAUAUAUUUUGAGAUAUUUGAAUUUUAGUGAGGCAGGGUUGGAUUGAUUUUGGAAUCCCCUAUUCUGAAUUUGGAAAAUAAUUAAAAAUUGUAAAAAUAAUAAUUAUGAGUUAUAAUUUAUAUUCUUAGAAUCCUUAAUGAGUCUAUUUUCAAAGGAAAUAAACAUAAAUAUCAUCUGAAUUCUGUAAAAUGAGAUAAUUUAUUUUUAGUGAAGAGAUGUCAGAGAUGCUAAGCAGUGAAAUAGGGGUGAGUUUAAAGAAUAAACUGUACUAAUUGGCUAAGAAAAAAAUUCUGAAAAUUUUAUGGUAAGAAUAUAUGUGAGUUUAGUUUUGGGUAAAAUUAACGGAACUUAAUUUGGAGCUUUGUAGCUCAGGAUAAAAAUAAUUUAGUGACUGUAACUCGACUAGAUAGCUUUUGAAUUUAAAUAUAAGUGAAUAGUGAAAUUAUGUAUAAUGCUAUUUAAGCAUGUUAUAUACAUAAAGGAUGUGGGAUGGAGAGGAGGAGGAGGACAAUAAAGCAUAUGCGUGUGGUAGAUUAGCAUGAAAUGAUGUCGUGAGUGGCUCAUGAAUUAACUCAUGUUGGUAAGUUGAUGCAUAAUUAUAGUAUUCAAAUAUAUUACAUAUUUGUAAUAUUUUGCUAUGUGAUUCGGAAAAAGGGGAAUAAAUAGCAUAAUGAAAAUUCGGCCAUGGUGCUAGUUUAUGUUAAAGGAGUGUUUUAUGGCAUAUCUUAAGUAAUGGAAUGUUAUGAAUUUUGAGAUUAAUUUGCUAGUCAAAUAAAUGACAAAUGAAUUGAUUGCGUAUUCGUAAUUUUGACAUAUGCUUGGUAUAUGAAACGUAAUAAUAUAUGCUUGAACAAACUUUAAGUAUUCGAAUGACAUGGAUUUGAUGGUGAUAAGAUUCGAACAUUGAAUUCAUGAAGCACAAGUGAUGUAUUAUUGUUGUGUGAUAGCUUGGUUUGAGAAAUUGGUUAGGUAAAUGGUAAGUUAAAGCAUUUAUGGAUAUAGAAGAAAAUUUGGAGUGAAUAUGAAAUUUAGCUCAAUUAAAUGAUUUCAUCAAUUAAACAUUGUGUAUACCAGAAUGUGUUAGUGAAUUACAUAUUCAUAAAUUGACAUUCGAAGUUCAGUUAGUGAUAUAUGAAAAUAACAUGAAAAGAUUUAUGAUUGUGAUUAAUAUUGAUUCUAACUUAAAGUGGAUUCUUCAAUAUUGGAUUGAUUUAACGGAUAUAUUGAGCAUAUGAAUGGGUAUGUAUUGGGCCUCGUAAACCUUAAUUAGCGACUCAAAGAUAAUAAUUUGAAAGUUUUUAAUUUGAAUGAAAUUUUAUAACUCAGUUUAAUAUGUUUAUAAGUGUAUUUAUUCUAAUAAUGCCUCGUACCCUAUUCCAGCGUAGAAUACGAGUAAGGGGUGUUACAAUGUGACAUCACUAGAUUCGGCCCUAAUGUUUAGGCCGGGUUUGGGGUGUUACAAUUACUUUUGAAAGUAUUUCUAUGAAGCGUGUCUCGUAUUUUCGGUCAAGCUAAAUGGCAAAGCAAAGGCAACAUUGAGACAUGGAGCAUAGGAUGUCACAAUGACGUGACGACAUUCGAAACUAAAUCGAAGCAGGGCCGACGUCACGAUGAGGGGACCUACGAUGUCGUGACGAUGCAACGAGGCAGCCACGUCUCUUGACAACUUAAUGGAUUUUCCUUCUCCCAGUUGAACUUUGAUUUUCGGUUCUCUUUUCUCAAUUUAACUCUAACUAUUCUAGGGAUAUUUUUGUAAUACCCUAUAUGUAGCACCUUUAACCCGUAUCCAUUGUCAGAUUAGAGUUACGAAAUAUUACCGAGUAAAACAAAACAUUUAACUUCACAACAGAAACAAUUAUAUUAAUUAAAUGUAAUCAUGGUAAAAAUAUAAUUACGGGUCUUAACUCGAGUUUACAGGGCCUUAAAAACAGUUUUGGAACAUUCAGGGAUCAAUUCGAACAAAUCAGAAAAUUUAAAAAAACAGGAAAAUUUUGAAAACAGGAAUCACACUAUCGUAUGACAUAGUUCAGAUCUUGUGGACAUUCGAAGUCUAGACACACAGCUUAUCCCAAGCCGUGUGAGUAUUCGGAAUAAGGCUACACGGACAUGUCAUAUGUCGUGUGCCAAAUCAUGUGUACUGUAAUAACCAAUUUUACCCGAGCUUAUUAAAAUUAAAUUAAAAUAAUAUAAAAAUCAAAUAAUAAUAAAAUGUCCAAUAACAGUCCAAUAAAAUAAACCCAUAAACCGAAUACACCCCAGCCCAAUAACCAAUUACAGGCCCAAUUCAAACCUAAUACCCAAAUUGCAACCCACAAGCCCAAAAGCAAGAAAAAUAGAAAACCCUAGACAGUAGCAGCUUCCAGCGCCGUUCUCCCUAUGUAGCCUCCGCGCGUGCUACGCCACCACCACGCGCGUUCCUCACAUGUGAACUAGGCCUCCACUCCAGCUUGCACCUGUAACAGACGUAACAAACUAGUAGAGAAAGCAAAGGAAAAAUGACAGCAAGGAAAAGGCAACACAGCAAAUAGGAAAGCAGUAAAUAAAAAAUGUAAAAAAUAUAUUUCGAUUGAUUUUAUUUUUAUUUUUAUUUUUAAGGAUUUCGGUUAUAAAAAGGCCAUUUGAGCACUAUAAAUGUGGACGCAUACAGAGAUUGAAUACAAAAAACAAAAAAAAAAUUCAAAGAAAAAGGUAAAUAGAGUUUUGUAAGAAAAAAAUGACAUUCUGCAUUCAUGCAAACAUCAUUCAUACAUUUGAAUUAUACAAGUCAUGUUCCCCCAGAGAACAAACCGGUGAAACUAUAAAGCCUGAGCAGCAGUGGAAUAGGUUGAAAAUAGCAGAUCUUGUUUUUCUGUACUGGCAGCGAAGCAGAUCGAAGAUAACAAGUCUUAUCUCCCUGACUUGCAGCGGAGCAGACUGAAGAUAGCAGAUCUUGUCUUCCUGUACUGACAGUGAAGUAGAUCGAAGACACCAGUCUUAUCGCCUUGAUGUUGCAAUGGAACAGAUUAAAGCUAAAGAUAGCGAAUCUUGUGUCCCUGCCGUUGCAACGGAGUAGAUUAAAGCUGAGGGCAGCAAAUCUUAUCUCCUUAGCGUUAAGACUUGGAUUAGCUGAAGUGGAGCAGAUUAAAGCUGUAGGCAGCGAAUCCUAUCUAUUUGGCAUUACAGUGGAAUAGAUUGAAGCUACAACAGCGAAUCUUACUUCCCUGGUGGUGUAGUGGAACAAAUUGAAGCUACGAUGGCGAAUCUAGUUUCCCCGACACUGCAGUUAAAUAGAUUGAAGCCAUAACGGUGAAUUUUACUUCCCUGGCGGUGUAGUGGAACAUAUUAAAGCUACGACGCCAAAUCUUGUUUCCCCGACAUUGCAGUUAAAUAGAUUGAAGCUACAACAGCAAAUCUUACUUCCCUGGCGGUGCAGUGGAACAGAUUGAAGCUACAACGGCGAAUCUUGUUUCCCCGACAUUACAGUUAAACAGAUUGAAGAUGGCGAAUCUUAUCUCUCUAAGGUUACAGUGGAGCAGAUUAAAGCCAAUAAUCCUAUCUCUCUGAGGUUGCAGUAGAGCGGAUUGAAGUGAUGAUCUUAUCUCUCUGAAGUUACAGUAGAGCAGAUCGCAUCCAAUUUUAUCUCCCUAAAGUUGUAGUGGAGCAGACAGAAGAAACCAAUCCUAUCUCCCUGAAAUUGCAGGGGAGCGGAUUAAAACUACAGAUCUUAUCUCUCUGAAGUUGCAAUAGAGCAUAUCACAACAGACUUAUCUUUUUAAAGUUGCAGCAGGACAAGUUGAAGCUACAAGUCUUAUCUCCCUGAAGUUGCAAUGGAGCAGACUGAAGAUAGUAAAUUUUUUUCUUUUGAAAAGACUACAAGUUACAAAUUGCAUCUCCCUAAUGUUACAGUGGAGUAUAUUGAAGCACCAAUUCCUAUACUUCUAAAGAUGCAGUAUGAUGGAAUGAGGCUACUUGAAGAAGAAGAGCACCAAGGUCCAGCAUGACCAGGCAAAAUUGGUCAUUUUUAAAGUCUUUGCUUUGUUCCCGUUACACGACAACAAGCAAAGAAGGGCAGCUGUAAUAACCAAUUUUACCCGGGCUUAUUAAAAUUAAAUUAAAAUAAUAUAAAAAUCAAAUAAUAAUAAAAUGUCCAAUAACAGUCCACUAAAAUAAACCCAUAAACCGAAUACACCCUAGCCUAAUAACCAAUUACAGACCCAAUUCAAACCUAAUACCCAAAUUGCAACCCACAAGCCCAAAAGCAAGAAAAAUAGAAAACCCUAGACAGCAGUAGCUUCCAGCGCCGUUCUCCCCAUGUAGCCUCUGCGCGUGCUACGCCACCACCACGCGCGUUCCUCGCAUGCAAACCAGGCCUCCACUCUAGCUUGCACCUGCAACAGACGUAACAAACUAGCAGAGAAAGCAAAGGAAAAAUGACAGCAAGGAAAAGGCAACACAGCAAAUAGGAGAGCAGUAAAUGAAAAAUGUAAAAAAUAUAUUUCGAUUCAUUUUAUUUUUAUUUUUAAGGAUUUCAGUUAUAAAAAGGUCAUUUGAGCACUGUAAAUGUGGACGCAUAUAGAGAUUGAAUACAAAAAACAAAAAAAAAAUAUUCAAAGAAAAAGGUAAACAGAGUUUUGUAAGAUUUUUUUAAAUUUUUCUUCACUUUUCUUUGUUUUUUUUUACUGCUUUGUUCAUUAAUAAUAUGUGUAAGGCCCAAUUUUUGUCCGGCCUGUUACAGAAAUAAAAAACCAAACAAAACCAAAAUGUUUCAGUCCAAUUUUGCUAAGCCCAAUAACCCAAUAGCACAGCCCAAAUCAAUUUAUCCUAAAACUAACCCAGCUACAAUCACCGAAACCCUAAAAUCCCUUAGCCACCGCCUCCAGCAAGUGUCCAAUCAGCGCACGUUUCGGAACCAGCCCUCUUCUCCGCGUCGUGCUCUCCACGUCUACCUGCGAAAACGGACUAAAAGAGUCCCAAUAUUGUAAAAUAAAAAUACAAAGUAUUUUCUUAGGCUAUAAAAAGCCUAACUUGUACACUGAUAAAAAUAAAAGAAUAGAGAACAGAAUAAAUAUUUUUACAAAGGUGAUUUUUUUUUGUUUUAUUCCGCAGUGACCAUUUUUUAUUUACAUAUGUUUUAUUUUCUUUUAUUUUCAUUUAUUUCGUAUAAAAUAACAAAGAAAAAAGAAAAGGAAAACAUACCUUUUGUCGGACUUGCCGGAUUGUUGCCAUCUCCAGCGCUAGGAGUUAGGGCUGAAAACCCUAGCAGAGGGCAUUUAGUUUUUUUUUUCCUUUCAUUCUGCUGCAAAUGUUUUUUAGAGAAAAAAAUUGUUUUAAAUAACAGAGCAAAACGGCGCCGUUUUACCCAGGCAUGACCCGCGCGGUGACCCGACCCGGAGGGAGGAUUCGCGCGUUUUGGUCGAAGGGAAAAUUUGCGCAAUUGGUCCCUCCCUUUUGCAAUGCGCUUCAAUUAAACCUGUUUUGUUUUUUUUAAUUUGGCCGCAUAUUUUAUUUUUGUUUCAAUUUGGUCCCUUGCUGCGCAGCAUUUUGGAGGGUAGGAUUAAUUUCCCUUCUAGUCCCCCAUUGUUGUUCGCGCGUUCAAGUUGGUCCUUUUUUUAUUUAUUUUUGAAUCUACCCCAUCUUUUCGUUUUUAAGUUCAAUUUAGUCCAUUUUUUAGCUUUUUCUUUUUUAUGUUUGUCAUUGUACCAUUAUUAUUAUUAUUAUUAUAUUAUUUGCUAUCAUUAUUGUUAUUGUAUUUUCUAUACAUAUAAAUACGCAUAUUUUUUAUAUAUAAUAUAUAAGCAUAUUUUUAAUAUAUAUAUUUAUAAGUACGCAUCUAUUUUAUACAUACAUACUUUUUUUUUUAUUUCCUAACCUUUAUGUACACGUAUAUAUACUUCUAUAUUUUGGUUUCAAAAUUUUUUAUACAUAUGCAUGUUCGUUUUUUCUUAUAUAUAUUAUUUUUCAUUUUUUUUACAAAACGUAUAUAUAUGUGUAUACAUACACAUUUUAAAAUACACACAUGUUUCCCAUAUUUUACAAUUCAAAAUACACAUUUUUUAUAUUAUAUAUAUACAUUCUUUAUAUUUUUGAGUUAUUAUAGACAUUUUUAUUAUUCUAUAUAUACUCCGUUAUUUAUGUACAUAUCAUACAUAUAUAUAAAUUUUUUAAUAUAUGUAUACAUAUUUUCAUGUUUUACCAAUACAUAUAUACUUAUACAUUUUUUUUCUGUAAAUAUAUACACAUAUACAUACUUUUAUAGUUUUAUUUUAUUUUCACGGUUUUCAAAUGCACAUACGUGCAUUUUUUAUGAGUUUUUGAUUGAUAUAUUCCAUUCCAUUUUUUUAUAUGUAUCCUUGUAUAUGUGUGUAAAAUAUAUGCGUACACAUAUUUUCAAAUUUUCUUGUAUAUUGUACUUGUAUGUAUAUAUUUUGUAAAUACAUAUUCAUAUAUGUUUUAAAUUAACGUUUUGUUUCAUAUUGUACGUUAACUUUUAACAUACCUUUUGGGAAAUAUAUUUUGGUUUUGUCAGUAUAUCAAAAUCAUUUUCUCUUGAUUCAAAGUUUUUUUGAAUAAAAGCAAUAUUCAAGUUUGAGAUUUUUGAGGAAAAUUGAGCCCUAACGUAUUGGGUUCUGAUUUUCUUUGUUAAUCUUAAAUAACCGAGGAUAUUCUUUAUUCAAAAUGCAUGAGUAUAAAGAUCAUUUUUGGGAACUUAACUUGUUGUGUCCUAAUGUAUUGGGCGUGACAUAUUACUUUCUCAAAAUGAAGAUUUUCACAUAAAAUAAAAGUGAUAUUCAAAGUUCGGGGAUUUUGAGAAAUUGUACCCUAACGUAUUGGGACUCGAUUUCUUUACAUGACUUGAACAAUUGAUUAUCCUUUUCAAAUUUCAUCAUUUAAGUUGUUUUAAAAAAAAUUAGCCCUCGACAUUAAGACAUUAAAUAAUUAAUUUGGUACAGAUUUUGGGUGUCACGAGGGUGCUAACCCUUCCUCGUGCGUAACUGACUCCCGAACCCAUUUUCUCAAAUUUCGUAGACCAAAAUACGUUUUAAGGUGAACUGAUCACACCUCAAUAAAAGAUCGGUGGUGACUCCAAUUUUGUUUUUUUAAAAAGUCGACAACUACAUUUUUGAUUUAGAAAUGGUUUCGACAGCUUGGCGACUCCACUGGGGACACUAGAGAGUCGAGCCAUAAAUUGAUUAUUUUUGUCUUGUGAUUGAAAAAUCAAAUUUGUUUUAAAAUCAUGAUUUCCCUUUACAUUCAUUGAUUUUCAUCAUGAUAUAUUUGCAUGAUGGGUCCGAGUCGAUUAAUUUGUAUUUGCAUUAUGCAUUGCAUUGGUUGGUCAGUGUUACCUCUUUAAGUGGGAGCGAGAAACUAGUCCUUCGUGAGGUUUUGACCUCCGUGCAGGGUAGUAGACCGCUUUCGGGAUACAUCCGUACCUAUGUCUUCGUGAGAUUUUCAUCUCCGUGCAGCCAUAGGGAAAUGUAUUCCCUUGAACUGAACUCAGUCCAUAUGAGCCUAUAAUGGGUGAGGAUCGAGGAAUCUGCUGGUUCGGGUACCUUUGCUCUAGAAACUAAACCUCAUAUACUGAGAUUUAGGGACUUGCCCUAGGUAGAGCUAUACCAAACCCUAGAGGAGUCCUGAAUAGGUUUUAUUAUUUCCUAUGUACGUUGAAUUAUGAUUUUAUGCAUGAUACUAACUUGUGUGUUUUGUUUUGGCGGUAUGGCAUUUUGACUGCAUGGCAUUUCAUUAUAGAAAAAAAAUGUUGAUUCAUGUUUGGUUGUUAAAUAGAGAGCUUGCUACGGAAAAUAGAUUUCUUGAUAAGGUGAAAGAUAAUACGGUUGUCUGAGUAUAGUCUAAGAAAACGUGACGCGAAAGGUAAUAGCGUAACAAGAGGAGUAUACGACUUUGCUGCGUUGCCCAAGGAUUCAAAUUGUCAAAGAUUAUUCAAGAGUCAUCAAACGUCCUAACCUCUUAAAGAAGCUCAUGGGCAUGAGUGAGCAAAGAGAUACGACCUAGAUCAAACAAAAUGGAGCUAAGAUUCGCAAAAUGCAUCUUAAUGUUCGAAUGGUCGAUGCCUUCACUUGGAGUACGAGCACAAAGCCGUAUAUAUAUAUCCGCUUUGUGUAAAGAGAUUUGUUUUCUAGUGAAGUUUUUCUAAUAAAGAAUUGAACUAGAAUCAACGUCUCUUUUUGCAUUUAUUUCAUGCAUUUGCAUUACAUUACAUCACAUGCAUUAAACACCGUAAAAGGAUCCUAAUUAACUAAAUCAUUGCUCAGUUAACCUGGAAACCAACCAACCAACCAAACACCAUUAUGACACUUGAGCAAAGAUUAAAGAUAUGGAUCAGAGAUUGGAAAAGCUCGAAUAGUACCAGAAGAAGAUGCAAGACCGACUUCAGCUGCAAGUGCAAGAACGGUUGGACAAGAUGCAAUAGGAUAUGUCAGAGAAGAUACAGGAAUCCCAAAAGGAUAUGAUGGCGAAGCUGACCCAACUAUUGACUGGAGGAAGUGAUAAGGGAAAAGGGACCUGUAGCUAAUGUCGAAGAAGGCAACGAGGAUGAACCUCUCUAUCCUCCAGGCUUUACUCCUCCACAUGUACGAACUCAAGCUGAGGUAUACCCGCACAAAUCUAUUGUCACAAUCAGGCCUCAGCAGUUCCAGGCCGGUACUUCAAAUUUCCAAGCUGGAUCGGGCUCUAACCCCGGGAACUACCCUAUUAACUCUGCCAUUCCUGACUUCGAUGAAAUGGCUGAAAAGGAAAAAAUAAAUGAAGAGUUACCAAGGCAGUUAGAAGAGAGGUGUAAAUGGCUCGAAGAGAAGUUCAAGGCGAUGGAGAUCACUGAAAACUAUCGUGGGAUCAACGCUAAAGAACUGAGUCUAGUCCUAAAUUUGGUACUCCCUCAUAAGUUUAAGAUGCCGAAAUUUGAAAAAUAUAAUGGGACAAGUUGCCCAGAAGCACAUAUCACCAUGUUCUGCAGGAGAAUGGCUGGAUAUGUUAACAAUGACCAGCUACUGAUUCAUUGUUUCCAGGAUAGCCUUACAGGGGCAGCAUCUAAAUAGUACAAUCAACUGAGCCAUACCAUGAUAGGUUCAUGGAGGGACUUAGCACAAGCGUUCAUGAAACAGUACAGUCAUGUAACAGACAUGGUUCCUGACAGAAUCACCCUUCAGAAUAUGAAAAAGAAGCCAAACGAGAGCUUUAGGUAAUAUGCACAAAGGUGGAGGGAGGUGGCUGUUCAAGUUCAGCCACUGCUCUUGGAAAGAGAAAUGUCAAUGCUCUUUAGAAAUAUAUUGAAAGCCCCGUUCAUUACGCAUAUGUUAGGAAGUGCUACAAAAAGCAUUUCUGACAUAGUUAUGAAUGGUGAAAUGAUCGAAAAUGCUAUAAGGAGUGGGAAAAUCAAUGCAGAGGAGAGUAACAAGAGGCCAGUCUCAAGAAGAAGAGAAAAUGAGGUGAACAACACGGGUUACUCUAAAUCAGUUACUAUGAGUCAGCCAAGAAAGUUGGUUGCUAACCAACAAGGUUCAUCAAGACAAGAAGAUGGUACAAGACAAAACACUAAGAGGCCCCAAUUCACGCCAAUUCCGGUGUCGUAUAGGGAGUUAUAUCAAAGAUUUUUUGAUGCACAUGUUGUUUCCCCUUUUCAUGUAAAGCCUCUACAACCUCCGUACCCCGAAUGGUAUGAUGUGAACGCACAAUGUGAAUACCAUGCGGGAAUUACGGGACACUCAAUAGAGAAUUACACUGCCUUCAAGAAGCAAGUUGAAAGACUCAUCAACACGGGUAUUGUCAAGUUUGGUGACUCAUCUAGUGCAGAAAAUCCGCUACCCAAUCAUAUUGAUAAUAGAGGUGAGAUUUUCACAUCGACGCCGUAUGUGCAGACACAACCAAAAGGGUUAUUGUUAGAUAUUCACCUGGAAGGUGCUAUAAAUAAUGGGACUGCAGAGGAAACCCCUAUAGUAUUUAGAGUCUGUUAGGGUAAUGUUCAGAACACACUUGUUGCUUUUAGCCUAGAAGCAAUAAGAACUUCUUUGUGAAAUAGGCUCAUGUCUGAACAUUGUUAUUUUAAUGAAAUACAUUAUUGCAAUCAUCUUUGAGCAAAUGUUCUUUCAUUCUUUACGAUUCUUUCAUUCUUUUGGAUUUUUUUUGCCAAACCAUUUUUUUCAUUCAUUCAUAUUAUUUAUAAAUUCAUACAUUAUUUUGUAUAUUCUUUGGUACCUACUAGGGGUCCCCAGAUAUCAAUGACAUGAGUGACGCUGCUAUAGACUCAGAACUUCCUUUUGAGUGAGACAUGUGUUUAGAGGGAUCUCAUGACUUUGAUGAUGACAUAGAUUGCAGCUUAUCUCCAGAUUUGACGAAGGUGAUAGAAUAAGAGGAUAAGAUAGAUCAUACCUCAUAAGAAAUUAUUAGAAAUUGUAAGCUUGGUGAAGAUUAAAAUUGACAUGACCACAAAGACGAAGUGGGACCUUAUGAAUUACCCUAAGAAUUCAAUGAUGUCUUCACAUGGUCAUACCCAGAUAUGCUCGGGUUAAGCACUGACUUUAUAAUCUGAAUAACAACAUGAUGUCAGAAAUUUGCAGUAGGUUCAGCAUUAAUGUUAUGAACGAUGCAGUGAAAUUUCUUUAUUGGGGAAAUGUCCUUCUCUUUGGCUUAUCAUAGCUUUGCUCAUUGAAGUUGAAUUGCCAUUUCUCUGUAUUUUUAUCCUAAGAGGAAGAUCUGAAGGUUCGUCCUAGAGAAUUUCACAAGGGGGAGCUAGUGUUGAAAAUGAUCAUUCCUAUACAAAAGGGAUUUUAGAGGAAGAUAGAUGCCAAAUUAGGAGGGUCCAUAUGUUGUAAAGAAAGUCUUUUCUAGGAAAACUUUGAUCCUGAGUGAGAUGGAUGGUAAAGAUUGUCCAAGCCCUGUAAACUCAGAUUCAGUUAAGAAGUACUUUUCCUAAAAAAGGGGACCAAGGUGAAAGCCUACAAAGGGCGCCUUGAGUAAAAAAAAAUAGAGAGGCCAAGGUGAAAACCCGCGAAGGGAGGCUUGAGACCAAAAGGAUUUUAGUUGAAAACCCAAAAAGGGCGGCUCAAAUGUUGAUCAAAAUGGCAUUUGAAAUUAUCAGAGCAGCUCAAAUACUGAUCAGAAUGGGGCAUGCAGUGGUCUUGCUAUACCUGAAUCAACAGGAAAGGGGUAGGCAACAUCUUGGGGCAUCGACAAAGCACUGUUGAUUUCCUAAACACAUGUUAAAAUCAGAAUGGUCUUCAGAAAGUUUGCACAGAGAAGUUCAGGCUGCGAUACCUGGGGCACCGAAUCCUUAUACUAUUUUUGUUAUACUUGGAACACUUCAUUCAUUUCCAAGACACGCAUUCUUAAAUUAAUUUCUUUAUUAUCUUUGACAAUUUAUUCAUUUCGAGCUAUGUUCAGAACCAACUCUAUUCUUAUCCAUGAUCUUUUUGCAAGCAUGUUGCAUUAGAAUAAUGAUUAAUGGACUAAUAAAACUUUCACAAAGGAAGUUUUGCAUAUUACUCUAGAAAUUUCUAAAUAAUAUAGGAACCUGAAACAGGACUAUUGUUUAGAACACACCAAGUUUAAAGGUUGGAAAUCUGAUAAGGAGGAGUCUAAAUUAAGACUAUCCUUUUAAAUUUUGUUGUCUAAAACAUUGUUUGAACAAAAUGAUAAGAUGUCAUAUUGGUGACAAAGCUUAGAUGAAAGAAAGUAAUGAUCACCGAAUAAUAAGAAGAAGUUGUUCUUGGAGAAUAAAAUUUUUCAUUUGUGCAUUGGCAUUUGGUAUGACACCCAUAGAAUGGUAAAAGACCAAAGAGCUUCACAUUCUACAUCCUUGAAUUGUGAUAGGAGAGGAUUGAGAAAAUGCCAGAUUUUUCUUGGGUUACAGCGGGAGAAAGAUGGUACAAAUGUUACAUCCUAGUGGAUUGAGCUUUGAAGUUCACAGUGGGGGCAAUCUGGUCAAGUGUUUCUUUGGAGACGUUAGCCAAGCAAAAGGUGCUAUAGCACAUUAGCGAUAAAAUUUUAAUAAACUUUGAGUAAUGAUAACCUAAGUGAUAAGGAGGAAUCAUUCUCGAAAAAUGACAUUCUGUAUUCAUUCAAAUGUCAUUCAUACAUGCCUAGUUAGGAGCAUUUGAUUCAUUCUGUUCAUGACAUCCUAAUCAUUAGGUAUAAUUAGGUUCAUAAAGUGAAUUAUACAGGUCAUGCUCCCUAGAGGACAGAUCAGAGAAAUCAUAAAGCCUUAUCUCCCUGAGCAACGGUGGAGCAGGUUGAAAAGCAGCAGAUCUUGUCUUCCCGUACUGGUGACGAAGUAGAUCGAAGAAAGCAGAUCUUGUCUUCAUGUAUUGGCGUGAAGUAGAUCGAAGAAAGAAGAUCUUGUCUUCCCAUACUGGUGGUGAAGUAGAUCGAAGAAAGCAGAUCUUGUCUUCAUGUAUUAGCGUGAAGCAGAUCGAAGAAAGCAGAUCCUGUCUUCCUAUAUUGGUAGCGAAGUGGAUCGAAGAUAGCAGAUCUUGUCUUCAUGUAUUGACGUGAAAUAGAUCAAAGAAAACAGAUCUUGUCUUCAUGUAUUGGCGUGAAAUAGAUCGAAGAAAGCAGAUCAUGUAUUGGCGUGAAAUAGAUCGAAGAAAGCAGAUCUUGUCUUCAUGUAUUGGCAUGAAGUAGAUCAAAGAUAGCAGAUCUUGUCUUUCCAUACUGGUGGCGAAGUAGAUCGAGGAAAGCAGAUCUUGUCUUCAUGUAUUGGCAUGAAGUAGAUCAAAGAGAGCAGAUCUUGUCUUCCCAUACUGGUGGCGAAGUAGAUCGAAGAUGACAGAUCUUGUCUUCAUGUAUUGGCAUGAAGUAGAUCAAAGGAUAGCAGAUCUUGUCUUCAUGUAUCAGCAGUGAAGUAGAUCGAAAAUACAAGUCUUAUCUCCCUGAAGUAGCAGUGGAGCUGACAGAAGUAACCAAUCCUAUCUCCUUGAAGUUGCAAUGGAGUGGAUUAAACCUGCAGAUCUCAUCUCUCUGAAGUUGCAGUAGAGCAGAUCGCAUCAGAUUUAUUUUUAAGUUGUAGCAGAACAAGUUGAAGCUAUAAGUCUUAUCUCCCUGAAGUUGUAGUGGAGCAGAUUAAAGAUAGCAAUUUUUGUUCUUUUAAAAAGCUACAGUGUACGAACCCUAUCUCCUUGACAUUGCAGUGGGGUAGAUUGAAACACUAGUUCCUAUACUUCAGAAGAUGUAGUAGGAAAGAAUGAGGUUACUUGAAGGAAAAAGAACUGAAUAAGUCGAGGCUCAGUAAGACCGGGCACAAUUGGGCUUUUAGUAUUUGCUCUGUUCCCGUUACAUGACAACGAGCAAAGAGGGGCAGCUAUAGGGCCCAAUUUUUUCCUGGCCCGUUACAGAAAUAAAAAACCAAACAAAAACCAAAAUGUUUCAGUCCAAUUUUGCUAAGCCCAAUAACCCAAUAGCACAACCCAAAUCAAUUUAUUUUAAAACUAACCUAGCUACAAUCACCGAAACCCUAAAAUCCCUUAGCUACUGCCUCCGGCAAGUGUCCAAUCGGCACACGUUUCGAAACCAGCCCUAUUCUCCGCGUCAUGCUCUCCACAACUACCUGCGAAAACGGACUAAAAGAGUCCCAAUAUUGUAAAAUAAAAAUACAAAGUAUUUUCUUAGGCUAUAAAAAGCCUAAGUUGUACACUGAUAAAAAAAAAGAACAGAGAACAAAAUAAAUAUUUUUACAAAAGUGAUUUUUUUUUGUUUUAUUUCGCAGUGACCAUUUUUUAUAUACAUACGUUUUAUUUUCUUUUAUUUUCAUUUAUUUCGUAUAAAAUAACAAAGAAAAAAGAAAAGGAAAACAUACCUUUUGUCGGAGUCGCCGGAUUGUUGCCAUCUCCAUCGCGGUCGGAGCGUCGGCAUGGGCGAACGGCGGCGCUAGGAGCUAGGGCUGAAAACCCUAGCAGAGGGCAUUUGGUUUUUUUUUCCUUUCAUUCUGUUGCAAAUUUUUUUUAGAGAAAAAAAAACUGUUUUAAAUAACAGAGCAAAACGACGCCGUUUUACCCAAGCAUGACCCGCGCGGUGACCCGACCCGGAGGGGAGGAUCCGCGCGUUCUGGCCGAAGGGAAAAUUUGCGCAAUUGGUCCCUCCCUUUUGCAAUGCGCUUCAAUUAAACCUGUUUUGUUUUUUUUAAUUUGGCCGCAUAUUUUAUUUUUGUUUCAAUUUGGUCCCUUAUUGCGCAGCGUUUUGGAGGGUGGGAUUAAUUUCCCUUCUAGUCCCCCAUUGUUGUUCGCGCGUUCAAGUUGGUCCUUUUUUAUUUAUUUUCGAAUCUACCCCAUCUUUUCAUUUUUAAGUUCAAUUUAGCCCAUUUUUUAGCUUUUUUUUUAAAUUCUUUUUUAUGUUUGUCAUUAUACCAUUAUUAUUAUUAUAUUAUUUGCUAUCAUUAUUGUUAUUGUAUUUUCUAUACAUAUAAAUACGCAUAUUUUUUAUAUUUAAUAUAUAAGCAUAUUUUUAAUAUAUAUAUUUAUAAGUACGCAUCUAUUUUAUACAUACAUACAUACUUUUUUUUAUUUUAUUUCCUAACCUUUAUGUACACGUAUAUAUACUUCUAUAUUUUUGUUUCAAAAUUUUUUAUACAUAUGCAUGUUCGUUUUUUUUAUAUAUAUUAUUUUUCAUAUUUUUUUACAAAACGUAUAUAUAUGUGUAUACAUACACAUUUUAAAAUACACACAUGUUUCCCAUAUUUUACAAUUCAAAAUACACAUUUUUUUUAUAUUAUAUAUAUACAUUCUUUAUAUUUUUGAGUUAUUAUAGACAUUUUUAUUAUUCUAUAUAUACUCCGUUAUUUAUGUACAUAUCAUACAUAUAUAUAAAUUUUUUAAUAUAUGUAUACAUAUUUUCAUGUUUUACCAAUACAUAUAUACUUAUACAUUUUUUAUUUCUGUAAAUAUAUACACAUAUACAUACUUUUAUAGUUUUAUUUUAUUUUCACGGUUUUCAAAUACACAUACGUGCAUUUUUUAUUAGUUUUUGAUUGAUAUAUUCCAUUCCAUUUUUUAUAUGUAUCCUUGUAUAUGUGUGUAAAAUAUAUGCGUGCACAUAUUUUCAAAUUUACUUGUAUAUUGUACUUGUAUGUAUAUAUUUUGUAAAUACAUAUUCAUAUAUGUUUUAAAUUAAUGUUUUGUUUCAUAUUGUACGUUAACUUUUAACAUACCUUUUGGGAAAUAUAUUUUGGUUUUGUCAGUAUAUCAAAAUCAUUUUCUCUUGAUUCAAAGUUUUUUGAAUAAAAGCAAUAUUCAAAGUUUGGAAUUUUUGAGGAAAAUUGAGCCCUAACGUAUUGGGUUCUGAUUUUCUUUGUUAAUCUUAAAUAACCAAGGAUAUUCUUUAUUCAAAAUGCAUGAGUAUAAAGAUCAUUUUCGGGAACUUAACUUGUUGUGUCCUAAUGUAUUGGGCGUGACAUAUUAUUUUCUCAAAAUGAAGAUUUUCGCAUAAAAUAAAAGUAAUAUUUAAAGUUCGGGGAUUUUGAGAAAUUGUACCCUAAUGUAUUGGGACUCGAUUUCUUUACAUGACUUGAACAAUUGAUUAUCCUUUUCAGAUUUCAUCAUUUGAGUUGUUUUAAAAAAAAUUUUUUAGCCCUCGACAUUAAGACAUUAAAUAAUCAAUUUUGUACCGAUUUUGGACGUCACAAGGGUGCUACCCUUCCUCGUGCGUAAUUGACUCCCGAACUCGUUUUCUCAAAUUUCGUAAACCAAAAUACGUUUUAAGGUGAACUGAUCACACCUCAAUAAAGGAUCGGUGGCGACUCCAAUUUUGUUUUUUUAAAAAGUCGACAACUAUAUUUUUUAUUUAAAAAUGGUUUCGACAAUAUGAAAUAAAAGAAAAAUAGAGAGUAGGGAGAGAAAUUUACCUAAAAGCUGAGACGUCGUUCGUCUGUCGUAAUCGAAGUCGGACGAGGAAUCGGGGCCUCCAAACGCUGGUUUGUUGAGCGGCGCACGGAGGAAAAGUUGCUUAGGGUUUGUAGAUCUAUUAAAAUGGCUUAAUGCCUUGGUUUUUUUAGGUUUCAUGCGUGCAACGAAAUGGCACCGUUUGAACCCCGUUCUAAUGGCUCCAAAGCGAUGUCGUAUUGAGGCUCGACCCGAUUCGAACUAGGUUCCAGAUCUGCGUGUUUUACCUCAUAGGGGAGAAUUUCGCGAAUAGUCCUCCGCUUUUAUAGAACCUUCAAAUUGAUCCUUUUAUUUCUUUUAAAUUUGGCUGCUCAUUUUGUGCUUCAUUUCAAUUAGGUCCGUGCAAGGAUGCUGCGUUUUGAGGGAAGGGAUAUUUUCCCAUUCAGUCCCCAAGUUAUUCGCGCGUUCCUUUGUGGCCCUUAAUGUUAUUUUAUUUUUAUUUUCUCUUUUAAUUUUGAAUUAAAUGCAGUUUAGCUUGUUUUUGUUUAAUUUAAUGUAUUCAAUUUUUAUUUUAUUUUUAAUAUUCAUCAUUCUUUUUUAAAAAAUAUUUAAUUUUACAUCUAGAUUAUUUUAUGUUUAAAUUUAGUAUAUUUUAAAUUUAUUAACAAUAUUAUUUUAAUAUUAUAACAUAUUAUUAUUCUAAAUGUAACAUUAACAUUAUUUUAAAUUUAUCAUGUACAAUCUUAUGCAUUCUUGUUGUAGUUUCAAUAUAAUUUAUAGAUUUUUUUACAUUUUUAUUUUAUAAUACAUUUUUUAACUUCACUUAUAUAGUUCUUUGCUUUAAGAUUUGUACAUUAAUAUUCUUACAUAAUAUUUUUCUAUACAUAUAUAUAAUUUGUGUUAAAUUAUUUUUUAUUAUAUAUAUAAUAUAUUACCGAUUUCAUAUUAUUACAUAUCUUUUUACAUAUUUUUAUAUAUACAUAAUUUAUUUCUUUUAAAACCCUACUUUAUUAUGUACUUUGUUUAUUUCAACUUUUUAUAAUAUUAUAUAUAUUAUUAUUAAACUUUUCAUUUCAUAUAUAUAUUACUUAUUUAGAUUAAUGUAUGUAUAUUAUUUGGUAUAUUACAUAUAUAUAUAUUGUAGCAACGUAAAAAUUUUAGCUUAGCUUGGUCGCUAAUUGUGGCGAUUUAUUGAAAUUUUUUUUGAAAUUUGACGUUUGAUUUUUGAAAUAAAUAGGGAGUUGCCACCGAUCCUUUUUCCUAGGUGUGAUCGGACACCUAUUAGAUCUUUUAUUAAAACAAAUAAAAGGCUAAGUUUAGGUCUACGUUAAAAUCCAGAAAAAAUUUAGGGUUCGGGAGUCGGUUAUGCACGAGGAAGGUAUUGGCACCCUCGCGACGCCCAAAAUUGGUAUCUUAUUAAACACAUGUUGUCUUGAUUUUCAAAAAUACGAAUUCAAUUUGACAUUUAAGUGUGAUCCGAUUGAAGGAAAUGAGAAGUUGCAAGUUUUUUUGUUUUUUAGAAGGACGUCCCGUUUUUAACACGAGCCGAUUAAUUUCACCCAACAUAGGAUGAAAUCAAUGACUUAAUGUUAAAAUCGGUACAUUGCCUUAUUCUUAAAAUUAAAAUGUAAAAAGUUUUUAAAAUGAUAGUAAAAAAAAAUCCAAGAAUAUUAUUGUCAAAAAAAUGCGAAUAAUGAUGUGAAUAAUAAAAUAUAUAAAAUAUAAAAUAUCAAAAUAUCAAAAUAUUAGAAUAAUAAUAAUUAAUAUUGAAAAAUAAAAAAUAAAAUAGAAAUAAAAAAAAUGUACAUAAUAUAUAUUAGAAAUAAUAAUGAUGUUUAAAAAUCAAUACUAUUAAUAAUACUACAUUAAUAUGUACAUAUAUAAAAAAAAUACGUGAUAAUAUUAAAAAUAUGUACAUAAUAUAGUGUUAAAAAUACAUACAUAAUAUAGUUAAGAUAUAUACAUAAGAUAACAUGUAAAAAAAAUAUAUAAAUAAUAUAAUAUUAAAGAUAUAUACAUAAAAUAGUAUAAAAUAUAUAUACGUAAUAUAGAAUUUAAAAUAUACCUAAUAUAUUAAAAGAAUAUAUAUAAUAUAAUAUUAAGAAAUAUAAUAAUAACAAAAAAGGAGAGAGAGGGAGAGGGUGGAUGAUUUUCGGCCACAAGGUCGGCCAUCGUCCGGUCACUGGACCGCCGCCGGCGCCACCGUACACGGCAGCCGGACCUCAAAAAAAACUUUUUCGGUAAAAAUGGGUAAGCUUCCUCCUUUUAUUUUUUUUCACUUUCGUAUAAAAGAAACAAAAUAAGAUUGAAAGGAAAACAAUAAGUAAACAAAGAACUUAAAAUGAGAAUAGACAAAGAAACCUCUUUUGCUUUGAUCUUUAAUUAAUCUUCAAAAAAACUAGCUUCUCCAAAAACUAGCCUUCACAAUAACUCUUCUCCUUAAUUACUUUAAAAAGAAACCUCUCCAAAAAUCCUUUACAAUAACUUUCUCUCCCAAAAACUUUCCAAAAAAAAAUCCCCCCCCUUUUACAAAAUAUGAUAAGGCUUAUAUAGCUAUUUACAAAAUAUUUUUUUAUUGUUUAUGUCUUCAUUUGUAGGUACAAGUGGUGGUGGAGCAAGUGUGGUUAGUGGAGUAGGUAAUGGAGCAAGUGUGGCUAGUGGAUUUGGUGGUGGAGAAGGUGUGGCUAGUGGAGUUGGUGGUGGAAAAGGAGUGGCUAGUGGAGUUGGUGGUGGAAAAGGUGUGGCUAGUGGAGUUGGUGGUGGAAAAGGUGUGGCUAGUUGAGAAAAGUUUAAGUUGUGGGCUAGGUUUUUUUAUUUUGAUUUGGGCUUAGGGUUUGGGCCAUUGGGGUUUUGAUGUAAAUUGGGCUUUGGGUAGUUAAGAUUUUGGGUUUUGGGUUUAAUUUUGGUGGGUUAGGUAAGGCUAAAUUGGGUUUUGAUGUAAAUGGGCUAAAAUUGGCCUACAACAGCUGCCCCUCUUUGCUUAUUAUCGUGUAACGAGAAUAGAGCAAAGAUAUAAAGAAAGGCCAAUUUUGCCCGGUCUUGCUAAGUAUGGACUUCUUUGGUGCUCUUCUCAUCCAGGUAGUCUCUUUCCAGUCCAUCGCAUCUUGUAGCUUUGGUUCAAUCCACUGCAAAUUCGGAGAUAUGCCUUAUAGCUUCAAUCUGUUCCAAUGUAAUUCAAUAUGCUCUUCUAUCGCUUCAGUGAGAUAAGGUUUUGGGUCUUCUCUUCUGCCACUUUAGAAAGGCAAGAUCUGAUAUCCUCGAUCAACUCCACUGCAACUUCAGGGAGACAAAAUCUGGUGUCUUCAAUCAGGUCUAAUAUUGAUUCUUUACUCGGCAUGUGAUCCUGAGCUCAACUCAUUUCUCGCAAUAUGAAUUGACUCUGUAAAACUAGACAUUAAAAACAGAAAUUGAAAAUAGCUCAGCACGUGAGCCAAGGCUCAACUCACCUCUCGCAAAAGUAGAUUUUGAAAAUACCUCGACAUGUAAACCCAAGGCUCAACUCACAUCUCGCAAUAUGAGUUGAUUUUUGAAAAGCAGAAAUUGAAAACGCCUCAGCGUGUGACCCGAGGCUCAACUCACCUAUCGCAAUAUGAGUUGAUUUUUUUGAAAAGCAGAAAUUGAAAAUAGCUCAGCACGUGAGCAAAGGCUCAACUCACCUCUCACAAUAUGAGUUGAUUCUUUUGAAAAGCAGAAAUUGAAAAUAGCUCAGCACGUGAGCAAAGGCUCAACUCACUUCUCGCAAAAGUAGAUUUUGAAAAUACCUCGACAUGUGAACCCAAGGCUCAACUCACAUCUCGCAAUAUGAGUUGAUUUUUGAAAAAUAUAAAUUGAAAAAAAUAGAAAUUGAAAAGCAGAAAUUAAAAAGACCUCAGCAUGUGAGCCGAGACUCAACUCACCUCUCGCAAUAUGAGUUAAUUUUUGACAAACAGAAAUUGAAAUUACCUCAGCGUGUCCUGAGGCUCAACUCACCUCUAGCAAUAUGAGUUGAUUUUGAAAAACAAAAAUUAAAAGUACCUCAACGUGUCUUGAGGCUCAACUCAUCUCUCGCAAUAUGAGUUGACUUUCCUUGAAAAGCAUGAAUUAAAAACAUCAAAAUACCCAAAACCUAUCCUUUGGUAGAACUCGGGUGUCUUUUCCUUUGAUUCAGUGCGACUCUCAUUCAAGAUUUCUUGCUCUACUGGAGUACCUGUAUAUGCUAUGUAUGAUGUUAUCAUGAUAUGCACAUGUUUGUCUUAAAUGCUUUUAUGCCUACAUGAUUAUGCAGUGCUCCUUAAGCAUGUUUGUCGUAUGUCCAUUUAGCCACGAUUGUUGAGGGUCUGUGUUCAUUGCUUUGAUUCUCGACUUUCUCCUCAGGCCUUAUACCUACCUUCAAGCUUCACGAGUAAUCGACGUUCCUCAGAUAUCACUCUUCUGCCCCCGAUUGAACUUUGUUCUUACUUUGAGACUCUUGUGCUUAUCAAAUUUUCAUCCAGGUAAUGCUUAACAUUUCUCUUGUUUAGAGUAUGUCAUUUCUCCAUUUAUCAUGUAAAUAAACACAUAAUGAGAUGCAUGAAAAAGGUCAGGUAGGGAAAAAUGAUAUUUCAUAUUCAUCUAUUUCAAAUGUGGCAAACAAAGCAAGUUAACCAAUUAGAGUAAAAAAUGUCAAAAAGAAAGAAAGGAUCGUAUUCAACGGAUGCAAAUACUUUAGAUAUUCGACACAUGAACUCUUCCACGUUCCUCAAUCAAGAAUCUUUUCGAGUCUGGCUCUUUGCGUAGAAGAUUUCGAGCUUUCAGAAAUGCUUCAAAUACUGUAGUCUCACUGUUUGACCCGCUGUUAAAACGCCACGCUCUUUAAGCCAGGUUUACCUCAUUAGGACGCCCUCUCGGGUUUUCAUCCUAAUCUUUUGUGCUAAUCAAGACGCCCUUUGCGGGUUUUCGCCUUGAUCCCUCUUUUUUUUUGGAUGCCCUUUUCAGGUUUUCAUCUCAAGCAUAAUAUUUCUUCACAGCAUCUGAGUUCACUGGAUUCGGUAACUUCUUUCCAUCCAUCUUGGUAAGGAUCAAAGCUCCUCCUGAAAAUGCCUUCUUUACGACGUAUGGUCCUUCCCAAUUUGGUGCCCAUUUUCCUCGCAGGUCCUUUUGUAUUGGGAGAAUCUUCCUCAGUACGAGUUCUCCUUCGUGGAAUUCUCUUGGCCAUACUUUCUUGUCAUGGGCCGCGAUCAUUCUCUUCUGGUACAUCUGCCCGUGACAAAUUGCUCUUAGACGUUUUUCUUCGAUGAGGUUCAACUGAUCAUAUCGAUCUCAAACCCAUUCUGCUUCUUCUAACUUUAAUUCCAUUAAGACUCGCAGGGAGGGGAUCUCAACCUCAAUAGGUAGCACAGCUUCCAUUCCGUAAGCCAGAGAGAAAGGAGUUGCUCCCGUAGAUGUUCGCACAGAUGUGCGAUAUGCAAACAAAGCAACUGGAAGCUUCUCGUGCCAAUCUUUAUAUGUUUCAGUCAUUUUCCCAAUGAUCUUCUUAAUAUUUUUAUUGGCUGCUUCAACAGCCCCGUUCAUCUUUGGGCGAUAGGGCGAGGAGUUAUGAUGCUUUAUUUGGAACUGCUCGCACACUUCUUUCAUCAUCUUAUUGUUCAGAUUCGUGGCAUUAUCUGAAAUGAUUCUUUCAGGCAAACCAUACCGGCAAAUGAUUUCCUUUUUCAAAAACCUGCAAACUGCAGUCCUCGUCACAUUGGCAAACGAAGCGGCUUCUAUCCAUUUUGUGAAGUAAUCGAUGACCACAAAAACGAAUCGAUGUCCAUUUGAUGCUUUUGGAGAAAUUGGCCCUAUGACAUCCAUGCCCCACAUAGAAAAAGGCCACGGAGAAGUCAUGACAUGAAGGGGUGAAGGGGCUACAUGAAUUUUAUCGCUGUAGAUUUGACAUUUGUGGCAUUUUCUGGCAAAAUUGAUGCAGUCAUUUUCCAUUGUCAGCCAAUAAUAACCGAGUCUCAUGAUCUUUCUGGCCAUAUUGAAACCAUUGGCAUGCAUUCCGUAAAUUCCCUCAUAGACCUCUUCAAGUAUUUUUCUGGCUUCAACAUCAUCCACACAUCUCAAAAGCAUCUGAUCCUUUCCUCUUUUAUAUAGGAUAUCCCCAUCAAUAACAAAUCCCGCUGCCAUUCUUCUAAUUGUUCUUUUAUCGUUCUCAUUCGCUUGUUCGGGAUACCUUUGAUUCUUGAUAUAUUCUAAGAUAUCAUGGAACCAAGGUCGUCCGUCUACUUCUUUCUCAAUGCUACAACUGUGUGCAGGGACCUCGUAUAUGCUCAUUUUGAGGGGCAUUAUUUCUACUUCUCUACUUGCUUUGAACAAUGAAGCCAAAGUGGCCAGGGUAUCAACCAGUUGGUUCUCUUCUCGUGGGAAGUAAUGAAAAGUUAUUUCUUUGAAUUCCUUGAUCAAUCCAGCUACUAAAUCGCUGUACUUAAUCAAUUUUGAGUCCCUCACUUCCCACUCUCCACGGAUUUGGUAAAUCACUAGGGCUGAGUCCCUGUACACCUCUAAGAUCUUGAUGUUUCGUUCGAUAGCUGCACGAAGCCCCAUGAUACAGGCCUCAUAUUCUGUGAUAUUAUUGGUACAGAAGAAGUUCAGUCUUGCGGUGAACGGAUAAUGAUUCCCGUCUGGUGAUACCAGGAUUGCUCCUAUUCCUUGUCCUAAAGCAUUUGACGCACCAUCAAAGCACAUCUUCCAUGACUUCUCUUUUGAUGACUCGGAUUCUAUUUCUGUGAUGCACAUUAAGUCUUCAUCUGGGAAAUCGAAUCUUAAAGGCUCAUAUUCCUCUGUCGUUCGAGUUGCUAAGAAGUCAGCUAUUGCGCUCCCUUUUAUCGACUUCUGACUUACAUAGGUAAUGUCAUAUUCCGAAAGGAGGAUCUGCCAUCGUGCCAUUCUUCCUGAUAGUACCGGUGAUUCCAUCAUGUAUUUUAUUAGGUCCAGUUUUGAAAUUAGCCAUGUCGUGUGAUACAACAUAUAUUGUCUGAGUCUCCGAGCUACCCAAACCAGAGCGCAACAAUAUUUCUCAAUGGACGAAUAUUUUACCUCAUAUUCAGAGAACUUUUUGCUGGGGUAGUAGAUCACUUUUUCUUUCUUUCCUGACUCGUCGUGUUGCCCUAGUACGCAACCCAUUGAACUUUCAAACACAUUCAAAUACAAUAUCAAUGGUCUUCCAGGAGUUGGCGGUACUAGCACUGGAGGACUGGACAAAUAUUGUUUUAUCUUAUCAAAGGCCACUUGGCAUUCCUCGUUCCAUUCUCCCGGGUUAUGUUUUCGAAGAAGCUGAAAGAUUGGGUCGCAUUGGUUGGUAAGUUGAGCGAUAAAUCGGGCGAUGUAGUUUAAUCUCCCUAAAAAUCCUCUAACUUCCUUUUGCGUGCGCGCAUGUGGUAAUUCUUGGAUGGCUUUUAUUUUAUCUGGAUCAACUUCGAUACCUCUUUCACUGACAAUGAAGCCUAGCAACUUUCCCGAGGUAGCCCCAAAUGUACAUUUGGCUGGAUUAAGCUUUAGCUAAAACUUUCUCAGCCUUUCGAACAACUUCUUGAGGUUCACUACAUGCUCUUCUUCCCCUCGCAAUUUAGCAAUCAUGUCGUCGACGUAGACCUCUAUUUCUUUAUGCAUCAUGUCAUGGAAUAACGUUACCAUAGCCCUCUGAUAUAUUGCCCCAGCAUUCUUUAACCCGAAUGGCAUCACCUUGUAGCAGAACGUUCCCCACAUCGUUAUGAAGGUAGUUUUCUCCAUAUCCUCAAGGGCCAUCUUGAUCUAAUUAUACCCCGAGAAUCCAUCUAUGAAAGAAAACAAUGAAUGUUUUGCUGUGUUGUCCACAAACGUGUCAAUAUGUGGCAAGGGAAAAUUAUCUUUUGGGCUUGCUCGAUUCAGGUCACGGUAAUCCACGGACAUUCGUACUUUGCCAUAUUUCUUUGGUACUGGGACUAUGUUAGCCACCCAUUCUAGAUAUUUGGAGGCUUGUAGGAAGCCAGCAUCAAAUUGCUUCUUGAUUUCUUCUUUUAUUUUCAACAGCAUUUUGGGUCUCAUCCGUCUUAAUUUUUGCUGGAUGGGCUUGCAUUCUGGCUUUAAUGGGAGCUUAUGGACCACUAAAUCUUCAUCUAGCCCUGGCAUGUCCUGGUAUGACCAUGCGAAAACAUCUUUGUAUUCGCGGAGUAAAAUGAUCAAACUAUGUCUAGUACUCUCUGAAAUAGAAGUCCCAAUCUUCACUUCUUGUUUCCUCUCUUCAAUGCCCAAAUUUAUUAUUUCCACAGAUUCUUCAUGAGGCAAAAUCUGUUUAUCCUCUUGUUCCACCAUUCUUAACAAUUCAGGAGACGAGACAUAAUCUUCAGCAUUUUCUUCGGCUUCAAAUUCUCCUAAGCAAACAGCCUUCUCAAAAUCAAUUUCAAGAUUCGUAACGGGCUUAUUCAUAUCGUCAAUAUCUGAGCACCUGAAAGUUGAAUGGAAAAGGAAGCUAUAGAGGGGCAUCCAAGUAUUGGAAUCAACAAAGAAAUGUCAUGUCAUGGCAAUGAGGCAAAUGUGAGUAUAGGCUAUGAAAUGAGAAAAUGAUUAUGAAAUUAGUGAUAAUGCGAAAAAUCGUGACAAAAUGCAUCUUCAUUGAUAUUCACUUAAAUGAUAAAGAGCGAAUGCAAGCUCCUACAAAAGAAUUCUAUUAUAUCUAAGGACACAAUAGAAUGUUAAUGUUUGAGCAUUACUCUGAAGACUUAUAAACUACAAGAAGGUCCUCGGCAGUCCAAUUGUUCAACAUGAAACCAGGGGGACAAAGGCGUAUCCUUGAGACAUCUUUACUUGUGUCAGCUCCUUUGUCAAUGACAUUUAUACUGAUGUUCUGAAAACCCUUUUCGAUCAUUAACAUUGUGCCUUGUGCAUUGUCCUGCCUCGGGUAUAUCAUUCCCACAGACGUAAAUGUUCUUGACAAAGGAGGGAAUUCCAUAGGCUCCCAUUCUGGUUCUCGGCCUAAGGUUCUCGCAAUCCUUCUUUCUUGAUCUUUCUUCCACUGUCUUCUUCUUUGACGCAUGUCUGGCUGGAACCCCAAACCGUAUCGGGCCUUAUGAUGCACUGGUUUUAGAGCCCUGACUAUUCCUUGUAGAUAUCUCCCUAAACCUCUUCUCACUCGAGCUCCCCUUCCUACAGUCAACUUGACACCCAUUCUAGUAUUUCUCGACAAUUUAGGCACGGGAAUUUUGUUUCCCUCAGUGAAGAAUGUGGCAUUGACGAAUUCAAGGGAUCGGAAGGAGCAUUCCACUACGUCCUUGCUCACUUCAAGGUAUGGCGCAUCAGCAGAGAUAGAUGCGACAAUGUCUUCUUCUCCCUCGACAGUGACCAAACAGCCAUCCAUGAUAAAUUUCACCUUUUGAUGGAGGGAUGAUGGGACCGCUCUAGCAGAAUGGAUCCAGGGUCUUCCCAAAAGGCAGUUAUAUGAGGAUGUAAUGUCCAUGACUUGGAACUCGACAUCAUAUAUGUAGGGACCCACUUCCAGAGGGAUCUCAAUUUUUUCCAUGACUUCAUGCCUUGUCCUGUCGAAUGCCCUUACCGUAGAAUGACAGGGCCUUAAAUGGGACAGAUCCAUCGAAAUUCUGGAAAGUGUGGCCAAAGGCAUAACGUUGAGUGCCGAACCAUUAUCGAUGAGCACGUUCGGUAUUAUGUAGCCCUUGCAACGGGUUGUGAUAUGCAAUGCUUUCACUGAGCCUCUACCAUUGGGCGGUAUUUCAUCAUCACUAAAAGAAAUGAAAUUAUCCGCAUUCAAGUUGUUCAUCCACCUAUCCAGUUUUUCAAUGGAUACAUUGUUUGCCACAUAAGCUUGAUUUAACACUUUCAGCAGAGCGUUUCGGUGUGGUUCUGAAUUCAACAGCAGAGAUAAUACCGAGAUUCGCGCUGGCUGCUUACUCAAUUGUUCUACCACGUUGUACUCACUGUGUUUGAUAAAUUUUAAGAAUUCCUGUGCUUCCUCCUCGUCCACAGGAUUUUUAGCUUCUUGUUCAGGCGCAGUUUCAUGCUCAUCAUCGGUCACAUGCAUCGGUGCUUUUCCUUUCCGUUUCAAGUCACUGUUCUUCUUUAUCUCCUUCGAAUAACAUCUUCCACUAUGAGUGAAAUGACCUAAUUCCCCGAUUCUUCCAGUCAUGGCUUUGGGUUUUUCAUCUUCAGGUGUGACGAUAUUAAUGUCAUAUUUCCAUGGUACUGCUUUAUUGUCCUUGUAAGGGAAAGAAGAUGGUACUUCAAUUAUCAUUUUUGGUUUCACCGGCUCUUUCAUCGCAUCGUAAUAAAUUACUAACGGUUGAUCAGCGCUAUAAGGGGGACCUGAUGACUGGCUAUCAGAGGCGCAUACUUCUCUUUCAUUGGUCUCUUCCCUUUUGUUAAGGAUCUUAAUCUCCUUAUUAUCCAUCCGGUCUUGAAGCAACCUUUUAAAUUCCUCACACGACUGAAUGUCGUGUCCCACAAUUCCAUGGAAAUUGCAAAAACUUUGACCUUCUUCUCCGAGAAUUCUAUCGGGGUGACAAAGCAAUCAUUUCUUAACCAGUACCUCCCAGAUUUUCUGCAAAGGCGUCCUUAUUUCCAAAACACAUCUUCUGACUUUCCAUUCGUCCACUUUCCCCACUAUACUCACAUCCCUUUCGAUAUGGUUAGGGAAUGGGUUCCCAGUUGCAUUACUGGCACUAUCGAAUCGUAGGAUACCUGCAUCAAUGAGUCCUUGAACUCUUCUCUUAAAGGCUAGGCAGUUUUUCGUGGAAUGUCCCUGGUUUCCCGUAUGGUAUGCACAACUAGCGAAUUGUAUGUUUUAACCUCAGCGAACGAGUAUGGAAUAUGCAAUGAAUGAAUGAAUGCAUGAAUGUCAAAUGACUGUUAGUCAUGAAAGAAAUGCAAGAAAUUGGUGUUAAUUUCAAGAUAGCCCCUAUUUAGGCAUUUCCUUAAUCAAAAGAGUCUAUUACACAACGUUUCGGUCACUCGUGUAAUUGACUCCUCUAUCAGAAACCCCUUUUUGGCAACCAAUCUCUAAUCAACCCUUUCCUAACAAGAUGUAUAUGAUGCAUGAUGAAAAAUAGAAAUACAGACAAACAACAUUGGUUAGCAAAACACAUAUGAUCAGAGAAAAAUUGUGGAAAAUCUAACAAAUUAAGCUACUUGGUCCAAUGGACUCGAUUCCCUUGCAUAGAAAGUGAAAGUGCAAAAGGUAAGAGGCGUUCCUCCCGUGCACUUAUUUUGGUGACUACUAAACGGACGGAGGUUCAGCAUGGCUCUAGUUAGGUGGCUCGUAUGGUUCAUUAUAUGCGGUUUUGGUUCUAGAUAGGUACUCGAAUUGCCCGUACUAUCAUCUACUAAGAUUAACACGGAGCCUCGGUCAUAGCCUAUCACAGGCUCACGAGUUCAAUUCGAGGGGUUACAUUUACUUAUGCCUAUGCGGAGGGACAAGUUAACUCACGAAAGCAUAAAUCAUAUGUAACCCGAAAGUAUUCACUAGCCUGUGCGGAGGGACGAGUUAACUCACGAAGGCGUAGUGUUUACUUUCACUUAAACGGACGGAGCCCGGGUAGAGAGCUCAUGUUAUGCGAAAAUGCAAGUGCACGGUGUGUGGGGAACAACUCAUAAACCUUUACGUUUCACUUAAAGAAACUAAACCAAAAUUAAAACCAUAAAAAUUAAAAACUGAAAAACAACCAAAUAAGCAAGUUAGAAGAAAUAUUUACAGCACGAUACAAAUGCAUGAAUUUUGAAAAUGAGAUUUUCGGAUCACGACCAAAUAUUUACUUUGAACAAGGAAAUUUGAAAAUUUUGACAAAACGUGUUUAAUUCCAGACACGACUCUCAAAAAGGCUUUCCCCAGCGGAGUCGCCAGCUGUAGCGACGUAAAAAUUUUAGCUUAGCUUGGUCGCUAAUUGUGGCGAUUUAUUGAAUUUUUUUUUGAAAUUUGACGUUUGAUUUUUGAAAUAAAUAGGGAGUCGCCACCGAUCCUUUUUCCUAGGUGUGAUCGGACACCUAUUAGAUCUUUUAUUAAAACAAAUAAAAGGCUAAGUUUAGGUCUACGUUAAAAUCCAGAAAAAAUUUAGGGUUCGGGAGUCGGUUACGCACGAGGAAGUUAUUGGCACCCUCGCGACGCCCAAAAUUGGUAUCUUAUUAAACACAUGUUGUCUUGAUUUUCAAAAAUACGAAUUCAAUUUGACAUUUAAGUGUGAUCCGAUUGAAGGAAAUGAGAAGUUGCAAGUUUUUUUGUUUUUUAGAAGGACGUCCCGUUUUUAACACGAGCCGAUUAAUUUCACCCAACAUAGCGAUGAAAUCAAUGACUUAAUGUUAAAAUUGGUACAUUGCCUUAUUCUUAAAAUUAAAAUGUAAAAAGUUUUUAAAAUGAUAGUAAAAAAAAUCCAAGAAUAUUAUUGUCAAAAAAUGCGAAUAAUGAUGUGAAUAAUAAAAUAUAUAAAAUAUAAAAUAUCAAAAUAUCAAAAUAUUAGAAUAAUAAUAAUUAAUAUUGACAAAUAAAAAAUAAAAUAGAAAUAAAAAAAAUGUACAUAAUAUAUAUAUUAGAAAUAAUAAUGAUGUUUAAAAAUCAAUACUAUUAAUAAUACUACAUCAAUAUGUACAUAUAUAAAAAAAAUACGUGAUAAUAUUAAAAAUAUGUACAUAAUAUAGUGUUAAAAAUACAUACAUAAUAUAGUUAAGAUAUAUGCAUAAGAUAACAUGUAAAAUAUAUAUAUAAAUAAUAUAAUAUUAAAGAUAUAUACAUAAAAUAGUAUAAAAUAUAUAUAUACGUAAUAUAGAAUUUAAAAUAUACCUAAUAUAUUAAAAGAAUAUAUAUAAUAUAAUAUUAAGAAAUAUAAUAAUAACAAAAAAGGAGAGAGAGGGAGAGGGUGGAUGAUUUUCGGCCACAAGGUCGGCCAUCGUCCGGUCACCGGACCGCCGCCGGCGCCACCGUACACGGCAGCCGGACCUCAAAAAAAACUUUUUCGGUAAAAAUGGGUAAGCUUCCUCCUUUUAUUUUUUUUUACUUUCGUAUAAAAGAAACAAAAUAAGAUUGAAAGGAAAACAAUAAGUAAACAAAGAACUUAAAAUGAGAAUAGACAAAGAAACCUCUUUUGCUUUGAUCUUUGAUUAAUCUUCAAAAAAACUAGCUUCUCCAAAAACUAGCCUUCACAAUAACUCUUCUCAUUAAUUACUUUAAAAAGAAACCUCUCCAAAAAUCCUUUACAAUAACUUUCUCUCCCAAAAACUCUCAAAAAAAAAAUCCCCCCCUUUUACAAAAUAUGGGAAGGCUUAUAUAGCUAUUUACAAAAUAUUUUUUUAUUGUUUAUGUCUUCAUUUGUAGGUACAAGUGGUGGUAGAGCAAGUGUGGUUAGUGGAGUAGGUAAUGGAGCAAGUGUGGCUAGUGGAUUUGGUGGUGGAGAAGGUGUGGCUAGUGGAGUUGGUGGUGGAAAAGGUGUGGCUAGUGGAGUUGGUGGUGGAAAAGGUGUGGCUAGUUGAGAAAAGUUUAAGUUGUGGGCUAGGUUUUUUUAUUUUGAUUUGGGCUUAGGGUUUGGGCCAUUGGGGUUUUGAUGUAAAUUGGGCUUUGGGUAGUAAGAUUUUGGGUUUUGGGUUUAAUUUUGGUGGGUUAGGUAAGGCUAAAUUGGGUUUUGAUGUAAAUGGGCUAAAAUUGGCCUACAACAUAUAUAUAUAUUUUAUUUACUUUAAAAUUCAUUGUGAUACUAUAAUUUCACAUAGUAAUUCUUUUUAUCUUCCUUUAAAUCUAUUUCAAACUCGUAUAUAUAUUGUUUAUGAUAAAUUUUAUGCAUGUAAUUUAUUUUAUAUUAAUAAUUUUCAAUUUCCUCCCUUGCAUGUUAUUCUUUUUUUUGUUUUCAUUUUUUAAGCUUGUUCGUGUUAAUUUACUUGAUAUUCCUUUUAAUUCUUUAGCUUUUAAUAUUAAUAUUUACCCAACAUAUAAUAUGAGAUUCUUACUAUUGUUAUAUUGUAUUGUUUAUUUAUAUUUAUUGAUUGUUUGACAUUCAUUAGUAUACGCUUUAUUUUAUGAAUCAUCAUCUCGCAUUGUAUAUUAUUAUUCAAUCGUUUUUAUUCGUUCAAAAGAUUACGUUUAAUAUCAUUUAAGUAUCGAAAUUGAUUUAUUCAAAAACUUUCAAGAUAGCGUAAUAUUCGGUAUUUGGGUUCUUUGAUAGAAUUGAGCCCUAACGUAUUGGGUUCCAAUUUUCCUUGUUGAAUCUAAAUAAUCGAGAAUAUUCUUCAAUCAAAAAUACAUAAAUAAAAAGCUCAUUCUCGGGAAUUCAAUACGUUGUGUCCUAACGCAUUGGAUAUGACACGUUGUUUUCUUGAGAUGAUGAUUUUUCUAAAUAAAAAUAAAGGCAAUAUUUGGUAUUUAGGAAUUUUGUGAAAUUGAACCCUAAUUUACUGGGUUUUGAUUUUUCAUUUGACCAAAUAAUCAGAUAUCCUUCUCAAAAUGCAUAGGUUUUAAAAAAAAUCAAAAGAUAAACUUAAUUUUGAAGAUAAAAAAUGUAGCGCCCUAACUUACUGGGUGUGACAUUUUAUUUCUUUAAAAUAAGAGUGUCUUAUUAUUUAAUUCAAUUUAUUCAAAGUUAAAAGGAUCGUAUUUUAAAACCUUUUCAAAUUUUUGACACUAAGACAUUAAACAAUCAAUUCGGUAACAAUUUUGGGCGUUACGAGGGUGCUAACCCUUCCUCGUGUGUAACUGACUCCCGAACCUGUUUUCUCAAAUUUUGCAGACCAAAAUCGUUUUUAAGGUGAGCCGAUCACACCCCAAUAAAUGAUCGGUAGCGACUCUCAUCUUUGUUUUUAAGUCGACUACUAAUUUUUGUUUUUAAAAAGUGGUUUCGACAUGUACAUUCAAUGUAGAGUCACAUACAGCCUGCGACAAAAAUAAUAAUUAUACACCGCUGUGUGGGGUGACCGAAAAUUCAUAUAUAGACUUAUUUCGAACGUUCUAAUUUUCCAUUCCGAAUGUUCUAAUUUUCCACCAAAAACAAAGUCGCUUUGGAAUUAAAAUUUUGGUCCUAAGGCCCGCUGGAUUUUUCACAACCACUAUCAUUAGACUAAAAUUAUCUCUCCACGUAUGAUCGGGUUUAAAAAAAUUUAUUAAAAUUAUUUAUUUAAUUUGUUAUUAUUGUUUAUAAUAGAAUAUAAAGUCUUAAAAUAUAAUGAUAUCAUCAUGGAGAAAAAUAUUUUAAUUUAAAAAUGUAUAAAUUUUAUAUAUUAUCUUUUAAAUAAUUUAAAUUAGGGAUAAAUCUCGAAAUCAUACAUGGAUUUGAUUUAAUGUGUAAUUGUAUACAUGAACUUUAAUUUGAUUUAAUAAUUUACAAGAAUUUGGUCAAAAAUAAAAUUUCAUGUAUAAAAUUCUACAAAAUCAAAGUUCAUAUAUAUAAUUGCACAUUAAACCAUAGUUCAUAUAUAGUUUUGAGAUUUAUCCUUUUAAAUUAUAAUGAUAAUUUUUAUAUAUUAAAAUUAAUAUAUUUAACCUUCCUUUAAAUGAAAGAAGCUACUUGUUGAGUUAUUAUAUUUAUUAUAUGUGAUUUAAUUUUAAAUUUUAUUUAUCAAUCUUCACAUAAUUAUUAGAUGCUUUGAGUAAUUUAAAAGAGAUAGACACGAACUGGAAUGAGGUGAAGGAAUUUAUGGCCAUAAAGAGUAAAGGUAUAUGUAUCAACUAAAAAAUAAAAAAUCAUUUAAAAAUAUAAAACUCUCACGGAAGGACAAUAUCUUUAGUUAUUGAAGGGAUCUGUUGAUUAUCAAAUGAAAGAUAUUUUAAAAACUUCUCUUAAAAAAGUCUGAUAAUCAACAAUGCUGAUAGACCAAUAAUUUGAAGCAGUCAAUGAACUUGUAGAAAGGGUAUAGCAAGAGGGAUGGAAGCUUGACGCCAAAAGUUAAGAGAUAUCUCCAUAAUGGUCACUUGUGUUGAGUGGUCUUGGGUGAUUGAAUUUUCUACAAAUGCCAUUAAAUUUCCCACAAGAAUUUUUCUACAAAUGCUUUUCAAUUUUGAAUCAAGUUGGUUUAUGAUUGGAAUUACUUGCUGUAAUAAGUUAGUUAUUUCAUUUUUUUUAUUUAAUACCAAAAUUAAAUAAAUUUUUAUUAUUAUUCUCAUUAAAAACCCAUUAAAGUUUCAGUUUUUCUAUUUAAUAUUGUAACUUUAAUUCUAUUGAAUGUUUAGGUUACUCUUUGUUUUUCAUUAAUACUUUUGGUUUUUUUUUACUAUAAAAAGCUAUUAUAUAUUAGAUAUUACUUAUUAAGAUAUCAACAUUGUUAGAGCAAAAAAAAAAUCUGUGUGAUGGUACAUAUGUUUUUUUUUUGGUGAAGUAAAAUAACAAGAUAAAAUCCGAACAAUUAACGCGACUCGAAUCCAGGUCACACUUGAGGUGUAAUUAGGUGAGAAAGACAUUUUAUAUAAUAAAAUACAUGUGAAAAAAAAUAUUGUUUCAUUAAUUAUUAAUAAAACAAAAAUAUGAUUCAUUUGCAUUUGGUAAAAUUAAAUUAAACAAUAAAAUGUUUUUUUUUUAAUUCUCGUAGAAGUAUAUUUCAUUGAAUAAUUCAAUUGCUUUUAUUGAAAUUAUCGUGGUAUAUACGAAUGUUGCUUAGAAGUUUUUUUGUAACAAAUAUUUUUCAUUGUCAUAUAUUGCAUAUGAUAUAAAGGCAAUAUUUGAAUGGAGCAUUGGUUAGUUUUUCACGGUGAAUCCUCCACAAUAUUCCUUUGUUUGAAGUUGCGGAAAUAUAUAUGUCUCAUGUUUUUAUAAGAUGCAUGUAUUUAAGUUGCGGAAAUUGAAAAGUCUUGACCUGAGUAGCAAUGGAAUUGUAGGUGUUGUGAAUAACCAAGGUUUGUUGCUUUUCAUCUCUGCAAUGAUUAAUCUCUGAAAUUUAAUUUAAGUUUUUAUAAUUAAUUCGUUUAUUUUACUUUUCUAUAUUAGAACAGUAACUUUCUCUUGCAUGCAGUCUCUUUAUCAUCUGCUUUCAACAACUUAGAAAUCCUUGACUUAUCCCACAAUAACUUCGAUGCCAGUAUCUUAUCAAGUAAGCUUCAUCUCUCAAUUUCUAUCUAUGUCUAGUAACUAAUUGUAAGUUUAUGCAAAAAUAAUAUAAAAAUACCUACAUAAUUAACGGGAGAUUUGAAAUGCAUUUUACUAGUUUUUUUUUUUUAAAUAGUUAAAGUUGAUAUUUAUGUAUAUGGGAUAAACCCAAAUUUACGACCAACAAGAAAGAAUAGAGAAGAUUAGGCAUAUAAAUUUAUGUGGGAAAACUCUUUCAAUCAACAGGAUAAAAAAGGAGACUUCAAUAAUGAGCAAACAAACGAAGAGAAUAAGAUGGAGAUAUUCAAAAACAAACCCUAACCCUAAAAACAAAGUUCUUUGGCUAAAAUACAAAAUUCCCUCAAAGCUCUCUCGAAUUUUUCUCUUAAUCUUCUCUCAAUCUUGAUGUUAUGUGUAGAGCCCAAUUCUUGCCCGGGCCUUAACACAAAAAAUAAACAAAAUAAACCAAAAAAAAAAGUCCGUUACAGCAGUGGCCCAAACCCACAAAAUUAACCCUAGCCCGAAGCCCAGUAGAGAAGCAAACCCUAAUUUCCCUAAGGGCGCGCCACACGCUCUGUCAGGCUCCCUCGCGCACGCCACCGCCACCGUCGUCGCUUCCCAUCGCCACCUUCCCAUGCGCGUCAGAACACCUACAAGAAAACUGUAACACCCCUUAACCUCAAACCGUCGCUGAAACUGGGUUACGAGGCACUACCAGACAUAUCAAACAAUUUACAAUUAAUUCCUAGAUAAAUAACUAACAUAUUAAAAUAAAACAUAAAUUCUUAUAAAUUUUAACAGUUGACUUCAUUCAUUUUUUUUUAUAAAUUUCGGCAGCAUUUCUGCUUAUUUUUACAUAAAACCCCUGCAAAUUUCAAGAUUAUAACCUGACCAAUUCCAAUGUUUCAACCAACAUUUAUAUCCUCAAGCAUAAUUAAAAUCAUACUUAACAUUUUAACUACUAUCAUAUAGAUUGCAUAAAAAGAUUAAUCAAAUAACAUAUAUUACAUCUAGACUAAAUACUUUGUAACAUAAUACAUCAAAAUUAAGUCUUCCAUACAUGCCAUAAUUUUCGAGUGAUGAUUACAAAAUACCAAAAGUUGUGGAUAGUGUAGAUGAGUUCCCGACGAUUUCCCGAAUUCCAAGCUGAACUGGUAACACUAUAAAACUGGGAAAAACAAAGAGAAAUAAGCAUAUAGCUUAGUAAGUAGACAUAUGACAAAUAAACAAAUUUUUAACAUGAUUCCAUAGAAACAUAAUUUUAUUCACACAUAAAUUUCCUUGCUUGUUCAAUUUCCAGCAAGCUGUUUUUCUGUGUCACGGUCACUAAUUUAUUUUUAUCUGGAGCUGCUGGGCUCCAAAUUAAGUUCCGUAAAUUUUCCUUGAAACUAUACUUACAUACCUUUCUAUCAUAAAAUUUUUAGAAUUUUCGGUUUAGCCAAUUAGUACAUUUUAUUCUUUAAACUUUCCCUGUUUCACUGCUCAAUAGCUCUGACCUCUCUUUACUUAAAUUUACUUAACUCUUUGUACAGAAUUCAAACAAUGUUCUUGUUUGUUUCUCUUGAAAAUAGACUCAUUGAUAAAUUCAAGCAUGUAAAUUACAAGCCAUAAUUAUUUUUGUACAAUUUUUUGUAAUUUUCCAAAUUUGGAACAGGGGAUUUCGAAAUCAAUUCAACCCUGUCUCACUAAAAUUCAAAUAUUUCAAAAUAUAUAAAAUCUUUUGCUUGCUCUGUUUCUUUCAUGUGAAAAUAGAAUCAUUUAGCUUCAAUUUCAUAUAUUAUUCAUUCUCUAAUUAAACUUCCACCAUUUAUGGUGAAUUUUCAAAGUCGCUCAACUGCUGUUGUUCAAAACUGUUUUAUUUCAAAAUUUACUCUUUUGUAGUUUUGAUAUCUCAUACCAUCUUAUACAUGGGUCGAUUAAGUAUCAAACUCACUAUUCCUCACAUUAUCUUGUCCAUUUCAUAUAUACAUUCACUUUUCCAAUUUCCCUGUUGAACACUCGGAAUAUUAUCCGUUACUCGGUGGAUUAAGCACUUAGCAACCACCUUAAAUUCAGUGAUACGUGGAAUCAGCACAUAGCAACCCCUUUCACAGUCAAGGAUACGGUGGAAUCAGCACUUAGCAACCACCUCUAUAUUCAGUGAUACGGGGAAUCAGCAUAUAGUAACCCCUUUCACAAUCAAAGAUACGGUGGAAUCAGCACUUAGCAACCACCUCUAUAUUCAGUGAUACGGGGAAUCAGCACAUAGCAACCCCUUUCACAAUCAAAGAUACGGUAGAAUCAGCACUUAGCAACCACCUUUGAAGUCAAUAAUUCAGGGAAUCAACACUUAGCAACCCCUUGGGAAAUCUGCACUUAGCGACCCCUUUUUAUUCAAUGUUUUCCGAUCUAUUCCGAGUGUUCAAUCGGAAACCUUGUUUUUCAACACUUUAUCACCUUUCUCAAACUUAACCACAUUUUUCUGAUCUACAUCAAAUAUUUAUUCUAUAUUCAAUCAAAUCUCAACAAUAUAUUGAAUAACAUUAAAAUAACGCAUUAAUUCACAUGCAUACUUACCUUGGUGUAAAAUAUUGUAAUUUUGCAAUUUACUUCACGAUCUUUUCUUUUCCCUGAUUGAGGUUGUCUUUUCGUCUUUCUUGAUCUAUAAUAGAAAUUUUAGUUUAUUUAAUAUUCACAUUUAUUACAACAGUCCUCGACUCAACUUUUUGCAAAAUUAUGAUUUUGUCCCUAAACUUAUCAUAUUUACAUUUUUCCCAAAGCUCGAAAAUUAAAUUUCACUCCUUAUUCUUAUGUUUUACAACAUGCUGAACACUUUUUCCUUCUAUGGAAACAUCAAAUUCUCACUCUAACACGUACUUAUGAACAUUAAAUAUUUUUACCGAUUAUGACAAUUUACCCGUUUUCACUUAAAAUCGCUUAGCAAAAGUUGUUUAACAUAAUUUCUAGCUUCAUAUUCUACCAUAAAACAGAAAAAUAAACACAUUUCACCUAUGGGUAUUUUUCCAAAUAUAAACCCUAGGUUAAAAUAACAGUAGAAAUAGGUAAACCGAGCUACGAGAAUCUUAAAAAUGCGAAGAACAUUAAAAACGGGCUAGGAUGCACUUACUAUGAGCUUGAGAAAGUGAAGAAACCCUAGCUAUGGCUUCCUUCAAAUUUCGGCAGCAACUAAUGAGGAUGAACACCAUUUUUUCAUCUUUUUCCCAUUUUAAUUCUAUUUAUUUACUAAAUGACUAAAAUGCCCUUACUUAAAAAAAUCUAUUUCACCCAUUUCUUAUGUCUAUUUUUUUCCAUCAAUUAGCUAAUGGUCUAAUUACCACAUAAGGACCCCCAAUUUAUAAUUUCAUAACCAAUUAACACCUUUAACACAUAAAAUUCAACUUUUGUAUUAUUUACAAUUUAGUCCUUUUGACCAAACUGAGUGCCCAAACGUCAAAAUUUUUGAAUGAAAUUUUUACGAAAUCUUUCCGUGAAAUUGUAGACCAUAAAAAUAUAAUAACAAUAAUACUUUCCCUCGUCGAAUUUGUGGUCCCGAAACCACUGUUCCAACUAGGCCCAAAAUCGGGCUGUUACAAAAACAACAAAACAGAAACGACAAACGUACAAUCCAAAGCACAAAAAGACAAAAGAAGAGAGAUGUAGUUUUUUUCCGGUUAUAAAAGGCCGAAUGGGGCGAUUGUAUUUCUUCUUCUGUCAUUUUUGUUACAGAUUAGAAAUAAAAAGGAAAACAAAGGUUGCCUUCUGGUUUCUCUGAUUUAUUCAUUUAUUUCUUUUAUUUAUUUUUAAUGAAUCAGUUUUUUUAAAAAAGAAAAAGAACUCUUAAAAAGUAAAAAAUGAAGAGGAAUACCUGGGGUUGCCUGCGAAAUCCAUCGUCGGAGCCAUUUCGUUUGCCGAAAUCGGACGAAAAGGGGGGCAUGGGGGCCUUUCCUUCUCUCGGUCUUAAGGCCCAAAAGGCUAAGCCUUUGGGCGUUUGAAAAAUGGGCCAAAAAUGCGAUCUCCGUGUCGCUCCGACCACCGCUUACGGUAGGGUCACGGCGGCACAAGCGACGGCCCUAUUGGCCGGAUUUGAGGGCUGCGUGGGAGAGAAUGUUUGAGCUUUCUAUUUUUUUUAAAUAAGGGUCAAACUAUUUUUUUUUAUUUUUAACAUUUAUAUUGGGAAUAAAACGACGCCGUUUUGGGUUUAGGCAACAAUGGCCAAAACGACGUCGUUUCACGCUUGACCCGAAUACUCAACCCGUUUAGCAGAGGAUCCGCGCGUUUUCAAGGCCGAAUGGGCUAUUUGCGCUAUGGGUCCCUCCGCUUUGAUGCUUGGCUUCAAUUCGGUUAUUUUGUCCCUUUUUAGCAUUUUUAAUCUGACCCCGUAGAUUUUGUACCAGUUUUGAUUUGGUCUAACGCGAAACGACGCACUUUAAGGGUUAGGGAUUAAUUUCCCAAUUGGCCCCUGCAUCUUUGUGCUUGCUCCAAUCGACUCCAAAUUAUUUUUUUAUAUUUCAAAUCUAACCCACUGAUUUUAUUUAAAUUCCAAUUCAAUCCUUAGUCAAUAAAAAUUCAAAUUUCACCCUUUUUUAAUAAAAAACGAAAAUGGUCAUUAAAUAUUUUAUUUAACAUCCGUUUAAUUAUUUAUUUUUAAUUGCUAACCAAACUUAUAUAUCUUUCAUUUCAUUUAUUAUUCAUUUUUAUGUGUAUUGAUUUGUAUGUAUUAUUUGUGCCUUUAUUUUCACUAUUUAUUUAUUCGUUAUUUUCAAAUAUUUUCAAAAUUUAGAUUCAUUAGUAUUAUGUUUAUUGUGAUUGUAUUAUUGUUAUUGUUACAUUAUUACUUGCAUUAUUAUUAUUCAUGUAUAUUAGCAUUAAGAUUUAUUAGUAUUAAUGUUAUAUGUGUAUUUUAUGAUGUAUAUUAUGUCAUAAUUAUUUCGAAUGUAUGUUGUAUUAUCGUUAUUAGUCGUGCACGACCCUUUUUCUGUUUUAAACAAUUUCUCCUUCAACACAAUCAAAAUUACACGAAUAUUAUCUUUAUAUAUUUUAUUAGUUCUUACUCAAAUUCAAAAAAAGGAAAAUUUUUAUAAAUAAGGCAAUAUUUUACGUUUGGAAAUUCGAGAAAACGUACUCUAACGUGCUAGGUUUCGAUUUCUCGUUUGACCAAAUAGCCAAGUAUCCUCUUAAAAUUUCAAAGUAUGGGUUUUGGAAACCAUAAGGUAAUUUUGGUUUCUAGGGUUUAAAGUAUCGUAUCCUAACGUGCUAGAUGUGAUAUUCUUUCGGAACAAGAGAAUCUUAAAUUCCAACCCAUAUUAUUUGAAAUUUUUUUUAGGAUUGUAAUUUUUAAAACUCUUCAAAGUUUUCAAUAUUCGACAUUAAGACACUAAUUAAUCAAUUAGGUAUCAAUUUUGGGCGUUACGAGGGUGCUAAUCCUUCCUUGUACAUAACCGACUCCCGAACCUGUUUUUCUGAAUUUCGUAGACCAAAAGCAUUGUUUUAAUAAAUCCAAACCAUUUAUUAAAAACAAUCGUUUUAUGAGGUGACCUGAUCACACCUCAUUAAAAAAGAUUGGUGGCGACUCCAAUGUUCGUUUUUACUUUCAAAUACCAAGUCGACCCCCUUUUAUAAAAAAAUGGUUUCGACAUUAUGAAUAUAUUUAUUCUAGGGUUACUAGUGCCCUUUUUAUAGGCUAAGAUUAGAGUUCUAAUAUUACUAAAAUAUCUAUAGAAUAAUCACAGUUUAACUAGGAAAAGUAACCCUCUUGAAAGUCUAAUAACACAGCUACUCUAAGUUAGAAUUUGUCGCGUUAUCACGACGUACCAAGCUCCCCGUUGUGACAUCGCCUCAGCUUUGCUCUUUUUCAAACAUUGUCGUGUCGUUGCGACAUCGCAUGAUUCCUCGUCGCAAUAUCACCCUUACUUUGACUCUGAUCCGACCCGAAAAUGUGAGACACAUUCCACAAUAUCUAAAUAUAUAUUGAAUUUAAAAAUAAUUGUACAAAGGAUAUGUAAUCCUUGAAGAUUAGAUACAAGUAAUUACCAUUUUAUAUUAAAAGUUAGAAAUAUAAAUUAAAUAUUCUAAACUUUUUUUUAUGUGAAUAAGUCAUGUGUUGAUAUAUUUUAUUGCUCUUGAAUAGAAUUGAAGAGUUUGAAAAACUUGAAGACGUUAGAUUUAAGCUUCAAUGGAAUCAGAAGCCUCCGGCACUUUCAAGGUAUAUCUAACUUUGAUAUUUUAUAUACAAUCAACUAAGUCCUAUAAAAAUAUAUUUAUGAACAAGUUAAAAUGAAUGCUUGAAACAAAUAAUUAUUAUUUGAUAUUAUACAAACAAAUUCUCCUUGAAAUUGUAUUACAUAAGUAUUUUACAGAUGAGAAAUUGCAACCCAUGAUGAGUUUGGAAGUGCUUGAUUUGGAUGGUAAUUUCUUGAAGAACAAUGAUUAUCAAGUUUAAAGUCUUUGAUUAUUAGCCAUAACGAAUUGGAAAUUUUCAUAAAAUAAAAAUAACAAGCUAUAUGUAAAUUACAAUUUCAUCAACCUUUUUUAACUGUUAAAAGAAUUAUAUCCAAAUAUAUUCGUUCUUUUGGUAUUUAGCUUUUUAGGUUGUAAACUAAAGUCAUAAUGAUUUUUUGUCCUCCAAUUUUAAAAACAAAAAAUCAUUUUACCUCUCAAUUUAAUUUUUCAUCUCUUCUAGUCAUUAAACUUCAAUUUUUUUUUGUCAAAUCACCCCAAAAUGAAAAGAAAAGUUAAUAUUUGUUAAUUUUGCUAAUGUGACAUAUAUGUGAAUUGUCAUAUAGAUGACAUAUCAACAUUUAAUUAAUUUUUAAAAUUUAAGUAUUUUUUAAAUAUUUUUUAUUUUUUGAAAUUUAUUUAAAAAAUUAAAUAUUGAUGGAUCAUCCACGUGACAAUCCACAUGUAUGCAAUAUCAACAAAAUUAAAAAAAAUUGUUAAAUUUUCUAUUCAUUUUAGGAUGACUUGAUGAACAUAAGUUUAAGAGAUUAAAAAUCAAAAAAUUAAAUGAAAACCUUUUUUAAGUUAAAAAGAGUUAAAUAAAUUAUUAAUAACUAAAAUAAAAUGUUUUUAAUAAUUUUUUUAUGGAGAAAAGUAGUUGAAUUGCAUGAACCAAAAUUACUGAUUUUUUGUGAUAUAACUUUGUUUGACUGACAAAAAGGGUAUUUGAUUUAUUUGAAUAGCAUUCAAUAAUCUCACAAAAUUGAAGAAGUUGGAUAUGAGUCGCAAUUAUGUUGAGAGACUUGGUAAGUGUCCAUAUAUUUUACUUUAUCAAAUUGCUACAUUUAUUAUACUAAUAUCUAAAUGCUUUGUAGAUGAGGAAAGGUAUAAUUUGACGAAUUUAGAAGUGCUUAAUUUGAAUUACAACUCUUUCGGAAAAAGCUCAUUGGCACAGCUUAGUGGGUUUUCCAAUCUAAAGGAAUUGAGUAUGCAACAAAACCAGGUGCAAUUAUUUAAUAUAUUUAAUUUUCCUUUAAACAAAAUUAACUAUUUAUUAAGUUAUAUUUAUUCUCUAUGAUUUACUUUUAAAUUUUAUUUGUCGACUUUUAGAGAUUGAACAAUUUAGAGAAGCUAAACAUUAGAUAUCUAAUGAACUGAUGUCAACCACUAAUUUGACUCUCAAAAAUGGAAGUUUAGAAAAGCAUUUUAGUAGUUCUUUUAAGAAAAAAAUUAUGUCUAAAUAUAUAAUGAGUUUAAAAAUAAUUGUAUUAAAAUCUGUAAUCGUUGAGGAUUAGAUACAAGUAAUUGCGACUUUAAUAUUAAAAGUUGGAAAUAUGUUGUUAUUUUAAAAUUAAAUGUCCUAUAUUAAUUAUUUUUAUAUGAAUAAGCCUUGUGUUGAUAUUUGAUAUAUUUCAUUGCUCUUGAAUAGAAUUGAAGAGUUUGACAAAGUUGAAGACGUUAGAUUUAAGUGGCAAUAGAAUUGAAAGCCUCAAGCACUUUCAAGGUAUACUUAAAUUUGAUUUUCUUUAUACAAUCAACUAAGUCUUUAAGGCGUUGACCUUAUAUAUUUAUAAACAAGUCAAAGAUGCAACUUUGAGAUAAAUAAUUAUUCAUUGAUAUUAUACAAAUAAUUUUUUUCUCGAAAUUGUAUCACAUAAAUCUUUUACAUUUAUUAAAAGAGAGAACCGAAACAAACUACUUGUUCAGUUAUUAUAUUUAUUUUAUGUGAUUUAAUUAUAAAUUUUAUUUUUCGAUAUUCACAUAAUUAUCAUAUGCUUUGAGUAAAUUAGAGUCAUUGAGAAAAAUAUUUUAAAUUUAAAAAAAAUGUAUAAAAUUUAUAUUUUAUCUCUUAAAUAAUUUAAAUAAUAAUAAUUUUUAUAGAUUAAAAUUAAUAUACUAUCUCUUUUGAAAUAAUAUAAAAAUUAUAUUAAUAUAUAAAAAAUAAAUUAUAAAUUGAAAACUUAUCUCUUAAAUAUAUAAAGUAAAAUAUAUGUACCAAAAUAAUAGGAUUUCAAUUUUAAUUUUUUUUCUAUGUGUUAUCAAUUCUUUAAAACAUUUGACUAUUAAGUUCAAAAAAUUUUAUUUUAAUUAAUACUUGUGCAUUUCACGGAAAAAAAACUAGUUAAUAUAUAUAACCAGCUUUGUAGAUGUGGAAUUACUUAUUUUACAUUCUAUAAAUAUAGCAGCACCUAUAUAAAGUAUACAGUACGCCUUUUAUUAAAUUAGUUCUUUAUAAUAAUUUGUUGUCUUAAAUUUUAGCCUAAUAAAUUCUAUUUCUAAGUGAAAUAAAAUUAAUAAAUUUUAAUUAAGAUAUUAUUUCAAUAAAAUAUUUAAAUUUCAUAUAAAAUAUAUUAAUUAUAUUUUAUUAAAUAAAAAUAGUUUUUAAUAAAUGAAGUUACAUUAGUAAAUUUUAUUAAAGAUACAAUUUAAAUCUCAUUAAUUAAUUUUUAUUAAUAUAUUUUAGUUUUUUUAAUUUAAAAAUUAAAAUAUGAUCUAAAUAUUAAAUGUUGUUAUAAGUGUAUAAUAAUUACUUAUCUAUAACAUCCAAUAGUGGCAAUAUAAAAGUUGAAUAUAAGUGAAUUUUUGUGACUAACAAAAAAUGUAUUGAAUUUAUUUGGAUAGUAUUGAAUAAUUUGACAAAGCUAAAGCAGUUGGAUUUGAGUGGCAAUAAAAUUGAGAGCCUCCAAUCUUCUCAUGGUAUGUGUUGAGAUGUUUUACUUUAUCAUAUUCUUACAUAUACAUACCACUAUCUUAUUUAAUAUUCCAUUAGUAAUAAAUUUGUUUAUCUCAAUGCUUUGUAGAUGGUGAGAGGCCACUUAAUUUAACCAAUUUAGAAGAGCUUAAUUUGGAUUUCAACUCCUUCACAAACAGCUUAUUGGCACAACUUAGUGGGUUUUCCAAUCUAAAGUCACUGAAUAUAAGGAAUAACCAGCUUAAAGGAUCAAUAAAUAUUAAAGGUGGAAUUACUUAAUAUAUUUAAUCUUCCUUUAAAUGAAAUAAACUACUUGUUGAGUUAUUGCAUUUAUUCUAUGUGAUUUAAUUUUAAAUUUUGUUUGUCAAUUUUUACAGAAUUAUUAGAUGCUUUAAGCAACUUAGAGGAGCUAGACAUGAGCGAGAAUGAGGUGAAGGAAAUUGUGCCCAUAAAGAAUAAAGGUUUAUGUAUCAACUAAAGGAAAUCUUACUAAUUGUUUUCCAUUAGAUAUCUAGUGAACUGAUGCCAACCACUAAUUUGACUCUUAGACAAUGGAAGUUUGAGAAAGCUAAAGGUUGCUUCAUUAAACCGUGUGUUCACCGAUGGAACUGCUUCUCUAAUACAGCUUCUAGAGACAUUCUCAUCUGUUAAUACAUUAUAUUUGAGUGGCAAUUACUUCAAAGACACAUUUUCUACUCAAGUUAUAAUAUAUAUGUAUGUGAAUAUAUAGUUUUAUAGUUUGGUCCCAUUUAAAAAUAUUAUUUACUUAACGUAAAUCAUCUAAAUAACGCUUAUAAAUUUGUAAAGAUCAACUGCAUGUAUCGAGCAAAAUAGAGGAAUUGGUGCUGGAUUAUUCAUCUCUCAGCAACAACAUUCUUCAAAGCUUUGGUGGACUGGCUUCUCUCAAAGCCUUGUAUUUAGGUUCCUGUGGGUUGUCUGGGACAUUACAUACCCAAGGUAUAUUAAUAAUUAUGACAUAAUUAUUUAGGCAGUCUCUUGAUUAAUUAUUUUUUUAUCCUCUUAGAAAAUUGGAGUAACUUGCACAAAUUUAUUUUAUAGGAUGGUGUGAUUUACGGAAGCUUGAGACGUUGGAUCUUAGUGAAAAUUCUCUUGGGGGAGCACUCCCUUCAUGUUUGGAAAACUUGUCAUCUCUUCGUUAUUUGGAUAUUUCCGGUAAUCAAUUCAUCGGAAAAGGUGCCUCCACCGCUCUAGCCAAUCUCACAUCGCUUAGAUUCAUGUUUCUUUCACGAAAUCUAUUCGAAGUUCCAUCAAUUUUCAUGUCAUUUGCCAACCACUUACACCUCAAAGUCCUCUUUAGCGAUCAAAACAAGUUAGUCAGAGAGCCUACCAUUCAAACAUGGGUCCCAAAGUUCCAACUAAAAGCCUUCCUUUUCUCGAAUUGCACAACAAAGGAACUCCACAUUGAAAUUCCAAAAUUCCUCUACUACCAAAAUGAUCUGAGUAUGGUUGAUCUUUCAUACAAUAAUUUUUUAGGGAAGUUUCCUUUUUGGUUGUUAGAGAACAAUACAAGAAUGGGAGCAUUUUUAAUGAAGGGUAACUCUUUUAUGGGCCAUCUCAAUCUUCCAUCUCAUCCGAAACCAAAAAUGUCCCUUGUUGAUAUAUCUGACAACAAACUAGAAGGUCCAAUUCUAGCAAGCAUUUGUUCAAUCUUUCCACAACUAAAUGGGUUAAACCUAUCAGACAAUUUCUUUCAAGGAAAUAUUCCUCCUUGUUUAGGUAGUUUGAACACUACAUAUUUAAUAUUAGAUCUGUCACAUAAUCAUCUAUCUGGCGGAAUACCAGAAAUGUUAGCUCAAAGUGACUCGUUGGAGCUUCUUAGGUUAUCAAAUAAUGAUCUAAGUGGGAAGAUAGCCCCAACGAUCUUUUGCUCAUCUUCAUUACAAUUUUUAUAUUUAGAUGGCAAUAAGUUUGAUGGAAAUAUACCUGACAUUGAUAUCUCAACUUGUCAUCCGUAUCCUCUUAGUGAUAUGGAUUUAAGUAACAACAAUUUGUCUGGAGAGCUCCCAAGAUGGAUAUGGAAUAUGUCAUCUUUAAAUGCAUUAUUAGUAUCCAACAAUCAGCUCAAGGGUCUUAUUCCGAAGGAAUUGUGCCAUUAUUCCCUUCAAAUUUUGGACCUUUCAAAAAACAAUUUUUUUGGCCCAAUACCAUCUUGCUUCAAUGUACACAGUAUCAAACAUCUCCAUUUGAGCAAAAAUAGGUUAAGUGGUACCUUGACAAAUGCAUUCUUUAAUAGCUCUUCCUUGGUGACUUUAGAUCUUAGUGAAAACCAGUUGACUGGUGAAAUUCCAUACUGGAUUGGAAAUCUUUCAACUUUGAGUGUUCUCCUUCUAAAAGCCAAUUAUUUUAUUGGAGAAAUUCCCAUUAAGAUAUGUAAAUUGUAUUCAUUAAGCAUCAUUGAUCUUUCUCAAAACAAGUUUUCUGGUCUGAUACCUUCGUGUUUGAGUCGUUUAACUCUUGAGCCAAAUGAUAAAAAUCUUCGACAAUAACCUAUGGGUUGGAUUUUGAUGGAAUCUUGGAGGGAGCUAAUUAUAUUGGAAUGACCAGAUUGGAUUUGUCCGAUUUUGGAUUCAAUCUACAUUUCUUUAUUGAGAAUCUAGAAGAAAAGGUGGAUUAUACAACAAAGGGAGCAUCUCGCACAUACAAAGGAAACAUUCUUGAGUACAUGUCUGGAAUUGAUUUAUCAUGUAAUAGAUUAACAGGUGAAAUUCCCAGAGAGAUUGGAAAUUUGAGUGAAAUCCGAUCACUAAACUUGUCGCACAACAAUUUGACUGGAUAUAUACCGUCAACGUUCUCAAAGCUCAAGCAAAUUGAGAGUUUGGACCUGUCUCACAACAACUUAAUUGGAAGAAUACCUGUUCAAUUGACGGAGUUGUACGCCUUAGCAAUCUUCAAUGUGUCAUACAACAACUUGUCAGGGAGUAUUCCGUCUCCGAAAUUUCAAUUUGGAACCUUCGACGAAAGCAGUUACGUGGCGAAUCCUUUCCUCUGCGGGUCUCCCCUGCAUAAAAAUUGUAGCAACCUUGAUUCACUCCCGACAGCAGCACCAAAGAGCUCAAACGAGGAAGAAGAAAGUGGUUUGAUGGACAAGUAUGUUUUCUGGGUGACCUUUUUUGUUUCUUACGUAAUUGUGUUACUGGUUAUUGUUCUCAUCCUGUACAUAAAUCCUUAUUGGCGACAAGCAUGGUUCUCUUUUGUUGAACACUGCAUCAAGACCUGCCAGUAUUUUAUUGAGGACAAUCUUCUAUGAUUUUCCAUCUUCAAAAGAAGCGGGUAGCCUUGUGCUUUGGUGGUUUACAUCUGUAUGUAAAUUUUUUCAUGUGUUUCUAUUUUUCAAAGUUUGAUUGGGUUAUCUGCUUUUAAGUUUUUAGAGGUAGAAUACAAUAGCUCUGUGAUGUAAUAAUUGCCAGUUUAGUAUAAGAAAACAAUAUAUAAAACUAUGCAUUUUCAGUUAAAACAUUUAAUAUUGCUUUAUAAAUUUUAGUGUUGUGAUAGUAUAAUGUUAAAUUCAAUAUAUGUUUCCUUUUCCAUGAUUACGUAAAAGCGAAAUAUACAAAUCAUAUUAUAUUAAUAUAAUCCACAUUCUUUAAAUCAUAUGCUCAAUUGAAACUUAUAUAUAUAUAUUAUCAAACAUGAAUGAUAUAAACAGUCUUCGAAAAAAGUAUGAUUUUCAUGUUUAGUUAUUAUUAUUUAAUAUUUAAUUGUUUUACUAUUAUUUGAUAUCAAUAAUAUUUAUAUGUUUGUGAAUGUUGUUUGUUAUUGUCUCGUGAAAUAUUAUGUUAAAGAUAAAAGAAGUACUAAGUAAUAGUUCUUUUUAGGUGAAAUUUUGACUCAAGUUUGAAUGGUGAGUUAUUUUAUCUAAUUACUUACGUUUGGAUAGCAUAAAGUAAUUAAAUGGCACUUUUGUAAUUACAAAGAUUGUACUUGAUAGAUGAAAGAACUAGGUAAAGGAAGAAAAUAACUAUCCAAACAGAAAGAAGCAGAGAGUGAAAUAAUAGAAUAAACUUCUUGUUGUUUAUUCAAAUUUGCCUACCUCUUAAUUCUUAAUGUACAGUAUAUAAAGACUUUCUGAAUUAAGUAACAACCUCACUAACUGACUAACUACUUCUAUUCUCUAAUAUUCAUCCAUAUUCUCUAUAGGCAAGACCCGUAGAAAACUCCAAAAACGAGUAAAACUCGAUGACGAAAUUGGCUUAGUGAGAACAUCAGCGACCUGAUCACACGCUGGAACUUCUCCAACAGCAACCGUGCCAUCAGCAACCUUUUCACGAACAAAAAAUAAAUCUAACUCAACAUGCUUAAACUUUGAAUGAAGAACAGGAUUUGCAGCAACUGCAACCGCCCCAGGACUGUCACACCAAAUUUGAGGAACACUAUUAGACUGAACAUGUAAUUCUUUAAGUAGCAACAAAAGCCACGUAACCUCACUAGUAACUGCAGCAAGACUUCGGUAUUCUGCCUCAGCAGUAGACCGAGCAACAACCUGUUGUUUCUUCGUACACCAUGACACAGGUGUAUGUCCGAAAUAAACACAGUAUCCAGUAGUAGACCUCCGGUCAUCAAAAUCUAAUCCCCAGUUGCAUCAGCAUAUCCAACUAAGGACAAACUAGUGGAUGGACGAAACACAAUUCCAAAAUCAAUCGUACCACCUAAAUACCUCAAAAUGCGCUUCAGGGCAGUCAUAUGAAUGGAAGUAGGACAAUGCAUAAAUUGACAUAUUCGAUUAACAGCAUAGGCAACAUCAGGCCGCGUAAGAGUGACAUACUGUAAUGCUCCUGCAAGACUCCUGUAUUCAGUCGGAUCCUGUAGCCGCUCACCACCAUCGCGAGUCAUAACAGAGGAACUAACCAUCGGUGUAUGAACACUCUUCGUAUUCUCCAUCGAACAACGUAUAAGAAUAUCACGUAUAUACUUCUUCUGACAAAGAUGAAGGCAACCUGACGAAGAACGAUUAACCUCUAUCCCAAGAAAAUAAUGAAGAUCACCCAUGUCCUUAAGCGAGAACUCACUAUUCAGCAAAUUAACAAACCACUCUAUGACAGAAGGCAUAUCUCCAGUAAUAAUAAUAUUAUCAACGUACACAAGCACAUAUAAUGUUGACGCUGGUACAACUCGAACAAACAAGGAAGCAUCAGACUUUGAAACUACAAACCCCACGGAGACUAGAAAUCCUUUUAGCCUUUCAAACCAGGCACGAGGAGCCUGACGAAGACCAUACAACGCUUUCUUCAAGCGACACACCAAAGGUCUGCCAUCUGAGCCAUAUUGAACAUAACCGGGAGGUUGAUGCAUAAAAACUUCAGUGUCAAGGUCACCAUUUAGAAACGCAUUAUUCACAUCCACUUGUCGAAGCGACCACCCCCUAGACACAGCAAUAGACAAAAUAACUCUGAUAGUAGCCGGUUUGACCACUGGACUAAACAUUUCCUUAAAAUCACAACCCGGAACUUGAGAGCAACCUUUUGUAACUAAUCGAGCCUUAUAUCGAGCAAUAGUGCCAUCAGAAUUCUUCUUGAUUCGGAACAACCAUUUGCACCCAAUGACCUUACGAUUAUAUGGAGCAGGAACGAGCUCCCAUGUGGAAUUACGCAUAAGAGCAUUAUACUCAUCUUGCGUAGCAGUGCGCCACUCAACAGUAGCCAGAGCUUCUUCAAUUGUAGUCGGUUCAACAGCUUCAACACUUAAAACCUUAGGCUUGUAAACCCCUGCUUUAGCGUGAGUAACCAUUGGGUGAGUAUUGCCCACAGCUGUCCUAUUAAUCUGACUAGACAGUCCCAUAUUAGACGAAGAGAGAGCAUUGGUAUCACUGGAGAAUCCUGAGCCAUGCUCUGAUGGAAGAUCACUCAACUCAGUUCCAUCAUUAGCUGAAUAAUCAUGAGCUGGAAGACUACCCAACCCAGUCCUAACAUCAGUUGAAGGAUCAUGAAACUGGGGCUGCUCCACACUAACAUCUAAUACAGGAUCAGUAGGCUGAGACGACACCCCUUGUACCGACGGUGUCAUCAUGCAUGGCUCAAGAGUCGAGGAUGAAGGUGGCCACACAAGAGGAACAACUGUCGAACUAGUCUGACCGGUUGUUGAUACAGACUUGUCUGAACUAGUCUCGGUAAACAAAAACCUCUGCUCAUCAAAGACCACAUGCCUUGAAAUUAUAACCUUACCAUCUGGUAAAAGACAUUGAUACCCCUUGUGACGAGGACUGUAGCCCAAAAAAGUUGACGGCUGAGACCGAAAUUCCAACUUACGACCUACAAACGGACGUAAGUAAGGAUAACAACAGCAACCAAACACUCGAAGAUGAUCAUAGGUCGGAUCACUUCCAUACAGUUCUUUAAACGGAGAACUAUCCUGAAGUACAACCGUGGGAAGUCGAUUUAUGAGAUGAACCGCACAACAAAACGCAUACCCCCAGUAUUCCAUAGGCAAAUUUGCAUGAGCCAACAACGUAAUCCCCAUUUCAACAAUGUGACGAUGUUUUCGCUCGGCUACUCCAUUUUGUUCUGAAGUAUACGGACAGGUCAGUCGAUGAAUGAUCCCCUGAGAUUCUAAGACAGACGUAAACCCACGAUAUUCACCUCCCCAAUCGCUCUGAAACUGCUUAAUAGACUUGCCAAACUGUGUCUUAAUCAACUGUUGAAACUGAGUAAAACAUUCAAGUGCUUGAGCUUUUUGACGUAAAAGAUAAACCCAAGUAAACCUGGUACACAUAUCAAUAAACGAAACAUAAUAUCUCUUAUCACCACAUGCAACAGGUGCAGGACCCCAAAGAUCAGACACAACCAAUUCAAAAGGACGAUAGCUAGUAGUCGAAUGGGAGAAAGGCAACUUAUGUGACCUGCCUUUUUGACACGCAGUACAUAUACCAUCCAGACCAAUUUUAUUUGAAACAACAUUACAUUUAUUUAGAAUAUUUUUGACCACAGAAGUCGACGGGUGGCCUAAACGAUUAUGCCAUAAAGUAAAUACAGAAGUAGUUGAAACUGUAUGUGGAACUUGAGAAUGAGCAACAAACGGAGUAGUCGUAGGCAACGUAGAAACCGCUGGGACAGAAAACUGAUAUAGACCAUCAUGAAUGCGGCCCGUCAGCAAUAUCUCCUGAGUCAUCGUAUCCUUAAUAACACAAUAGGUAGGGUGAAACUCAAAAAACACAUCAUUAUCACGAGCAAACUAUGAGACAGAUAAGAGAUUUUUCCGUAUACGUGGCACACAUAAAACAUUUGAUAACCGUAACGAUUUAUCUUGAGUAGGUAAAAUGGCCGUACCAAUUGAUGAAAUUAUCGUAGGAGUACCAUCACCCAUUAAAAGAGAUGACUUACCUGAGUAUGGCGUGACAUUACGUAAAGCUGACAUAUCACGACAGACAUGAUGACUCGCUCCCGAGUCAGGAUACCAAGACGUGGUGCCACUGCACACUGGAAUGUACGAAUCAUCAUUACCAGUACUAGAUGCAAGCUGAGCCGUAUUAACAUGAGAAUCUGAUACUGAAGGAUCAGAAUAAUUAGACGCAUGUAAAUCCCCUAGCCGUGGAAGCCCAAUACAUGGAUUAGAUUCGGUAUAGACCCGAGCACGCGGUUUAGUAAAUUUCAGAACCGGACCACCAACACCUAGUCCAUCACCAAUCGGUUCAGGCGAGCCGGGAUCAUCUUGAUCAAGUUGAACAAAAUUAGAGGAUGGUACAAUAUUCGGCCCAGCAUUAAACUGAACAUUCAGUCCAUGAGAAGAGUGUUGAACAUUCGGUCCAUCAUUAAACUGGACAUUUUGUCCAUGGGAUUUGUUUCCACUAGAACCGCGCCACUGUCCAUUUCCAGUAGUGAACCCGUGUAAAGUGUCUCCACUAUACCCUUGCCCAGCAUCAUGACCGAAUUUAGACAAGCUGGGCUUGUAGGCAUCAUUUUGUGCAUUGGACACAUGUGGCCCACGUGGUAAUGGCCUAUUUUGCAUGCCAGCACACACAUUUUGACUAACAUAUCUAUUUUGACCAGCAUGACUCCCUUGACCAUAAAAAAUUCUUUGACUAUUCUGAUGAGGAGCAACCAUCUGUUCAUCACCAUUUUGCACAAAAGUUCCAGAAUCACAACCUUCAACACCAGACAUUUCAUUUGAGUCUCGGUGAUACCGAUAAUAGCACUUUUGAGCCACAUGACCAAACCGACUACAGAUCUGGCAUUGAACACAAGAUCUGAUAAACCGGCCACGACCACGAACAGACGCACGACCUCCACGACCGGCCCCUUCUACCGAUGGCUCAUUUUCAACAAGAUUCGCGUUCAAACUGACCUCCUGCAACACUCGAUCUUGACGACUCUCACAAUCGACUAGCGCAUCCACCAGACGUUGCAACGGUAGAACUACAGGCGACAAACGAGUAGAGGAGAUAACCGCCUCAAACUCCGACGGCAAACCCGCAAGCACCACUUCGAUCUUUUCUUCAUCGGAGAUACGAGAGCCAGAAGCAUCUAGCAUACCACAUAAAUCUUUAAUCCGAGCAACAUAAGCCUUAAUCGAAAGAUUACCUUUCUUCAACGAGUGAAGUUCAUGCCGAAUCCUCGACUGCUUGGCGCCCGUAUCAACUGCAAAAAGAUUACCGACCAUGCUCCAUAUGUCGCACGCCGUGCAAGCAUCAUCAAAGGAGGAUUGAUGAGAGGAAGUUACAGUAGACAGAAGCCAGGACAUUAGCAGUUGAUCUUGCUGCGUAAAGACUUGAGCCGCCGGAUUUGGAGCACGAGAUCCACCGGGUAGAGCGAUGAAUCGCAACGGCGGAGCAACAGUGCCAUCUAAAAAACCUGCGAGUCCAUAGCCAUUAACAAUCAGCUUUACCUGUUUACGCCAUUGAAGGUAAGUACCUUCAUCGAGUUUGACCACUUCAUGUCGAGGAAAAACUGUUGUGACUCGAUCGGCAGCAAAUACACCGGAGCUAGGUUCACCAGACGCUGAAUCAGCGGAAGCCAUGAGAAGCAAUGACCAGAAUCACUUGGCGAAUGAUACCAUGAAAGAACUAGGUAAAGGAAGAAAAUAACUAUCCAAACAGAAAGAAGCAGAAAGUGAAAUAAUAGAAUAAACUUCUUGUUGUUUAUUCAAAUUUGCCUACCUCUUAAUUCUUAAUGUACAGUAUAUAAAGACUAUCUGAAUUGAGUAACAACCUCACUAACUGACUAACUACUUCUAUUCUCUAAUAAUAGACGUGUUUGAGUGACACAAUUCCCUAUGUCAUGUUUGUUAAUAUAAAUUGUAAUUACAUAGUUACAUUAUAAAAUUUUUGGUGUUAAAUUUCGCAAAAUUCUGAUAAAAUAGUGAGGUUAACUGAGAAGCGAAUUUAUUAUUUUUGGAGCUUGUUAUUAUUUUUGAAAUUUUUAGUUAUUAAUGGGUAAUGAUGUCGACUAAGAAUCGAAUUGGCCCAAGGGACUAAAUUGAAAGAGGAGUGAAAAGGGAAAGUUUUUAAGUACUAAUAAGCCCAAGGGCUUAAUGGCCAAUUGGCCAUAGUCUUUUAAAGCACUAAAAAUCACGUCCUUUCUAGCCCUUAUUUUCAACUUCUCUCUUUGGCCGUCUGUCUACACUUGCACCGUUGAAAUCCCUUCAAAUCCUCGCCACUUUGUGUCUAAAUACCAUCAUCGAUUGCCACCACUGAUAUCAGCUGCAAUUGCUCUAAUUCACUGCGGACAAUUGCCUUAAUUUGUAGAUGCUCAUUAUUCACAUUAAAGUUUAUUUCUCUAAUGGAAUUGAUGCUAUGGUUAGUCUUAUUUUCAAAGAUGAUUAAGUUUCAUUUGAUUAGAAUUAGUUGGAAUAUGUGCGGUUAACUUCUAAUUAAAAUUAUUUAGUUUAAGAUUCAUUAAUAAAUUAUUUUUACCGUGGUUUCUUUGAUUUAUUGCUGUAAUUUUUUGUUUACUUUUAUUUGUUGUCAAAGGGUAAAUUAUCUGAUACUUUUACAAUGAACUUAGAAUUAUUUUUGAUGAAUUCGAAGCGAAAAACUAGAUAAUUCGAUGAAAGUGAAGCUGGUUGUGAAUUAAUUGCUCCUAAGCUACAAACACUAAGAAAUUCAGUUUGUUACCUUUACGUUUUAAAAUAUCUUAAUGUUGUUAAAUUAUUAGCUUUGUUGUGAUUCUUGCAUGUAAAAUUUUACUUGUGUAGUUGUUUAUUAAAUUGUUUUUAAUGAUGGCUCCUAUUGUUAAAUUGAUAUUCUUUAUUAAUUGAUUAUUUUCCGAAAAUUAUUGUUAAAAGUACGAAUUUAAUAAUUGACUAAAUACUUGAUAAAGUUAGUUGGAAAUUCUUCGGAUAUAAUUAGCAUGUUGUAGAGUGUAGAGGUCUCCAUCAUUGUUUGUUGUUCAUUGUGUGGAUUGCCUUAAGCAUAUGGGAGUAUUGUCAUUGUUGCCUCUUUGCGCAUAUAGUGUGAUGGUAGGUCAUUGAUUAAGUUGCAUUUAUUACGCAAUGCAGUACUGUCAUUGUUGACGCUUGUGCCAUUUUCAUUGACCGUUUGGUGUUUGGUUGGACACUCUUUUGUCCGAAUGUCUUUCCUUCUUGUGUUACUUAGGCAAAAUAAUUAAAUGAACUUAAACAUUAAAUUGAAACACUAUCAUUAUUUAUUGAAUGUAUUGCUAAUGUUUCAUUGUUAUUUUAAAUUGCUACCUUGUGACUGACUUGUGAUUGUAUUGUGUCUUUGAAAAUUAUUUUAAUUAUACACUUUGGUAGUUUAAAAUGUAUUGGAUUACUACUAAGCUGUAAAAAGGCAUAGCACUUGGGUUUUUAAUUUCUUGUGCAAGUAAUAUUUGGAUCGCAUAGUUUGUGAUAUCGUGAUCGAGCAACAUCACCAAAGAGUUUAGCAUGUACUUAGGUGUUGUUAAAUUGGUCAACUUGUUUACUUUAGUUUUAUUUUAGAGCUUAUUGAUUGAUUGAGCAUUGUUAAAUUAUUUUAUUAUUUGACUUUACACUAAUGUUUAAAUUUUAUGAUUUUAUGUGAAAAUGAUUGAAUGAUUGAUUAUUUGGGUCGCUCAGGUGACCGUUGUGACACUUUCGAUCCAAUUGAACUUUUGAGUCGGGUUUGAGGUGUUACAAACAUAAUUUAUAUUUUUUAAAAAAUAUUAAUUAGUAUAAAAAUUAUUAGUAUGAUCAAAAAUAAUUUCUAAACAAAUUGUCAAAACCAUUUUUUUGUAAAACGGGGGUCGACUUUUAUUUUGAAAACGAAAACGAACACAGGAGUCGCCACCAAUCCUUUUUGAUGAGGUGUGAUCGGGUCACCUCGAAAAGUUUUUAAUAAACGAUUUGCUUUUAUUAAAAUAACGAUUUUUGGUCCACGAAAUAAAAAAAAAACGGGUUCGGGAGUCGGUUACGUACGAGGAAGGAUUAACACCCUCGUAAUGCCCAUAAUUGGUACCUAGUUGAUUAAUUAGUGUCUUAGUGUCGAAGAUUGAAAACUUUGAAGAGUUUUUAAAAAUACGAUCCUUAAAAAAAUCGAAUAACAUGGGUUGGAAUUUAGGAUUCUCUUGUUCCGAAGGAAUAUCACAUCCAGCACGUUAGGAUACAACACUUUAAACCCUCGAAACCAAGAUUACCUUAUGGUGUCCAAAACCCAUACUUUGAAAUUUUAAGAGGAUAUUUGACUAUUUGGUCGAACGAGAAAUCGAAAUCCAGCACGUUAGGGCACGUUUUCUCGAAUUUCCAAACGCAAAAUAUUGCCUUAUUUUUAAAAUUUUCUUUUUUACAAAUUUGGGUAAAAUUAAUGUAAUAGUUAAUAAGAUGUACUUUUAAUAUAUGCGAACAUGGUGUGAAGGUGAAAAAUUUUUUUUACGCAAUAUAUAGUACAAUAAUAAUGAAAUAACAUAAAAUAACCAUAUUAGUAGAAUAUUUAAAAAGUAAAUAAUAAAUAAUGGAAUACAAUAAUAAUGACGUAAUUAUAAUAAUAACACCAAAUAAUAAUAACAAUAAUCAUAUUAGUUACUAUUCUAAUACUAAAAAAAUAUAAAAAUGAAAUAAACACUAAUAAUGAUGAUGAUAAUAAUAAUAGUGAUAAUGAUAAUGAAAUGUAUAAAUAAAGGAAUAAAUAACAAUAUAAAUACUAAAUCAAGAAUAGUAAGGAAAUGGAUAAAUGAAUAUGUAUAAAUAAAUAAAACUGAACGAAAAAGAAUAAAUAAAUAAAUAAAAGCUUGAAAUUAAGCGAAUAAAGGAAUAAAUUGAGGUUAAAAUAAAAUUUUAAGUCUAGAUUAUAAUAAAAUGGAUGGAUAAACGUAAAAGGGACUGGAUCAAAUUUUGAAUGGAAUUUAAAGGUAUAAAUCGGAAUAAAAAAAUGACGUAAAGGACCACAUUGAAAAGCGCGAAUAACAUAGAGGGGCCAAAUGGGAAAAUAUUCCCGCCCUUCAAAACGCAUCACUUUACACGGGGCUAAAAUGCAAUAAAAGCAAAAUUCUAGGGCAAGAUCAAAAAAAGAACACAAAAAAAUUCAAAUUGAAGCGGGCCGAGGAAGCGGAAAGACUGAACAAGUAAAUAUCCCUUCCACUUAAAAAAACACGCGGAUCCUUAUCCUGGAGCGGGUUGGGUCAACCCAUUUCGCAUCAAAACGACGCCGUUUUGAUAAGUUAUAUAAACCAAAUUUUUACCAAAAGUUUUAUUUUGCCCAUUAUUUUAAAAAAAACUUUAAAAAUCUUUCAAAAUUUCUCUCAAGCCUUCCCGCGUCUGGCCAUAACUCCGACCAGUCGUCACCGUACCGUAACCUUAUCCUUUCGACCCUCCUAAAUCCAAAUCUGGGUUCAAAAUUCCCAAAAUAUUAACAAAAAUACCUCAAAAGCUCAAGAAACCUUUCGAUUUUCGGUCACCUAUCCUCAGAGGUGACUUCCUCAGCCAUCCACGGUGUUGAAAAACUCGAAUACAGGUUAGUUUGUUACUCCCUUUUCAUUUUGUUUUACUUUCGUAUGUGUAAAUAUGAUAAAAAUAAAAUAACAGUAGACCAAAAAUGAAACGAAGAUUUAGAAAAUAGCAGUAGAUGUAAACCUUUCGGGAUUUUUCUAAUUAUUUUGAGUUUUUCGAGUAUUCGAUCCCUUUUUUUAUUACAUUGAUUGAUGGGGCCUUUUAUAGCCGAUUUACAUGCUAUUUUUUGUUUGCUUUCGCUUUUGUUCUUGUUGAUUCUGUGUCUGUCUCUUUUUUGUUCUGUUUGCAGGUCUUGGCAAGGUCAACAGAUGUUGAAGGGAUAACCCCUGCCAUUUUCGUACAAGGCUGUAGACGCCUGUCAGGCUUCGGGCGACGAGUGCGCUAUAGGGGCACGAAGAGGGAGUGCGGCACACAUGGAGCACUAGGGUUUCUGUUUUCCUCUGAAAGCAGUUAGGUUGUGGGCUGAAUUGGGUUAGGUUUUCUUUUUUAUUUUGGGCCAUACCAGGCCUGGCAUGUAAUUAGGGUUUGGGUUUGUUAUUUGAGUUUUGGGCCCGGUCAAAAAUGGCCUAUUACAGCUGCCUAUCUUUGCUUAUUGUCGUGUAACGGGAAUGAAACAAAGACUUUAAAAGGGCCAAUUUUGCCCGGUCUUGCCGAGUCUUGACUCCUUUUAGUGUUUCUCUUUUCAAGUAGCUUCACUCUAUUCCACUGUGUCUUGUUGCUUCAAUACACUCCACUGUAACUUCAAAAAGAGAUACGACUUGUAGCUUCAAUCUACUCUGCCAUAAUUUCAGAAGGAUGAGAUUUAUGGUUUUAGUCUGCUCCACUAUAACGUCAGGGAGAUAAGACUUGUUGCUUCAACCUACUCUACUGCGACUUCAAGGAGAUAAGGUCUGUUAUGGUAGACUUAAUCUGACCUACUGCAACUUCAGAGGUAUAUGAUUCAUCGUUUUAAUCCGCUCCACUUCAACUUCAGGGAGAUAGGAUUAAUAGCUUCAAUCUACUCCACUACAACUUCAGAGAGAUAAGAUUUGUGGCUUUAAUCUGCUCCACUGCUCUACUGCAACUUCAGGGAGAUAAGGUUUGAUGUGAUCUGCUCUACUGCAACUUCAGGUUUCAAUCUGUUCCACUGCAGCUUUAAGGAAAUGAGAUUUAUAGUUUGUCUUCAAUCUACUCCACUACAACUUCAGGGAGAUAAGAUUGGUUUAUUUUUUAACCUGCUCCACUGCAACUUCAAGGAGAUAAGGUUUGAUGUGAUCUGCUCUACUGCAACUGCUCCACUACAACUUCAGGGAGAUAAGGUUUGAUGUGAUCUACUCUACUGCAACUUCAAAGAGAUAAGAUCUGUAAUUUAUAGCUUAAAUCUGUUCCACUACAACUUCAGGGAAAUGAGAUUUAUAGCCUGUCUUCAAUUUUCUCCUCUACAACUUUAGGGAGAUAAGAUUGGUUUAUUUUUUAACCUACUCCACUGCAACUUCAGAGAGAUAAGGUUUGUCAAGAUCUUCAAUCCAUCCCACUGCAACUUCAGAGGCAUAAAAUUUGCCGCUUCACUAAUCUAUUAUGCGGUGAACUUGACCUGUGGAAUCCAUUUCAUAGACCUAUUUAUGCCUAGUGAUUAGGAUGUCAUAAAUCAGAAUGAAUCAAAUGCUCCUAACUAGGUGUGUAUGAAUGAUAUUUGCAUGAAUGCAGAACAUCAUUUUUUGAGAAUAAUCCCUCUUUAAUGUUUGGGUUAUCAUUGCUCAUUGUUCAUCAAGGUUUUAUCGUUAAUGCAUUACCCUACCUUCUUGUUCAACUGGUGUCUUUAACAGAAAAUCCAAAGAAAUAGUCACAAUUUAGACUAUUCUUUUUCAAAUGUUUCCAACCCUCAGGUUUGGUUAGUUCUAAACAAUAAUCCUGUUUCGAGUCCUCGUAUCAUUUAGAAGCUUUCAGAGUAAUAUGCAGAACUUCUUUUGCUUGAAUAUUAUUGAUCCAUUAAUUAUUAUUUCAAUGAAAAAUGCUUGGAAAGAAUUAUCACAAUGGACAAGAUGGAAUUUCAUUAGGAGCAAAGCUCGAACUGAAUGAAUUAAUCAAGAUAACAAGUUUUUUCCAAAAUUACAAAAUGAGAAUCAAGACAACGUAUUUUGCCAAAAUAAAAAAUGAAUGAAAUGGAAUAGGUGCCUUAGAUAUCGUAGUAUGAACUUCUCUGCACAAAGCCUUUGGAGGACCACUUUAAACUUGAUAGAUGUCCAGGAGGUCCGCAGUAUUUCGUUGAUGUCCCAAGACGCAUAAUCUCUCUUUCUUGUUAAUUCAAGCAUAGUAAAAAUUGUCGCAUGCCCCACCUUUGAUCACAAUUUGAAUUGCCCUUUUUCCCCAGGUUUUCAAUUCAAAACCCCUUUGGUCUCAAAGUGCCCUUCAUGGGUUUUCGCCUUGGCCUCUCCUCUUUUGUUUUAGGCGAGGUACUUUUUCAUUGAAUUCGAAUUCACAGGAUUAGGCAGGAUUUUUCCAUCCAUCUCAGUCAAAAUUAACGCUCCUCCAGAAAAGGCCUUCUUUACUACAUAAAGUCCCUCACAGUUUGGCAUCCACUUUCCUCUAAAGUCUUUUUGUAUGGGAAGGAUCUUCUUCAGUACCAAAUCCCCUUCAUGAAAUUCCCUAGGACGAACCUUCUUAUUGUAAGCUCGUAUCAUUUGCUUCUGGUACAUUUGACCAUGACGGAUAGCUCUCAACCUCUUUUCUUCGAUCAAGUUUAGCUGAUCAUAUCAAGAUUGGAUCCAUUAUGCUUCGUCUAACAUUAGUUCUGAAAAAACUCGGAGAGAGGGAAUUUCAACCUCAAUUGGCAGUACUGCCUCCAUUCCAUAAACCAAAGAGAAAGGCGUUGUCUCGGUAGAGGUCCUGACAGAUGUUCGAUAAGCAUAGAGGGCAAAUGGUAACUUCUCAUGCCAAUCUCUAUAAGUCUCAGUCAUUUUUCCCACAAUCUUCUUGAUGUUUUUAUUGGCUGCCUCCACUGCGCCAUUCAUUUUCAAGCGAUAUGGCGAUGAAUUGUGGUGCUUGAUCUUGAAUUGACUACAGACCUCCGCUAUCGUGUUGUUGUUCAAAUUCAAAGCGUUGUCAGAUUUAAUCCUUUCGGGUAUCCCAUACCGACAUAUGAUCUCCUUUUUUAGAAAUUUACUGACGGUCGAUUUUGUGAUGUUGGCGUAAGAAGUAGCUUCUACCCACUUAGUAAAGUAGUCAAUUACUACGAAGAUGAAUCGAUGCAUGUUUGAAGCUUUUGGUGAUAUUGGUCCAAUGACGUCCAUGCCCCACAUGGAAAAAGGCCAUGGAGAAGUCAUGACAUGAAGAGGUGAAUGAGGCACAUGAAUUUUGUCCCCAUAAAUCUGGCAUUUAUGGCAUUUCUUAGCAUACUUGAUGCAGUCCCUUUUCAUGGUGGACCAAUAAUAUUCGAAUCUCAUGAUUUGCCUGGUCAUUGUAAAACCAUUAACGUGUGUUCCAUAGACACCAUCAUGAACCUCUUCUAAGAUUUGCUUAGCCUCAAUAGCGUCCACGCAUCUUAGCAACACUUGAUCAUUUCCUCUUUUAUAUAGGAUCUCUCCAUCCAAGACGUAGUCAUUAACCUGCCUUCUUAACGUCCCCUUGUCAUCCUCGCUUUCUUGGUUUGGGUAUUCCUGACUCUUCAUGUAUUGUAAUAUAUCGCGAUACCAAGGGUGAUCACCCUUUUCCUCUUCUUUGUCGACAUUGCAACAGUGGGCUGGUGCUUCAUAAAUGCUCAUUCUGAUGGGCCUCACAUCCUUUGUUUAUUUACUUUGAUCAUAGAAACCAAAGUAGCCAAAGCGUCGGCCAUCUGGUUUUCUUCUAGCGAAAGGUAAGAGAAGGUGAUGUCAUCAAACUCGUCAAUUAGCCCUAUAACCAGCUUUCGGUAAUUGACUAAUUUGCGAUAUCUUAUCUCCCACUCCCCUUUGAGCUGAAAAACCACCAGUACAGAGUCCCCAUAUACCUCUAACACUUUAAUCUUAUGUUCCAUGGCUGUACGAAUCCCCAUAAUACAUGCUUCGUACUCGGCCAUAUUAUUUGUGCAAUCAAAACCCAAUUUACAGGUGAAUGGAUAAUGAUCUCCGCUUAGGGAUACCAAAACUGCCCUAAUUCCGUUGCCUACAGCAUUUGAAGCCCCGUCGAAGUUUAAUUUCCAAGCACCGCUUUCUUGAGUGUAUUUUUCAACAGUUCCCACAUACAUCAGAUCCUUAUUUAGGAGAUCAAAGUUCAAAGGCUCAUAGUCUUCUAGAGCUCGACUAGCUAGAAAAUCUACUAUCGCGCUUCCUUUUAUAGCUUUUUGAUUCACAUAGACUAUGUCAAAUUCAGACAGUAGAAUUUGCCAUCUGGUCAUCCUUCCAUUUAGAGCGGUUUACUCCAUCAUGUAUUUCAGAGGGUCUAGUUUCAAGAUUAACCAAGUCGUAUGGUACAACAUGUAUUGUCGCAACCUCCGAGUAGUCCAGAUUAAGGCGCAACAUAAUUUUUUGAUUGGGGAGUAUCUUGUCUCACAUUCGGUGAACUUCUUACUGAGAUAGUAUAUUGCUUUUUCUUUUCUUCCCAACUCAUCAUGUUGGCCGAGCACGAAUCCGAUGGAGUUUUCAAAUACUGUUAAAUAUAGUAUCAGGGGCUUGUCUGGGCAAGGCGGUGUUAGUACUGGAGCGUUGGACAAGUAAUACUUGAUCUUGUCAAAGGUUUUCUGGCACUCCUCGUCCCAUAUGCCCGGAUUAUGUUUCUUAAAGAGACGGAAGAUAGGGUCACAUUUUUCAGUUAACUGUGAAAUAAACCGAGCAAUGUAGUUUAGUCUUCUUAGAAAACCCCGGACUUCUUUCUGAGUGCGUGGUGAAGGCAAUUCUUGUAUGGCCUUGACUUUGUCUGGGUCAAUCUCAAUUCCCCUUUCACUGACUAAAAGUCCUAGCAACUUUCCUGAUCUAGCCCCGAAAGUGCAUUUGGCUGGGUUAAGUUUUAGCUGGAACUUCAUUAACCUUAGGAACAGUUUUCUCAAUACUUGCACAUGUUCUCCUUCUGUCCUAAACUUUACAAUCAUGUCAUCAACACAGACUUCUAUCUCUUUAUGCAUUAUAUCAUAGAACAAAGUUACCAUGGCUCUUUGGUACGUUGCCCCUGCAUUCUUUAAUCCGAAUGGCAUCACCUUAUAGCAAAAUGUUCUCCACAUAGUUACAAAUGUGGUCUUAUCCAUGUCUUCAGGAUGCAUUUUUAUCUGAUUAUACCCCGAGAAGCCAUCCAUGAAGGAGAAAAGUGAGUAACCUGCUAUGUUGUCCACCAGAGUGUCGAUAUGGGGUAACGGAAUAUUGUCUUUUGGACUAGCUUUGUUCAAAUCUCUAUAAUCUACGCACAUCCGUACCUUCCCAUCUUUCUUAGGGACAGAGACUAUGUUGGCUACCCAAUCCGAGUACUUGACCACUUGUAAGAACCCCGAGUCGAACUGCUUCUUGACCUCUUCUUUUAUUUUUAACAAAACAUCAGGCCUUAUUCUUCGUAGCUUCUGUUGCACCAGUUUACAUUCUUCUUUUAUGGGCUGUCGGUGUACUACAAUAUCAGUACUUAGGCCAGGAAUGUCUUGAUAGGUCCAUGCAAAGACAUCUUUAAACUCUUGAAGUAAUCCAACGAGGUCUCGUUUUGUUUCCUCAGUAACGCAAGCGCCAAACUUUACUUCUUUCUCUUCUUCUAAACCCACUACUUCCACGGAUUCCUUAUAAGGUAAGAUUUGUUUCUCUUCUUGCUCCACCAUUCUUAACAAAUCAGGAGAUAAUACGCUGUCUUGGUCAUCUUCAAAACCCUGACGAUCAUCCGUACUCAUGUCUUGUUCAAAUAGGGACUUUGAGUCAGUAACAGCGUCGCUCACAUCAUUGAUAUCUGAAGACCUGUUAUUGGGAGAAAGGAAGGUCCAAAGAAAGAAGAAUCUAAGCAUAAUUGUUUACACAGUAUGAUUAUAAAUUGAAUGAAAAGAAUAGAAGAAUAUUUGCUCAAAAUGAGACUGAAUGAUGUGUUUUCAUUGAAAUAAGAUUUUGGACAUGUGUCUUUUACAAAAUAUUCUUAUUGCCCCCAGGCUUAGGGCAACAAGUGUUCUAGAUAUUACUCUGAAUUAGUUCUAAAUGUUAUAGGGAUCUCUUCUGCAGUCUAGUUGUCUAGAACACUUCCAGGUUCGUAAGGGCGGAUGCCUGAUACACUUCCUUCUUCGAGUUCUUUUUUGAAUAUGGCAUUGAUGUUCAGGUUUUCUAACAUUUCCUCCGUAGUAUCCCUUCUUGGUGUCCUUCGUUCAGGAUAAAUAGUUCCCCCUGAUAUAAAGGUCCUAGAUAUGUGGGGGAAGGUCAUAGGUUCCCAAUCGACUUCUUUUCCACUCAAACGCGCCUUCCUCUUCUCUUGUCUUUUUUCUAACUCUUUCCUUCUUUACUUCGCAUUUGGCUUAGAUCCUAAACCAAAGCGGUCUCGUUUAUCUUUUAUCAUUGGUACCUCUAUCCUUCAUUGAAGACAUCUUCCGAAUCCUCUCCCAGACACUGCUCCUUUUCCAAUCGUCAUUUGCAGUCCCAUCCUCGUAGUUUUGGAUAUGCUAGGCAUCGUGAUCUUAUUCCCCUCAACAACAAAAGUUGCGUUCACGAAUUCUAAGGAUCAAAAGGAACAUUCAAUCGCCUCAUCAUUCGUUUCUAAAUAUGGUGUGUCGCUGGUUACCGAUGCAAUAAUGUCUUCUUUAGCGCUUAUAGUAACUAGUCGGCCUUCUAUUACCAAUUUCAACUUCUGGUGCGAUGAUGAAGGCACUGCUCUAGCUGAAUGAAUCCAAGCUCUUCCCAACAAGUAAUUAUACGAAGGUUUGAUAUCCGUCACUAGGAAAUCUACCUUGUAUGUAUUCGGGCCAAUCAAGAGAGGUAUUUCUAUUCUUCUCGUUACUUUUCUUUCAGUGCCAUCAAAUGCUCUCACUAUAUUCUGGCAUGAUUUCAUGUGAGAGUUAUGCAUCGGUAACCUGUUUAAGGUGGAUAAGGGUAAGACAUUCAAGGCCGAUCCAUUAUCAAUUAACACCACCGGAAACGUGUAUCCCUUGCAGCGAGUGGUGAUAUUUAGGGCUUUGGUGGCUCCUCUCCCCCCCCCCCGAUGAUAUUUCAUUAUCAUUAAAGAAGAUGAAGUUGUCGGCACUUAUAUUGUUAACCAAGCAGUCUAACUUGUUCACCGAGAUAUCGUUAGCGACAUAAGUUUCAUUUAGUACUUUUAUCAACGCAUUACGAUGUGUCUCUGAACUUAGAAGCAACUUAAGCACCAAGAUGCAAGCUGGUUGCUUAUGUAGUUGUUCCACCACGCUAUACUCACUGUGCUUUAAGAAUUUUAGAAAUUCUCUAGCCUCAUUUUUAGUUACCGGCUUGUUAACAUGCGAUUCAAUUCUAAUCGUUUUUGCUUCCCCUCGCUCAACCGCUAAGGUUUUUCCUUUUGUGGUUUCCACUCUUGCAUUUGUCGAAUCGUAGCAUUUUUCGCUUCGUGUAUAGAAGCCUAUAUCAUCACCCUUUUUUGAAGUAUUUAUUGGGUUCUCUUCUCCCGGGAUCGUCACGUUGCACUCGUAAUUCCAAGAAACCCAUUUGCUAUUCUUAUAAAGAAAUUAUAUGGGUUUUUAGAUUAUGACCCUUGGCGCUAUUUCUAUUCCAGAUUCUGUGCUCCUUGGCCUUGAAAUAAUCACCACUGAGUGAUUAACCCUUUGGGCUUCCCCGUAGAUUCUUCCUCCGAGGUGUAAAUUUCCCCUUCUUCUAAUCCUUCAACCUUUUCAUAAAACUUCAACUCUUUGUUAUCCAUUAAGUUUUGCAUCAUGGUUCUGAACUCGGUGCAUUUUUAAGUGUCAUGGCCCUCUUCAGCAUGGAACUCGCAAUACUUCAUCGUCCCUUUGGGCCUCUCCGUUGAAUCUUGCUUGAUAAAACCUCCCUCUAUCAUUCGUUUCCAAACCCAUUUCAACGGGGUUUUUAUCUCUGCUACGUCAGCUUUAACUCUCCUUCCCCACUCUCGAUUAUUGCGUUUACCUCUUUAUCAGAAUGAUUGGUUAACGGAUUCCCUGCUACAUUUGGUUCUGGUGGGUCGUCAAACUUUACAAUCCCCAUCUUAAUGAAUCUUUCCACCAUCUUCUUAAACGCAGUGCAGUUCUCAAUCGAGUGUCCCGUUAUCCCUGCUUAGUAUUCACAUUGGGUAUUCACGUCGUACCAUUUAGGGUAUGAAGGUUGCAUGGGUUUCAGAUAAAAUGGAGACACGACGUGUGCAUCGAAUAGAUUCUAAUACAGUUCUCUAUACGUCAUUGAGAUACGUGUGAAUUGGGGUCUUUCUACAUUCGACCUUGGAUGGGAUUCCUGCCUUAAAAAGCCUUGAUGGCUAGUGGUUAUUGCUCUUGCUUGUCCCACCGUGAUUGGUUUAGAAUAGCCUUUGUUAAACAUACUUGCAUUGUUUAUCUCGUGCUCUUUCUUUCUUGGGGCUGACCUCUUGGCACUUUCCCCCGCUUCUAUCUUGCCGCAUAUUAUUGUAUUCUCUAUCAUUUCUCCAGACAUCACUAUGUCUGAAAAGCUUUUAGUGGCGCUGUCUAACAUGUGAUUGAUGAACAGAGCCUUCAAAGUAUUGAUGAAAAGCAUGGUUGUCUCUUUCUCCAGAAGUGGUGGUUAGACUUGCAUUGCUAUUUCUCUCCAUCUUUGGGCGUACUGUCUGAAGCUCUCACUAGGCUUCUUUUCCAUGUUCUGUAAUGUAAUUCGACCGGGUGCUAUAUCCUUCACAUGACUGUACUGCUUCAUAAAAGUCUGUGCCAAGUCCUUCCAUAAAUUGACUUUAGUCUGGCUCAAUUGGUUGUACCAUUUAGCCGCCGACCCGAUCAAGCUGUCUUGGAAAUAGUGCAUCAAUGUUGAUCAUUAUUGAUGUAUCCUGUUAUCCUUCGACAGAACAUAGUGAUAUGAGCUUCAGGACAGCUAGUCCCGUUAUACUUUUUAAACUUUGGCAUUUUGAACUUAGGUGGAAGCACCAGAUCAGGAACCAAACUCAAGCCUUUGGCGUCAAUUCCACAAUGGUAGUCGGCGUUCUCCAUGGCUCUAAAUUUCUCCUCUAUCCAUCUACACGAUCCUCAAGUUGUUUUGGCAAGUCCAUUCUUACCUUUUCUAUUUCUGCCACGUCAUCGAGAUCAGGGACCACGGGAUUGGUAGGGUUAUCCCCGGGAUUAGAACCCGAGCUUAUUGGAAAGUUCAUUGACACUAGGGCCCCAACCUGAUAUUGGGAUCUGAUAGUGACAGGUACCCUUCAUGGGUACACGUCCGGUUGCGCUUAGAUGUUAGUUAGGGUAAAACCUGGAGGAUAGGCAGGGUCUUCAUGAUCAUCCCCAGAAUUGACCACAGGGCUCUUCCCUUUAUCAUUUUCUCCAGCCAUUAACUGUGUUAACUAGCUCAAUAAAUUUCUUUGGGAUUCUUACAUGUCUUGUUGCAUUUUAGCUAGUUUUUCCUGCAUCUGAACUUGCAUCUCUUUUCACAAUUGUUCCAAUCUUUCUAAUAUCUGAUCCAUUACUUUUGUCUUGCGGCGGGUACCGUAGUGAUAUAUAGUUGGCUGAUUUUUGUUGGUUUCCAAGGUAACUGUCAUAAUUUUAAUUAAUUAGGGCUCUUUUUUGAAACUUUAAUGCAUAUGAUGAGAUGUAAUGCAAAUGAAUCAAAGCAAAAAGAGGCAUUGAUUCUAAUUCAAUUUCAUUAGAAAAACUCGAUUAGAAAACAAAUUUCUUUACAUAAAAUGGAUUACAUAUAUGGCUUCGCCUUUAUACUCAAAGCCUUAACCCUCUUAAGGAGCCAAGCUAACUCUCAACCUCGGCUUGAUUCUGAUUCAUAUUUUAAACUCAAUACAUCAGCCUGAACUGCUAAGGUUUGCAGAUGAUCAGCUACUUCCUGCACUUAAGUUACAACUUCACCCAUAAUGUAAUCUUUAUCUCUAAUCUGACUUUGGGAAUGAUGGAGCUGUUCUUGCCACUGUUCGUUACGCCUCUCAAGAAGUUCCACUCGUAAUUCAGAGUUUUGCAAUGCGUCUUCGAGCUUUUCUAUUUUCCCCUUCAAUUUUUCGAUCUUUCCUAAACUUGCUCUUAACUUGAUCAUUGAGUUGCGACUACGGUACAGGUGAAGCGACUUUUCUAACUAUACUACCCGAGCUUUUAAUCUCGCUUCUUCAUUUCAACAUUCUAACAAGUUUUUCUCUAAAGCUCUCUCUCGAGCUUGGGCGUCUUAAAAUUUCUUUUCCCACUGAUCAGCCAUGGUCUUUUCUUCCUUGAUCUCCUGUCGCCAUUACUCCGACGUUUUACCUAAACCGACAGUUCUUAUUGACAAACGCAGCUUCUUAUAAUCUAUUUUUAGACUAUCUAAAUCCUCUUCAGCCUUGUUCUUCCCUUUCCUUAAUUUUUCGAUUUUUAACUUGUGGAUAUCGACAUCUAGUCCCAAACGCAUCUUUUCCUCUUCUAGCUGCUCUAUCUUCUUUCCUAACUCUGAACUUCUUUUUUCAAAGUCCUGUUUGAUGAUCUCUAAUUCUGAUGGAACUUCUUGUAGAUGGUCCUCUAUAGAUCGAAUGCAUUCUUUUCUCGACCCGGAGAUGUUGUUAUUGACCCUCUUACUCCAACACCCAUAAUAUUCGAAAGUUGUCAUUGCUCUUACGGUAAAUCUUUUCAUCCGGUGAACUUGUUUCCAAGCGCUAAACAUUUCUCGAAUCUUUCUCUUGUAGUUAUCACCCUUAUAAGAAAACUCACACUGAGUCAGCCCUUAUGUUGUCGGUAUGAACUAUCUUGAUUUAUAUUGUCUUAAUACGAGCAAAGGGGUAUAUUCGACAGCUCUCCAAAUUCUAAGUAAAAGGACCAAGUCGAAGUUUUCACAUCGAUAUAGGAUAUCGUCGGGCACCAUCCAAUGAGCUUUCCAUUCAACAUCUUUCUCUUGAAGAGUUUGGAGAAUCACCAUCCAUUUCUCUUCUGUGAUGUCGUUUCAUCUUGGUGUAGCCACUAGUUCCUUUAAUGGGGAGUAGUUUUCUAAGAAUACCCAAUAGGAGACCUUUUUCCACUUUCCAAAAGUGUCUAUGGAACCACACCAAUAAUAGUUGCGCGCAUCCGAUGAACCUUCCUUCACCCGCUCUUCGACACGCAUUUAGAGAUCUAAAAGUUUCAGCCAAUAUUGCUGAGACCGGUGUGACCCCCUUGUCAAGCCUAUCAAACAGAUCUGAAACUGCUUCAUCCACAUGCCCUAAUGCCUUGGGGAAAAUAACUAAACCAUAAAUGCUCAAGACAAAGAUAUCAACUCACUUGGUGCAAAAAUCAUGAAAAACCAGCUUGAAUAAACCCUUAGGACGUUUUUGGCUGAUGAGAAUGCAGAAAAAUAAAGAGAAAUCUAGAUAAUUCCACUUUAGUCCUAACUUUUAAAGUAAAUUUUUGCAAUAUUCUAAUUUUACCCUUAAUUCUCCAAUUCUCCUUAUUUUUCUCAGCUUGUGCCGCCCAAAAUAUCUUCUUUUGGGCUUAUUUACAAUUUAUGUCCCUCCUUAUUUAACAAUGGAGCUAUUUAAUCCUUCUAGUAACUUUUACACCUUUUUUAAUUUAGUCCUUUUCACUUAAUUGACUGCCCAAACAUUAAAAUUUUCUAACGAAAUUUUAAUACCAUAUUACUAACAUUUCAUAAAUAUUUAUAAAAAUAUUUUUGACUUGGUUUUAUGAGAUCGAUGUCUCGAUACCUUGUUUUUACCCAAUUUCUUCAAUAAUUUCUUUUUCUAACUAACCACUAAAUCGGUAAAAUUUUUCUAUCGAUAUUUUCAUACGAUUUUCUAUCAUAUCAAUAUUCAUGCAAAAAUAUUAAAAUAAAUUUCUUUUAAAAUCGGAUUUUUGGUUAUGAAACCACUGUUUCGAUAACCUUGAAUUUAGGCCAUUACAACUCUCCCCCCUUAGGGAUUUUCGUCCUCAAAAAUCUUACCAGUAAAGAGGUUCGGGUAUUGUUUCCUCAUUGCCUCCUCUGAUUCCCAUGUCGCUUCCUUAAUCCCGUGCUUUUUCCAUAAUACUUUCACCAAAUUUAUCUUUUUAUUUCUAAGCUCAUUUAUUUCCCGUGCUAAUAUCUUAACCGGUUCUUCACUAUAAGUCAUAUCCGGCUGAAUCUCCACUUCUGUCAGAGAAAUAACAUGUGAAGGAUCUGAUCGAUACCGUCGUAGCAUAGACACAUGAAAAACAUUAUGAAUUCUAUCGAGUUCCGGUGGUAAUGCCAAUCGAUAAGCGACCGCGAGUUCCGGUGGUAAUGCCAAUCGAUAAGCGACCGGUCUAAUUCUUUCUAUAAUUUCAUAUGGCCCAAUAAAUCUUGGACUCAACUUACCCUUUUGACCGAAUUGGAGAACUUUUUUCCAAGGAGACACUUUUUUGGAAUACCUUAUCACCCACCUAAAAUUCAAUCUCUUUUCGUUUAAGAUCAGCAUAUGGCUUUUGACGAUCGAAAGCUGCUUUUAGACUAUCUCGAAUCAUCUUGACUUUUUCUUCUAUUUCCCGGAUCAAAUCAACCCCAUGUAUCUUCUUUUCACUAAGCUCUGUCCAAUAUAAUGGUGUUCUACAUUUUCUACCAUACAAAGCUUCAUACGGAGCCAUUUUAAUACUGGACUAAUAACUGUUAUUAUAAGCAAAUUCAAUCAAAGGUAGAUACCUCUCCCAAUUACCUUCUAACUCUAAUAUACAACAUCGGAGCAUAUCUUCCAAUACCUGAAUUACACGCUCAGAUUGGCCAUCUGUCUGAGGAUGAAAUGCAGUGCUGAAAUACAAUUGAGUACCCAAGGCUUCUUGCAAUUUGUCCCAGAAACGAGAUGUAAAUCGGGGAUCUAUAUCUGAUAUAAUAGAUAUUGGCACUCCAUGUAGCUUGACAAUCUCAGAUAUAUACAGUUCAGCCAAUUUAUCUAAAAAAUAAUCCAUAAGUACUGGGAUAAAAUGUGCUGAUUUUGUUAAUCGAUCAACGAUCACCCAAAUGGCAUCUUUCUUAUUCGGUGACAAUGGUAACCCAAAUACAAAAUUCAUAGUAAUUCUUUCCCACUUUUAUUCCGGUAUAGUGAUUGGCUGAAGUAACCCCGAAGGUACCUGAUGUUCAACUUUAACCUGCUGACAUAUUAGGCACUUUGAUACAAACUCAGAAAUAUCACGUUUCAUACCUGGCCACCAGUACAUCUUCUUCAAAUCAUUAUACAUUUUAUUACCUCCCAGAUGUACGGACAUAAUACCACUGUGUGCCUCGUGUAAAAUCUUCUGUACAAGCUCUGAAUUCUUCGGUACACAUACUCUGCCUCUGAAUAAUAAACAACCAUCAGUCCCAAUUUGAAAUUCUGAAUCAUUACCUGACUCACAUUGUACCCAUUUAGCCUGUAGCUUUUCAUCAUUUUUCCGAGCUUCAUAUAUUUGUUGUAGAAAUGUCGUUUAACUCUCAACUCAGCUAUGACUGAACCAUUAUCAACCAAAGACAAUCGGGUAUUCAUAGCUCGCAAAGCAAACAAAGAUUUUUGACUCAGAGCAUCAGCUACAACAUUAGCCUUACCCAGAUGGUAAUCAAUAACCAAAUCAUAGUCUUUUAUCAGUUCAAGCCACCUGCGCUGUCUCAAAUUCAAAUCUUUCUGUGUCAUCAAAUAUUUCAGGCUUUUAUGAUCAGUAUAAAUAUGACAUUUUUCACCAUACAAAUAAUACCGCCAUAUUUUCAAUGCAAAUACAAUAGCAGCAACUUAGAGAUCAUGUACCGGGUAAUUUCUUUCAUGUGGCUUAAGUUGUCUUGAAGCAUAGGCUAUUACUUUACCUUCUUGCAUCAAGACACAGCCUAAACCAUUUAAUGAUGCAUCACUAUAAAUAAUAAAUUCUUUACUCGGUUCAGGUUGUACCAACACAGGUGUUUUCGUCAACAAAUCUUUCAAUCGGUCAAAACUCUGCUGGCAUUUAUCAGUCCACUCAAAUUUAACAUCUUUCUGUAAUAAACGAGUUAUCGAAGAAGCUAUCAUAGAGAACCCCUGUACAAAUCUCCGAUAAUAACUGGCUAAACCCAAGAAACUUCUAACUUCAGAUACAUUCUUCGGUGGACUCCAAUUGACAAUAGCUGAGAUUUUACUCAAAUCUACCUUGAUGCCUUCUGCGGAUACAAUAUGUCCAAGAAAACCCACUUCUCGAAGCCAAAAUUCACAUUUACUGAAUUUAGCAUAUAGCUACUUCUCUCGCAGAAUUUGCAACACAAUUCUCAAAUGUUCUGCAUGCUCAUUUUCAUCUUGGGAAUAGACCAAGAUAUCAUCAAUAAAAACUACCACAAACCUGUCUAAGUACGGUCUAAAUAUCCGAUUCAUCAGGUCCAUAAAUACUGCAGGUGCAUUAGUCAGCCCAAACGGCAUAACAAGAAACUCAUAAUGCCCGUACCUGAUUCUAAAAGUUGUUUUCGAUACAUCUAACUCCUUUACCCGUAACUGAUAGUAGCCCAAUCGGAGAUCAAUCUUUAAAAAUACAGUGGCACCCUUCAACUGGUCAAACAGAUCGUCAAUCCGAGGCAAUGGGUACUUAUUCUUUAUAGUGACUUUAUUAAGUUGUCAGUAAUCAAUACAUAAUCUUAAGGACAUGUCCUUCUUUUUCAUAAAUAAAACUGGAGCACCCUAAAGUGAAUGACUUGGUCAGACAAAACCCCUGUCAACAAGUUCUUGCAACUGUGUCUUUAACUCCUUUAAUUCUGUAAGAGCCAUACGAUACGGAGCUAUAGAGAUUGGAGUAGUUCCCGGAAUCAGAUCUAUAGAAAAUUCCACUUCUCUUUCUGGUGGCAACCCUAGUAAUUCCUCUAGAAACACAUCAAAAAAUUCACAUACAAUUGGCACUGCCUGUAUAUUUAAUUGGCACUGCCUGUAUCUUUAACUCAGAUACCUUAGUGUUUAACACAUAUGCCAAAUAAGCAUCAUACCCUUUUCUGACACACCUCUGAGCUGUCAUAACCGAAAUCACAUUAGAUAAUUCUUCUGUCUGAUCAAAUUUAACCCGAAGUAAUUCUCUAUUCUAACACUUCAGCAUAAUAUAUUUCUGUCUACAAUUUACUACUGCAUCAUGCUGAGUUAGCCAAUCCAUACCCAAUAUCACAUUGAACUCAUCAAAAGGCAAUAACAUCAAGUCAACAGGAAAACAAAUACCUUUUACCAUCAGUGGACAAUUUUUACAAACUUUAUCCACCAUCAUAAACUGGCCCAGUAGGUUCGAGACUUUAACCACAAAUUCAGUAAGUUCAACAGAUAAAUUUUUAACAAAUACUAAUUUUGUGCAUAUGUAUGAAUGUGUAGAGCCAGGAUCAAUUAAUACAGUAAUAUCAGUAUCAAGUAAAGAAAAUGUACCAGUAAUAACAUCGGGUGCUGAGGCAUCUUCUCUAGCACGGAUGGCAUAUGUCCUAACAGGUGCUCGUGCCUCAGACCUGCCUGCAGUCUCUUUCGUAACUCCUCAGCUACCACUAACAUUACCAGAUGGUCGAGGUGGUCUACCCCUCGAAACUGGAUUACUCGGCUUCGAUGUAUGUUUAGCUUCUUUUUCACCCCUUUCUAGACAAUCUCUGAGGAAAUGAUCGGAAGAACCACAUCGAUAACAAGCCCCACUCUUUAAUCGACAUUCACCAAAAUGAGUUUUAUUACAGUACUGACAUCUCGGCUUAGGGGUACCAACACUACCAGCACUGGUCACUGAUGGAGUGGAAGGUCUUGGAUUAGUGCGUUGAAAACCUCGCUCUCUAAUCGAAUACCCACUGGCUGAGGUUGAACGAUCCUGGUAUUUCUUCAAUUUCUUUAAAGUAAAAAACUGGGAUUUUUCCAUAGAUGUUUUACUGAAAACCCGAGCUUCUCUUUCAGCUUGUUUCUUUUCUUUGCUCAAUUUUUUUGCUUUAUAAGCUCACUCUGCAAGGGUAGUAAACUCUCGAAUUUCAAGAAUUCCGAUCAAUAGCUUAAUUUUUUCAUCCAACCCUUCUUCAAAUCUUUUGCAUAUUCCAGCUUCUGAUUGUACCCAUUCCCAAGCAUAUUUACUCAAUCGGACAAAUUCUCUUUCAUACUCAGAUACUGAUCUGUUAUCCUGUUUCAGCUAAAAAAAUUCUUUUCUCUUCCGAUCGAGGAACCUCUGACUGAUAUAUUUCUUUCUGAACUCGGUCUAAAAGAAUUCUCAUUUAAUUUCUUCUUUUGGAACCACCGAAGCUUUAGUGUUUCACCAAUGAUAAGCUGUGUCUUUUAACAAUGAUACUGCACAUUUCAGACACUCUUCUGGCGUGCAAGAUAAUUCCUCCAAAACCCGAGUAGUAUUCUCUAACCAAAACUCAGCCCGUUUGGGAUCAUCAUCAACUGCAGCUCUGAAUUCUUCUGCCACAUAUUUUCUGAUUUUAUCAACCGGAGCUUUCCCUUUUUUGCUAGGUUCAAUACCUGUACCCUGUGAAAUCUCGGGAAUCGGUGGAGGAGGAGGAGGAGGAGGAGGAGCUUGAGCUUGCUGCACUAUAGGGUUAGUUUUUAUAUAUUGAGUAAAUCAUUCAUUCAUCAUUUGAUAGAAGGCAAUUUUAGCCUCUUCACUUUGGUCCCUUAUCUCGGACCUUCUACUACUAGUAGCUUCAACUUCUCUUUGUUCUGAAGCCGGAGCAUGACUCUCGGCUUCCUUGGGUUGAACUUGGUCGGCAGACAUUUACUAUAAGAAAAUCACAUUUCAAAUGGUCAGGAGAUAUCACACUAUCAAUAAGAAUUUAAAUCCCAUGUAUAGCUAAUCCAGUAUUUUCUACAUCGGUCCGAGAACUGACUAAAUCGUAGCUCUGAUACCAACAAAAUGUAACACCCCUUAACCAUAUCCGUCGUUGAAAUAGGGUACGAAGCAUUAUCAGAUUUUAUCGAAUUAAUUUUCUAUUAUUACGAGUUAAAUACUAUUCAUUUAUCGAAACAUGUCAUGACGUCCCUUGAAUGGGCCUCCGAAGCCCAAAACAUACAUCGAGACCAAACCGGGAUUAAAUCGAAACCAUAAGAAAUUUUUCGCAAAAUCCCAAAGUUUUUUUUUUAAAACUCAAUACAACCCCUUUAUAAAUAUCUAAUCUUCCCUGCAAUUUUAAACCAAGACCAAUCCAACACAACCAAUCCAUUUCAACAUACUUUCAAAAUAGAUUUAACAUAUUCAUAAGAUAACCUCAUCACAUACCAAAACCAAAAUUUGUUAGCCAUACCAAUGGCUAACCAUUCAUUCAUUUCACAUUAACAUUUACUUUACUAGCUUAUACAUGCCAUUGAUUUCUAAAAUAAAGUUUCUUUAUAUACCGAGAUCUUGAGGUUGAUAGUGUGAUGCGUCUCCGACCAAAUCCGACCUCCGAGCUCUUAACACUACAAAACAGGGGAAAAGGAAACAGGGUAAGCACUUUGUGCUUAGUAAGCUCAUGUAAUAAGAAUUAUACUUACCUAAUAUUUUCAAUACAAUACAAUACAAUACAAUAAACAUUCAUACAUCCAUUCAAUGCAUUAUUCCCCUAACAUGCACGAACUCAACAUUCAAGUUAGUUCAGUAAUUUCCAUGUAUCAAUAAUAUAUAUAUCACGAUUGAUAAGCUCAUCAAUUCCAUGAUUUCCAUUCCCUUGUUAUUUUUCCAUAUUUAUCCCGUUGAACUACUUGGAAUUUCGAUGGAUUUUCAGGGGUACACCUAAGUGUACAAAUCUGGGUUCGUCAAUUCAUAUUCAUGUGCGCACAUUUUCAUUUCAGAGAGCACACUCCCGUGAACCUCAUCCUUACAGCGGGAUUACCAGUCCAGGCUAAAUCCCCUGUAAUAUAAACUCAUAGAAUAUUGUCGGGAUUACCAGUCCAGGCUAAAUCCCCUGCAACGACAAUUACUCUAAUGAGCUUGGAUUUGAAUUACCAGUCCAAGCUAAAUUUAGACCCUAAUUUGGAAUACCCGUCCGGGCUAAAUUCAUUUUCCACAUAUUCUUUGAGAGGGCUGUAUCAGAAUAGGAUCACCCAUCCGGGCUAGAUCCUUUUUACCGUCAAUUCCUUUUCAGAGAUCCAUCGAAUUUUCCUUUCAUUCAACCGGGAUUUAUUUUCUCUUUUCAUCAAGAAUAUCAAUACUUCUUCAAUUAUCAUACAAUAAACAUCCAAAUCAUAUUCACAUCAAGAAAAAUAUAUUUCAAGCAUUUAAGAAUAUAAUUCAAGUUACACGAACUUACCUCGAUACUUGUUCGUAAAUAAAAAUCUACUAAUUCCAAACUUUUUCUUUUCCUCGAUCUAGCUUUGUAUUUGAAUUUUCUAGAUCUAAAUAAAUAAAUUUAAUCAUUAAUCUAAUACAUUUCAUGUUCAUAUGUAACAUUCUCUAUAAUUCCAUUAUUAUUUAUAGUUCAUUCAAAGCUGUCUCAUUGAGUCAUAGUCGCUAAAUUAUUUAUAUCUUGAGCUACGGAAUUCCAAAUUAAGAUCUGCUAAUUUUUCCCAAAACUAGACUCACAUAUCUUCUUACCAUAAAAUUUUCAGAAUUUUUAGUUCAGCCAAUAAGUACAGUUUAUUCUUUAAAGUUUCCCUUGUUUCACAGUUCAACAGUUUCGCCCCCUCUUCACUAAAAAUUAAUUAUCUCAUUGUACAGAAUUUGGAUGAUGUUUCCAUUUAUUUAUUCUAAAAAUAGACUCAUUAAGGAUUCUAAGCAUAUAAAUUAUAACUCAUAAUAAUUUUUUUACAAUUUUUAAUGAUUUUCCAAAGUCAGAACAGGGGAACCCGAAUUCAUUCUGACCUUGUCUCACAAAACCUAUUAUAUCUCAUUAUUUACAAUUCCAUUGACUACACUAUUUCUUCUAUAAGAAACUAGACUCAAUAAGCUUUAAUUCUAUAUUUUUUUCAUCCUCUAAUUCAAUUUACAAAAUUUAUGGUGAUUUUUCAAAGUUAACCUACGCAGCUGUCCAAACUGUUUUAAUGCAUGAUAUUAAUUACCAUUUUCCCCUAAGCUUUCAAUAAAUGAUAAUUUCAUCCUUACUCAAUUAACCUCUCAAUUGAGCUGAUUUUUCUCAAUUAACACAUUAUUCCAUCACUUUAAAGUACUUUAUAACCUUUGGAAAUCAGAAUUUUAGCACUAGACUUUAAUUCCAAACUUUUUCACAAUUAGGUCCUACAAAUCAAUUUUUAUUGAAAUUACCUAAUAAAAUCAUCUCAUAAACAAAUUAAAGCUUUAAUUUCAUGCUAUAUCAUCAUAUAUUUCCAGCACAUAUUCAUAGCAACUUUCAAUUUAGUAAUAGGACCUAGUUGUAAAAGUCUUAGGAACAUAAAAAUUACAAGAAAAAAAGCAAGGAUUAACUCACUUGGUGAAAAAAUCAUGAAAAACCAGCUUGAAUAAACCCUUAGGACAUUUUUGGCUGAUGAGAAUGCAGAAAAAUAAAGAGAAAUCUAGAUAAUUCCACUUUAGUCCUAACUUUUAAAGUGAAUUUUUGCAAUAUUCCAAUUUUACCCUUAAUUCUCCAAUUCUCCUGAUUUUUCUCAGCUUGUGCCGCCCAAAAUAUCUUCUUUUGGGCUUAUUUCAAUUUAUGUCCCUCCUCAUUUAACAAUUGAGCUAUUUAAUCCUUCUAGUAACUUUUACACCUUUUUCAAUUUAGUCCUUUUCACUUAAUUGACUGCCCAAACAUUAAAAUUUUCUAACAAAAUUUUAAUAUCAUAUUAAUAACAUUUCAUAAAUAUUUAUAAAAAUAUUUUUGACUCAGUUUUACGAGAUUGAGGUCUCGAUACCUUAUUUUUACCCAAUUUCUUCAAUAAUUUCUUUUUCUAACUAACCACUAAAUCGGUAAAAUUUUUCUAUCGAUAUUUUCAUACGAUUUUUCUAUCAUAUCAAUAUUCAUGCAAAAAUAUUAAAAUAAAUUUCUCUUUAAAUCAGAUUUGUGGUUACGAAACCACUGUUCCGAUAACCUUGAAUUUAGGCCAUUACAACUCCGACCAGUCGUCACCGCGCCGGCCGCCGGUCACCAAUGACGGCGCCGCCGUAUUCGGUGGCUGAAAAAAGGUAAAACCUCCAACCCUAUCCUUUCGACCCUCCUAAAUCCAAAUCUGGGUUCAAAAUUCCCAAAAUAUUAACAAAAACGCCCCAAAAGCUCAAGAAACCUUUCAGUUUUCGGCCACCUAUCCUCGAAGGUGACUUCCUCAGCCGUCCACGGCGUUGAAAAACCCAAAUACAGGUUAGUUUGUUACUCCAUUUUUCCUUUUGUUUUACUUUCGUAUGUGUAAAUAUGAUAAAAAUAAAAUAACAGUAGACCAAAAAUGAAACGAAGAUUUAGAAAAUAGCAGUAGAUGUAAACCUUUCGAGAUUUUUCUAUUGAUUUUGAGUUCUCUGAGUAUUCAAUCCCUUUUUUUAUUACAUUUAUUGAUGGGGCCUUUUAUAGCCGAUUUACAUGUUUUUUUUUCUUUCGCUUCUGUUCUUGUUGCUUCUGUGUUUGUCUAUUUUCUGUCCUGUUUGCAGGUCUUGGCAAGGUCAACAGACAUUGAAGGGAUAACCCCUGCCAUUUUGGUGCAAGGCCGUAGACGCCUGUCAGGCUUUGGGCGAUGAGUGCGCUGCAGGGGCACGAAGAGGGAGUGCGGCGCACAUGGAGCACUAGGGUUUCAGUUUUCCCCUGAAAGCAGUUUGGUUGUGGGCUGAAUUGGGUUAGGUUUUUUUAUUUUGGGCCAUACCAGGCUUGGCAUGUAAUUGGGGUUUGGGUUUGUUAUUGAGUUUUGGGCCCGGGCAAAAAUGGCCUAUUACACAAAUAAUAAAAAUUAAAAUCAAAUCAUCAUAUUUAUUAUAUUAGUCUAAAAAGCAACUGAUAAUAUAAUUGCUAAUAAAAGCUAAAAGAAAAAUCAACAUUGUAUGCAAUUUUAUCUAAUUAUUCUAGUGCAUAUUUGUUGCUUUAUUCCCUCUUCAAAAUUUAACAUAUGCUCCUUAUUAUCGUCUGUUGGUUUUUGAUCAAAUUCGUCAUCACCAAAAUUUGAAUUUGUAUCAUUAAGAUUAUCAAGAUUUCCUUCUUUCAUGUACUCUUUGAAGUAUGGAUCAUCUUGAUUCUACUUAUAAUUCAAGUUAUGAAAUAUGCAAUAUGCUAGUGUCAUGGGGUUAGACCUUUCAUCUCGCAAAUUGUGUGGCCUUAGACAAUUUCUUCGCUUCAAAUGUGUCUAAGUCAGCCUAACUUUCGCAAAGUGAGAAUUCUCGCAGAAUUCCUCUCUAAGGCAUUGAAAAUAUAGUGGAAGCAAUCUCAAAGACAAAAGAAAGCUAAAAAAAAACAUAAUAGCCACAAAAAAAGUAAAAGUACACCAAGUUAAAUGUUCUCAAUUAGUAUUUACUAAUAAAAAAAUGAAAUACAAUGGAUGAUUACAAAUUAGGGGAGGCUCUCUAUUUAUAGUUGAGUUCUCCCAAAACGGAAGAUAUAGAUUGAGUUACAUCGACGGAUGAGAUCGAAGCAUAUCUACAAUUAAGAGAUAAUCCCCAAGAUUACAAAAUUAAAUCUUAUCAUAUUACAAAUCUUCUAAGAUUUAUUUCCCUAUUUACCAAGGUAACCCUAAUUUUCCAUAAGUGCUUUGUUAGGCCACCAAGGCUUUAAGUAGAUGGGUUUCGUCACUUGUUCUUCAAAUUGGACCAAUUCAAGUGGGUUAAAUGAGGCCUAUUUUAUAUGUAGACCUCAAUAGGAUGCUCUUUGUGCCUUGGUCACGAGCUUUGAACCGUGGCCUGUGACACUAGUAUGAUCCAAUCUUUUUUUUUUAAAUGUUAUAUAAAUAUGAAAAAUAUUUUUUUUAGAAUAACAAAUGUCUUCUCAACUAAAAUUUGAAGUAGUGGUGGAUCCUAGGACAAAGUUUUGGGGUCAAAAAGAUCUUAGGAGUUUAAUAAGGAUUUUUUUUAAAAAAAUUUGGGAACUAAUUAAAUUUUUUUGAGAUUGAUGAGAAUUUUCAAAAUUUUGAGGGGGUGUGAUUAAAAUUUUCUAACAAUUUCAAGAGAGAAAUGAACAAAAAAAAAAAAUUUCUUCCUUUUCUUCUAUGUUGCAUCCAUUGAAAUGAGCAAAAAGGAAUAAAUCAAUUUUGAUUUUAGGGUUCCAAAUCUUAAAUGAAAGUAAGAGUUUGAAAACACAAAAUAUUAAUUUCCUUACUACAGGUUGAAAUUACGUGGAAUUAUUAUAAUUAGGUACCAAAAUGAAAAAGAAACCAUACCAAUAUUUCGUUAACAAAUUAAUAAAGAGUGGUUAAAAGAUAACCAAAUGAUAAUAUUAAUGAUGAAAGUGAAAGUUUUUUCGUAGUUCGAUGAUCAAAAUAAGAAAUGCUAAUAAUUAAGUUUGGAAGUAAUAAUAUUUAUAUGAUAAUAAUAAAUUUCAAAAGAAAAUUAUUUUUAAAAAAAUUGUAAUUAUAACAAUUUAAAUAUAUAUAAAAAAAGCAUCCAACAAAUAUAUCGAAAUAUUGCAAUAAAAGGAUGAAGAAAUCAUAAUAUAACCAUACAUGAAUUAGAAAUCAUUUUAUUUCAAAUAUAAAUGAAAUUUGAUAAUGAAAUAAAUUAAAUUAAACAAAUUAUAAAGUAAGAUAUGAAUAUAUAUAUAUAUAAGUUGUGAAAAAUUUUAAAAUAAAAUAAAAAAUUGUUCUAGAAAUCAUUGACUCUCACGUUCCACCCUCUUUUAUUUAUUAAUUAAUUAUAUUUUUUACUCUUCCACGGUCCUUUAUUUUUUGAAAGGAAAUCUCAUUUGGCUUGACACAAAAGUCAUACAUAAUAUUUGUUGUAUAUAGACUUAUUUCAAAUGUUUGAAUUUUCCAAAAACACACACACACAAAGUCGAUGUGGAAUUAAAAUUUUGGUGCCAAGGUCCACUACAUUUUCCACAACCACUAUAAUUAGACUAGAAUUAUCUCUCCGCGUACACUUGGGUUUAAAAUUUUUAAUUAAAAUUUAUUAUAAUCUUAACAUAGAAAUUAAAUUUGUGAUUAUUUUUAUAAUAGAAUAUAAAGUCUUAAAUUAUAAUGACAACAUAGUUGAGAAAAAUAUUUUAAUUUUAAAAAUGUAUAAAAACUGUUAAUUUUUUUAUUUAUUUUGGGACUAUUUGACAAAAAAACGUAAAUUUAAGGGCUAAAAAAGGUAAAAUAAAUAAAAAUAUAUGGAGACCUAAAAUGAUUUUUUUUAAAAAUAAAACUUUCAUAUUGUUAGUUUAAUGACUAAUGUUAUAAUUUAACCUUUAUUUUUGAAAGGGAAUCUCACUUAAAACGAUCCCACCACUUAGACUACAGUGGCGAAACUAGGACUGGUAAGGGCCCCUUAAAAUGAAAAUUUUUUCAUAUAGUCCCUUUAAAAUUUUUAAAAUUUUAAAUUAGUAAAGGUAAAAUUGUACUUUGGUCUCAUUUAAAAAUAUAAAAAUUUGAUUAAUAAACCUUUAUAUUAAUAUGUACAAAUAAUUUAUAAAUUAAAAAAUUAUCUUUUUAAAUAUAUAAAGUAAAUUUAUAAAUUAAAAAAUUUAUAAAAGAUGGAAUUACUUAAUAUAUUUAAUUUUCCUUUAAAUGAAACAAAUUAUUUGUUGACUUAUUACAUUUAUUCCGUAUGAUUUAAUUUUAAAUUUUAUUUUUUAAUCUUCACAGAAUUAUUAGAUACUUUAAGCAACUUAGAGAAGCUUGACACGAAUCGUAAUGAGGUGAAGGAAUUUGUGCCCAUAAAGAAUAAAAAUAUAUGCAUCAACUAAAUAAUAUAAAUUAUUUAAAAAUAAAACACUUUUCAUUAUUUGAUAGAUUCAUUGAUUACCAAAUAUACGAUAUUUCAAAAAAAAAACAAUUAAAGAAAUCCAGCACUUGAAAGUGCUGAUAGAGCAAUAAUUUGAAGCAGUUAAGAAACUUGUAGGAAGGGUAUAGAAAGAAGGUUGGAGGCUUGACGCCAAAAGUCACCAUAGUGGUCUGCUUAGAUCGUUUGGGGCGACUGAAUUUUCCACAUUGAAAACGAAGCCACUAUUGCUACGAAGACCCUUGAAUUUUCCACAAAGAAUUUAUCCCAUAAAUAGAAUUUAUCAUUACAUUAUAUCAAAUUAUGAAUAAUUCAGAGAUUUGCACAUGUACCUUUUUAUUUUAUUUUAUUUUUUCUUUUUUAUUAUUAAAUUCUUUUGAAGCAAAUAAAGAUAAAUUUAUUAUUUUAAAAUUAAUUAAUUAAAAUACUCAUAUUUUUAAAAUGUUAUCAUGGAAGGAGACUCUUUCAUUGUCAAAAUCCAAACAAAAGGAGGAAGAUUUCAUAGAUGGACAACUAGAACUAAACCUGUUUAAUUAUAAGUCGGAUCAGGCCUGCUCAAAAAGUGAGAGGGUUUGAGUAAAAUUAUAACCUUAAAAAAUGGGUUUAGACAAAAAAAUAAUGUCUGUUUAAAAACGGAUCAGACUUCAGGUAAGGCAUUUUUCACCCGAGUCCAAUCCGAAUUCACAAAAUGACAAAAAAAUCUACUAUUUUUUGUUAUUUUAAUUCUAUUUUCUUGUUAUUUUCUUCUUAUUUUGUUACCAUUUCACUAUUAUGUUAUUACUAUUUUGUUGUUAUUGUUUGGAUAUUAUAUAACACUUGUUUUAUUGUUAAUUUUGUUAUUCUUUUAGAGGCAUUUGUUUGUUAAGUUGCAUCUAUCUUAGUGUUAUUUAAGUAUACGUAUUUUUUAAAAUUUAUUUUUACUUUGUUGGAAAAUAUUUAAUUUAAUGUUUUUAGUAUUUUUGAUGUAUUAUAUAUAUUUAAAAAUUAUAUAAAAAUAAUAUAAAAAAUUAAUAUGGGCAGGUUGGGCCCGGGCCUAAAUUUUUGUUUGGGCCCAGUCGAACCCAACCCAUGAGCAUCUCUAUGGAGAAGCAAGAAAUGAAACUUUAUUGAUAAGUGUCAAAAGUAACAUAUUUUAGUCUCAUCCUUAAUAUUUUUUUUAGGUGAUUAUGUGACAUUAAUUGUGAAAUAUAUAUUUCUAAUCUUUUAUAUUCAUGUUUUGAUACUUAAUAAGGCGCUUGAAAAUAAUAUGAGUGAUAAAUAGUGGAAAUUAGAACUUUGAAGUAUUCCAGACGCUACGCACAUGCAUCAAAUUUUCACACAAACAAUUUAUGAUUUUUAAGUUUUUUUAGCAUUCUAACAACAUAUAAAUAAGGAAAUAAGAAGGGAGGAAGACAACCACGAAAUUACCUUCAGAACAUUAUUAAAGCCUAUUAAAUUAAAUUUUCUAACUCCUUUUGAAUUUGUAUUAGCAAAUUCAAAUAUAUUUACUCCAAAAUUAAAUUCGUCGUUUUUCUCUUCUAUUUUAUUUUAAUUUCUAACAUCUUAUUAAGUCUUUACAAUCUUGUUAUUAUUUUUCAAUCCAUAAUUUGUUAUUGAUGGGUGUCGAUUCCACCAAUAUAAACCUACGCCUAAUUUGCAAAUUUAAGCAGUAUAGGAAGUAGAGUUGAUCCCUUAGAGACUGGGUUUACUGCAAAUUAUUGCUCUCUUGACCAGAUUUAUAUCGGGGCAGUUGUCGUGCUCAAGAAGUUCGGGGGGAUAAAAUUUGAAACCUGAAAUAAAUAAAUAAAAUGCGUAAAAAGUAAAAGUUGAAAAUAAAAUAAUAAAAAGCAGUUAAAUAAAUCUGAAGAAAAAUGAAUUAAACUAAGCUCAGCUUUAGGCACGGGUUUUUCUCGUCUUUGAACUGAUCCUCGAAAUUAGAUGAACUCCUCUUUUCCAAUAAACUAGUUAUAGCUACCAAGGACGCCUCGGACACCAACUCUUCCUUGUGUAAAUUAGUUAAGAAACGUCCAAUAACUAACCCUUACCGAUCGAACAACCAACGAAAUGUUCAUGAUUUAGAACUCCGGCAGCUUUGCGUUCUAGAAGAUUCUAGCUCGAACCAAUGCCCUCAACCGCGUGGGACAUUUAAAUCUGGUUACUACUUCCCUUAACGGAACCAAACAGCAAUCCCCACUUGGCACGCCAAUGUGUUCACAGAAAACCGAUUAGACAAUCGAUCCUUUCGAAAUUCCAACUGUACGUCUAACCACACUAACUCAAACGACGUCUUUUUUGACUUAGUGUUGAUUUGACUUUGUGAGUUGACGAAGUCAUACUCUUAAUCCGGAGAAAUAAUAAGUACUGGAAUUUAGGAGUCAAAUUGCUCGGGUUCGUAACUCACGGAUCUUAACGAAGUUAACACCGGCCUAAAGCUGAAAUGGAUACUUAAUAAAAAAAUUGGUAAUUAAAAACUUGAUUAAUGACUUGAUUCAAGACUUGAUUCCUAAAUGAACAAUGUAGCCCCCUAUUUAUACUAGUGGCUUUGCUAAAUUAAGAGCCACUAGCCAUAGAGAAUCAAGGAAAUAAAAUAUUCCAUCAUAUAAAAAUCCCUACAUAAUCUCCCACUAAUUAAGUCAACAAAAAUUUCAGCUAAUUAUAUCUUGGAAAAUUUUUGCUUUGGCCCGCCUUCUUUGCUCUUUUCUUCAAUCUAGCCCAAUUGCUUCUCCUUUUUCUCUUUUGACCCCAAAUUGUACACCUGUGUAAAAUUUAAGUUAAACAUGGAAAAAUUAGUGGUGCACUCUCGUAAAUUAACCAAUUUAAUUACAUAAAAUAUGUAAUUUUAGCAUUUAAUCAAAUCCCUCUACUUAUUUAAUGCUAGUCCUCGAGCAUUAUGCAUGUAUCUACAAAAGGAAAAAUUUCUUCUAAAAUAGGACUUGACUCCCAUGGUUUGCACAAUUCAACAAUUUAAUCCUAGCACAUUAACAUCUCAAAUAACCUAGCCUAAGAAGGAAGUAAAUAUAUUUCAGAAUUUAUUAGAGCUUGAUAGACUUACCUUUCAUUUUAUUAUUUUUGUACUUGGGACAUUUUCGAAUUUUUUGACGCGAGACAUGAUGACAACCCAAGCACCAUGUUCCGGUUACUUGAUUCGGAUGUCUCUAAGCGGGAUAUUUCACCCUACUCGUGAUAGCUUGUUAGCGGAGUGAGUGCAAAGAAAUUGGACAGCCACAUGAACCUUUUUACGUGAGAUGUGAUGACAACCCAAGCACCACGUUCCGGUUACUUAGCCCGAUGUACAACCCCAAUUUUUCACUCUUAACAUUCGUAUCAGAGGAGUAUUAUUAUUCAUUUUUUCUUUUUUUUUUCCUUUUUUUUAAGACAAGAAGACAGAAAAUUGACAUGUGAUAUAAGGUAGGCAGUCAAGCAAACUCAUAAUUCGUAAAAAUUUCUUACCCACUAAGUCUAGGUUAUUGAAAAGUUUAUGUGUAAAGAACUAAAUGGCUAAAUAGGUCAAACCAUAAGUGUUCCAUCCCAAUUUAUCAAAAGAAAAAAUUUUACCUUUCACGGAAAACAUGCAAAAACAGCGACAAUGGAUAAGCAAAAUAGAACCAAUAUAUGUUCCUUUCCCCCUACUUGUUUUACAUUGUCCCUAAUGUAAUUUGAAUUGAAUUAAAUGAUAAAAAGUAAAGGUAAGUAGGGAAAGGAAAAAGAAACUCCCCAUGUAUUUCAACGUCAUGGAGGGUUGCCUCGUAGGUGUGUCCACGGUGUUAAAUAGUGGGUAGGUGGAUUGGGCCUUGGCUGAAAUUAAAAGAAUUUUAUGGGCUGACAUGGGAGAUUUAAUUUUGUCUUGGAAUGUCUCCCAAGUCUUCCCUUAGACAGAACUGAUCCUCGACAUGCAUUUUCAUUUUCCGUUUACCAAAAAUUUUAUUUGCAUAAAGGGAAAAAUUUGGGUUGCCUCCCAACAGCGCUUUGUUUAACGUCGUUAGCUCGCCGAUCUGUUAUUCAAAUUCUGGGCUCCCCAAGAACAAUUGUAAGUGUUGCCAGUCCCCAGCAACAGCGCCAAAACUGAUGGGUGUCGAUUCCACCAAUAUAAUCCUACGCGUAAUUUGCAAAUUUAAGCAGUAUAGGGACUAGGGUCGAUCCCUCAGAGACUGAGUUUACUGCAAAUUGUUGCUCUCUUGACCAGAUUUAUGUCAGGGCAGUUGUCGUGCCCAAGAAGUUCGGGGGGAUAAAAUUUGAAACCUGAAAUAAAUAAAUAAAAUGCGUAAAAAGUAAAAGCUGAAAAUAAAAUAAUAAAAAGCUGUAACACCCCUUACCCGAGACUGUUGCUGGAGUCGAGCACGAGGCAUUACCUGACUUACUUACUAAUUCGGAGCAUAAAAUUUGCUUUUAAAAUUAAUUCAUUCACAAUCAAUCCAUAUGUCCCUAAAAGAACUCUCGAGACCCCAAAAUCAUGUAAUAAAAAUGGUUCGGGUCCAAACCGGGAACAUUUAUAAUUUUCCGAAUACUUAAUCAAAUUAAAACAAUUUAUUUCACUAUUCACAAUAAAACUGUCCACCUGCGCAGCAGUCACUUAUUUAAUUAUAACUCGAGUUACGAAACUCAAAAUUUAGAUUCGUAAAUUUUCCCUGAAACUAGAAUCAUAUAUCUUUUUCACUGUCCAGCCAAUUAGUACAGUUUAUUCUUUAAAUUCUCCCCUGUUUCACUGCUCGACAGCUCUGACCCCUCUUCACUAAAAAUUAAUUAUCUUAUUGUACAGAAUUCAGAUAAUAUUAUCGUUUGUUUCUAUUGAAAAUAAAAUCACUAAGGAAUCUAGGCAUAUAAAUUAUAACUCAUAAUUCCUUCUAUACAAUUUUUAAUGAAUUUUUAAAGUCAGAACAGGGGACUUCAGAAACCAUUCUGACCCUGUCUCACUAAAAUUCAAAUAUCUCAUAAUAUAUAACACUUUUUCUACUCUAUUUCUUUCAUGUGAAAAUAGACUCAUUCAGAUUUAAUUUCCUAUCUCACUCAGGUUCUAAUUCAAUUUAUUCUAUUUUUGGUGAUUUUUCAAAAUCACGUCACUGCUGCUGUCUAAAAACUGUUUCAUUGCAAAUUUUUACUCUCUUUUUUGGUGAUUUUUCAAAAUCUGAAGAAAAAUGAAUUAAACUAAGCUCAGCUUUAGGCACGGGUUUUUCUCGUCUUUGAACCGAUCCUCGAAAUUAGAUGAACUCCUCUUUUCCAAUAAGCUAGUUAUAGCUACCAAGGACUCCUCGGACACCAACUCUUCCUUGUGUAAAUUAGUUAUGGAACGUCCAAUAACUAACACUUACCGGUCGAACAACCAACGAAACGUUCGUGAUUUAGAACUCCGGCAGCUUUGCAUUCUAGAAGAGUCUAGCUCGAACCAAUGCCCUCAACCGCGUGGGACAUUUAAAUCCGGUUACUACUUCCCUUGACGGAACCAAACAGCAAUCCCCACUUGGCACACCAAUGUGUUCACAGAAAACCGAUUAGACAAUCGAUCCUUUCAAAAUUCCAACUAUACGUGUAACCACACUAACUCAAACGACGUUUUUUUUUACUUAGUGUUGAUUUGACUUUGUGAGUUGACGAAGUCAUACUCUUAAUCUGGAGAAAUAAUAAGUACUGGAAUUUAGGAGUCAAAUUGCUCGGGUUCGUAACUCACGGAUCUUGACGAAGUUAACACCGGCCUAAAGCUGAAAUGGAUACUUAAUAAAAAAGAUUGGUAAUUAAAAACUUGAUUAAUGACUUGAUUCAAGACUUGAUUCCUAAAUGAACAAUGUAGCCCCCUAUUUAUACUAGUGGCUUUGCUAAAUUAAGAGCCACUAGCCAUAGAGAAUCAAGGAAAUAAAAUAUCCGAUCAUAUAAAAAUCCCUACAUAAUCUCCCACUAAUUAAGUCAACAAAAAUUUUAGCUAAUUAUAUCUUGGAAAAUUCUGCUUUGGCCUGCCUUCUUUGCUCCUUUCUUUCUUCAAUCUAACCCAAUUGCUUCUCCUUUUUCUCUUUUGACCCCAAAUUGUACACCUGUGUAAAAUUUAAGUUAAACAUGGAAAAAUCAGUGGUGCACUCUCGUAAAUUAACCAAUUUAAUUACAUAAAAUAUGUAAUUUUAGCAUUUAAUUAGUUAUUUAUUAGUUUAGAUUUUUUUCUAUGUUGAAUAUAUUUUAGUAAAUAAUAUUUCAUAUUUAACUCUAAAUUUGUUUUUUUAAUAAUAUACACUAGUUAUUCAAUAUAAAUUAAUGUAUCUAAUAAAAUAUAUUUUAAAAUCUAUAUUUUAAAUAUUUUAAGAUUAGAAACCUAAUUUAAAUUUAUUCAAAAGGACAUUUUAAUUAUUAAGUAAUUUAAUUUUAUAAAUAAUUAUAUAUAUCUAUUUGAACAACAAAUACAUAGUAUAUUUAAAAUAUAAUUAAUUAAUUAAAAAUAUUAUUUUCUAUCAUUGUUUUUAUGUAUCUACUUAAAUUUAAAACUAAAAGGAUGUAUGAUAAUGAAUAAGAAAAAUAAUCAAUUAUUUUAUUGAAAAUAAUUCAACUCUAAUUUAAGAUUAAAUAAAGACAGAUGAAGGCUAUUAUAUUAGAAUUAACUUUUUUUUAGUUUUUAUAUAAUUGGAAUUUACUAAUAUGAAGUAAAAAAAAUGCAUUUUAAUAUUGUAACAUUCAUUUACUUUAUAUCAACAAAAUGUUCAACCUUGAAAACAUUAGUUAUGAUUUUUUUUUUGAUAUAUUUACUCAAAUGAUAAAAAUAUUAAUUGAUGUAAAUAAAUAAAAAAUGAUGCAUUUGCAUUUGGUAAGAUUUAAUUAAACAAUAAAAUGUUUUUUUUAUUCUCAUUGAAUAAUUUACUUAUAAAAAUAAUUGUUUCAAAACAUGAAUAUCAGAUCAUAUCUAAUUACCUACAAUAUGAAAUGAGAAAAUUCAUAAAUUUAUUUACUUCAAUUGAAUAAAUUCAAAAAAAAAAUAAACUAAAUAUUCUUAUAUAAAACAUUUACUUUAUAAUUUUUUAAUAAAUUUCAUAUAAUUAUUUGUAAUUAAAUCUAAUAUAAAUAAAAAGACAAACCCGCAGAGCGGGGUUAUAUCCCUAGUAUAGUAAUAAAAUCAAUGCAAUGGGACCCAACUUUUGGAAGAAGAGAGGAUUUCAAGUUGUCUAUAUAGGCUUUGGUUGAUUGAAAUGCAGGAAGGUAUCAAGUGAGUGGUUUGUUGAUUUAGAGAAGAUGGAGGCUAAAUCGUUGUGGGUACUACUCGCUACACUUGUGUUUAUCAUACAAGGGUGGCCACAGACUGAGGGGUGCUUGGAGCUGGAGAGAAUUGCUCUCUUCCAACUCAAAUCUAAUUUCUUCAAUCACCCUUCAUAUUUGAAGGACUGGGUAGAUGUGAAGGGUUCGAAUUGUUGUCAGUGGGAAAGAAUUGAGUGCAACAUCACCAGUAACCGAGUAAUUGGUCUCUAUCUUUAUUCUGUACGUCAAAGUGAUACAUAUGGGUAUCUCAAUAUCUCUUUAUUUCUUCCAUUUGAAGAAUUAAAGAAUCUUUAUUUGAGUGACAAUAAAAUUACAGGUCUUGUGAAUAACCAAGGUUUAUUGCUUUUCUUCUCUCCAAUGACUGAUUCAUCUUUAAAAUUUGAUUUAAUGUUUUCUAAUUAAUUCGUUUAUUUUACAGAUGAGAAAGUGCAAUCGAUGAUGAAUCUGGAAGUGCUUGAUUUGUCUCGUAAUCUCUUGAAGAACAAUGAUGUGGCAUUUCUUAAGGGGUUAGCUAGUUUAAAGUCCUUGAAUAUGGGAGGAAACCAAUUGGAAGGGUCAAUAGGUAUUACAGGUAUGUAAAAUUUCGUAAAAUAAAAAUAACAAGCUAUACGUAAAUUACAAUUUCAUGAAUCUUUUUAACUAUUAAAAAAUUAUAUCCAAAUAUAUUUCCUUCAUAUAGGUAGUAAAAUAAAGGCAUAAUGAUUUUUUUGACCUUCCAACUUUAUAAAAAAAAAUCAUUUUUAGUCCUUAAUUAAAUUUUUUGUCUAUUUUAGUCUUUACACAUGUUUUUUUUUUCAAAUCACGCCAAAAUAGAUGGUUGGUAAUGUGGCAAACAUGUGGAUUUCCAUGUAACUGACAGAUCAUUUAAUUAAAUUUUUUUAAAAUUUAAGUUUUUUUAAAUUUCUAUUUUUUAAUAGUUUUAAUGAUGUUUAAUUUUUAAAAAUACUUUUUAUAUUUUUUUGAAUUUUUCAGUUUAAAAAAAAAUUAAAUGCUGACGUGUUAUCCACAUGACAAUCCAUGUGUAUGUAAUGUCAACAAAGUUUUAAAAUGUUAAUUUUUUUAUUCACUUUAAGAUAAUUUGACAAAAAAAUACAAGUUUAAGGAUUAAAAACAUGAAAAAUUAAAUGGAAGCAUAAAAUAAUUUUUUUUUAUAAAGUUGAAAGGUUAAAUAAGUUAUUAUGCUUAAAAUAGAAUGUAUUUGAUGACUUUUUUUUAUCAAGGAAAGUAGUUGGAUUUCAUGAACCAAAAUUACUUAAUCUUUGUCAUAUGACUUUGUUUGAGUGACAAAAAAGAUAUUUGAUUGAUUUGAAUAGUAUUGAAUAACUUGACAAAGCUAAAGGAGUUGGAUUUGAGUGGCAAUAAAAUUGAGAGCCUGAAAUCUCCUCACGGUAUGUGUUGAUUUACUUUACUUUCUCAUAUUCUCGCAUAUACAUUCCAAUAUCUCAUUUAAAAUUCUAUUAGUAAUAAAUUUGCUUAUCUAAAUGCUUUGUAGAGGGGCUAGUUAAUUUGACUAAUUUAGAAGAACUUAAUAUGGAUUACAACUACUUCAAAAACAACUCAUUGGCAUAGCUUAGUGGGUUUUCCAAUCUAAAGUUAUUGAGUAUAAGCGAAAACCAGCUUAAAGGAUCAAUAAAUAUUAAAUGUGGAAUUACUUAAUAUAUUUAAUCUUCCUUUAAACAAAGCAAACUAUUUGUUGAAUUAUUGUCUUUAUUAUGUGUGAUUUAAUUUUAAAUUUAAUUUGUCUAUUUUUAUAGAAUUAUUAGAUGCUCUGAGCAAUUUAGAGUCACUGAGAAAAAUAUUUUAAUUUUAAAAAAUGUAUAAAAUUUAUAUAUUAUCUCUUGAAUAAUUUAAAUUAUAAUGAUAUUUUUAAUAUAUUAAAAUUAAUAUAUUAUCACUUUUACUAUUAUAUAAAAAAUUAUAUUAACAUAUAAAAAUCAUUUAUAAAUUAAAAAUUUAUCUCUCUAAUAUAUUAAGUAAUUUAUAAAUUAAAAAAUUUAUAAAAAUUUUGAUGUUGAGAGACUUGGUAAGUGUCCAUAUAUUUUACUUUAUCAAAUUGCUACAUUUAUUAUACUAAUAUCUAAAUGCUUUGUAGAUACAAUUUAAAUCUCAUUAAUUAAUUUUUUAUUAAUAUAUUAUAGUUUUUUAAUUUAAAAAUUCAAUCUAAAUAUUAAAUGUUGUUAUAAGUGUAUAACAAUCACUUAUCUAUAACAUCCAAUAGUGGUUAUACAAAAGUUGACUAUAAGUGAAUUUUUGUGACUAACAAAAAAUGUAUUGAAUUUAUUUGGAUAGUAUUGAAUAAUCUGACAAAGCUAAAGCAGUUGGAUUUGAGUGACAAUAAAAUUUGAGAGCCUCCAAUCAUCUCAUGGUAUGUGUUGAUAUAUUUUACUUUAUCAUAUUCUUACAUAUACAUACCAAUAUCUUAUUUAAUAUUCCAUUAGUAAUAAAUUUGUUUAUCUCAAUGCUUUGUAGAUGGUGAGAGGCCACUUAAUGUAACCAAUUUAGAAGAGCUUAAUUUGGAUUCCAACUCCUUCACAAACAGCUUAUUGGCACAGCUUAGUGGGUUUUCCAAUUUAAAGUCACUAGAUAUAGGGUAUAACCAGCUUAAAGGAUCAAUAAAUAUUAAAGGUGGAAUUACUUAAUAUAUUUAAUCUUCCUUUAAAUGAAAUAAACUACUUGUUGAGUUAUUGCAUUUAUUCUAUGUGAUUUAAUUUUAAAUUUUGUUUGUCAAUUUUUACAGAAUUAUUAGAUGCUUUAGGAAACUUAGAGGAGUUAGACAUGAGCGGGAAUGAGGUGAAGGAAAUUGUGCCCAUAAAGAAUAAAGGUAUAUGUAUCAACUAAAGGAAAUCUUACUAAUUGUUUUCCAUUAGAUAUCAAGUGAACUGAUUCCAACCACUAAUUUGACUCUUAGACAAUGGAAGUUUGGGAAAGCUAAAGGUUGCUACAUUAAACCGUGUGUUCACCGAUGGAACUGCUUCUCUAAUACAACUUCUAGAGACAUUCUCAUCUGUUAAUACAUUAUAUUUGAGUGACAAUUACUUCAACGACACCUUUUCUACUCAAGGUAUAAUAUAUAUGUAUGUGAAUAUAUAGUUUUAUAGUUUGGUUCCAUUUAAAAAUAUUAUUUACUUAACGUCAAUCAUCUAAAUAACUCUUAUAAAUUUGUAAAGAUAAAUUGCAUGUGUCGAGCAAAAUUGAGGAAUUAGUACUAGAUCAAUCAUCUCUCAACAACAACAUUCUUCAAAGUAUUGGUGCAUUGGCUUCUCUUAAAAUUGUCUUUGAGUGGUUGUGGGCUGUCUGGGACAUUACCUACCCAAGGUAAAUUAAUAAUUAUGACAUAAUUAUUUAGACAAGCUCUUGAUUAAUUAUUUUUUAUCCUCCUAGAAUAUUUAAAUAAUUUGUACAAAUUUAUUUUACAGGAUGGUGUGAUUUACGGAAAUUUGAGGUGUUGGAUCUUAGUGAAAAUGCUCUUAAAGGAACCCUCCCUUCAUGUUUGGCUAACUUGUCAUCACUUCAUUAUUUGGAUAUUUCCGGUAAUCAAUUCGUCGGGAAAGGUGCCUCCACUGCCUUAGCCAAUCUCAAUUUGCUUAAAUUCAUUUCUCUUUCACGAAACCUUUUCGAAGUUCCUUCCAUUUUCAUAUCUUUUGCCAACCAUUCACACCUCAAAGUACUCUCCAGCAAUCAAAACAAGUUAGUCGAAGAGCCUACCAUUCCAACAUGGGUCCCAAAGUUCCAACUAAAAGCCUUCCGUUUGUCAAAUUGCACAACAAAGGAACUCCACAUUGAACUUUCGAAAUUCCUCUAUUACCAAAAUAACCUGAGUAUUAUUGAUCUUUCAUAUAAUAAUUUUGAAGGAAAGGUUCCUUUUUGGUUGUUAGAGAACAAUACAAGAAUGGAAGCAUUUUUAAUGACGGGUAACUCUUUUAUGAGUCAUCUCAAUCUUCCAUCUCAUCCGAAUCCAAACAUAUCCUUUGUUGAUAUAUCUGACAACAAAAUACAAGGUCCAAUUCCAACAAACAUUUGUUCAAUCUUUCCACAACUAAAUGGGUUAAACCUAUCAGGCAAUUCCCUUCAAGGUAAUAUUCCUCCUUGUCUGGGUAGUUUGACCACUUGGAAUUUAUUAUUAGAUCUGUCACAUAAUCAGCUAUCUGGAGGAAUACCAGAAAUGUUAGCUCAAAGUGACUCGUUGAGGUUUCUUAGGCUAUCAAAUAAUCAUCUAAGUGGAAAGAUAACCCCAACGAUCUUUUGCUCAACUUCAUUACGAUUGCUAUAUUUAGAUGGCAAUAACUUUGAUGGAAAUAUACCUAGCAUUGUUAUCUCAACUUUCCUUUCAUAUUCCCUUGUUGAUAUGGAUUUAAGUAACCACAAUUUGUCCGGAGAGCUCCCAAGAUGGAUAUGGAAAGUGUCAAAUUUAAAUGCAUUGUCAGUAUCCAACAAUCAGCUCAAGGGUCUCAUUCCGAUGGAAUUGUGCUAUUUGGAUUCCCUUAAAAUUUUAGACCUUUCAGAAAAUAAAUUUUCUGGCCUAAUACCAUCUUGCUUCGAUGCACAAUCUAUCAUGCAUCUCCAUUUGAGCAAAAAUAGAUUAAGUGGCACCUUGACAAAUGCAUUCUUUAAUAGCUCUUCCUUGGUGACUUUAGAUCUUAGUGAAAAUCAGCUGAGUGGAGAAAUUCCAUACCAGAUUGGAACUCUUUCUGCUUUGAGUGUUCUACUUCUAAAAGCCAAUUAUUUUAUUGGAGAAAUUCCCAUUGAGAUAUGUAAAUUGUAUUCUUUAAGUAUCAUUGAUCUUUCUCAAAACAAGCUUUUUGGUCUGAUACCUUCUUGUUUGAGUCGUUUAACUCUUGAUCCAAAUGAUGAAAAAUCUUCAACAAAGACCUAUGUGGAGGGCUCUGGAGGAAUCUUUGAGCCGGGUAAUUACUUUGGAGUGACUGAAUUUGAAUUUUUCACUUUAAGAGGAUACUGAUGAAGUUGGUUCAGCAUGCAGCAAACUCAACAGCAUGCAGGCCAUGAAGACCAAGUCGUGCAGGAGCUGCUGGAACGAGCUGAACUAUUCCUAUUUUGUUCAUCUAGUAAUCUUAAGUUAAUGUAUUGUACUUUAGUUCAUUUAGAACUAUGUUAGGUUUAUGAUUGAUGUAAUUUUGAUGACAAUUGAGCUGUUAAGUCAGCUUUGUUUAAGUGUGUAAGCUUAGUUUUUCAAGUUUCAAUGUAUUAGUGGUAGUAUGUGAUGAUUAGGUAUCAUUAUGCAGAUUUUGACAAGCAAAUUGCUUGGUUUAUGUAUUGGCAUUAUGCCAUUGUUCAAUAUAUGGAUGAAAUCAGCUUUGUUCAUCAAUAUUCUCUCAAAUUUCCUCAGCUUAUUUUCUUCUUUCUUCAACUCGAAAUUGUUUGUUUGCUCAGCAAGAUUCGAGGCUUGCUCGACAAGAUACUUGCUGAGUCUGUUUGAUUCUGCUGUUGCACCAACAAUUGGUAUCUAGAGCUUAUUUCUUAAGGGACCUGUUAUACAAAUCCAUGGCUUCAUCAAGCUUUUCACCAGCUGCACCUCAAGUCUUCAAUGGGGAAGGCUAUCACAUAUGGGUGGUCAAAAUGAAGACCUACCUGCAGGCUUUCGAUCUGUGGGAGGUGGUCAACUCUGAUGUUGAACCAGAGCCACUUAGAGCUAAUCCAACGGUGGCUCAGAUCAGGCAGCAUGCUGAUGAAAGGACCAAGAGGCACAAGGCUAUGUCUUGCAUCCAAAACUCAGUGUCUGAUGUGAUUUUCACAAGGAUUAUGGCCUGUGAAUCACCAAAACAGGCCUGGGACAAGUUGCAGGAAGAGUUUCAAGGGACUGAGAGGACAAGGCAACAACAGUUGUUAAACUUGAGGAGAGAUUUCGAGAAUUUGAAGAUGAAGGAAGAAGAAACUGUCAAGCAAUAUUCUGACAGGAUUAUGGCUGUGGUUAACAGCAUCAGGCUCCUUGGAGAGCAGUUCAAUGAAGCUAGGAUAGUGGAGAAGGUUAUAGCAACUCUGCCUGAGAGGUAUGAGGCAAAAAUCUCAUCUCUCGAGGACUCAAGGGACCUGUCCACCAUCUCCCUGACAGAGUUGAUCAAUGCUCUAUAUGCUCAAGAGCAGAGGAGAGCAAGCAGACUGGAGGAGCACCAAGAAGGUGCCUUUCAGGCAAGAACAAAUACUACCUACAAAGGCAAGAAGGCCUGGAGAGACAAGCCAAAGGAUAAUGCUGCAAGAAGAGAAGGUCAGACUUGCAAGCACUGCAGAAAGGCUAGUCAUUCAGAAGAAAAAUGCUGGUUUAAUCCAGAUGCUGUGUGUCAGCAUUGUAAGAAAAAGGGUCAUGUUGAGAGAGUCUGUAAGAGCAAGGCCAAAUCAAGGCGCAAUCAGUCUCAACAGAUGAAAGCUGAGGCUCGAGUAGCUAAAGAGGACAGUGACCAAGAGGAGCAAGUCUUUACUGUGUCAUGCUCAGCUGCUCAGGAAAGGUCCUCAUCUGGUUGGCUCCUAGACAGUGGAUGCACCAACCACAUGACACCUGAUGCUGCAAUCUUUAAGUCUUUAGACAGAAGCUGCAGAACUAAAGUCAAGAUAGGAAAUGGUCAUUUUAUUCAAGCUGAAGGCAAGGGUGAUGUUCUGAUAUGCACCCUUACAGGUACCAAAGUGAUUUCAAAUAUGCUGUUGGUGCCUGAAAUUGACAGAAACCUGCUCAGCAUAGCUCAGUUGCUGGAAAAAGGUUACUCAGUUGUGUUUAAAGACCACCAAUGCCAAAUCAGUGAUCCAAGUGGAUCCAAACUGAUGGCAGUCCCUAUGGCUGAUAAGAGCUUUGUGGUUGACUGGACAAAAAAGUCAGACAUUGCCUACACAGCCACUUCAGAUGAAUCCAAGCUGUGGCAUCAAAGACUGGGACAUGCCAACUUCAGAUCGAUGGCCCGAAUGAUCAGAGAAGACCUGGCUGAAAACUUCAUCAACUCAGUAGACCAUGAUGAUGUAUGUGAAGUAUGUCAGCUAGGAAAGCAGGCCAGACUCCCAUUUCCCUCGAAUCAAGCCUGAAGAGCCUCUGAAAAACUCCAACUGGUGCAUACUGAUGUGUGUGGACCUAUGAAGACUGAGUCAUUGAGUGGAAACAGGUAUUUCAUACUGUUCAUUGAUGAUUUCUCGAGAUAUUGCUGGAUUUACUUCUUAAAACAGAAAUCAGAGGUGGCCACUGUGUUUUGGAAGUUCAAAACUGCUGCUGAGACUAAAACAGGCUGCAGGGUGAAGACCAUAAGGUCUGAUAAUGGGACUGAGUACACCUCAGCUCAGUUCCAAGCCUUCUGUGAUAAGGCAGGCAUCAAACAUCAACUUACCAACACAUAUACACCUCAGCAGAAUGGGGUAAGUGAAAGGAAGAAUAGGAGUUUGAUGGAUAUGGCCAGGUGCUUGAUGAUUCAGAAGAAUCUGCCUAAAGCACUAUGGGCAGAAGCAGUUAACACUGCAACAUACAUUCAAAAUAGACUUCCAACCAGGGCUUUGGAUCAAAAGACCCCAUUCGAGGCCUGGUUUAGCUUCAAGCCAUCACUGGCUCAUCUGAAGGUCUUUGGAUGCAUCUGUUAUGCACAUGUACCUGCUGUUAAAAGGGACAAAUUGUCUGAAAGGGCUCGACCUGGUGUUUUGGUGGGCUAUAGCACUGUUAAGAAGGGCUAUAGGAUUUUAGAUCCUUCAACAAACAAAGUGUCAGUAAGCAGGGAUGUGGUAUUUGAUGAGAGGUCAUGUUGGAACUGGGAAAGACAUGAACCUGAAGAAGUUUUUGAAGAACUUGCAACAGACCAAGCUGAGCCAGACCAAGAUGUCCCUGAAAUGGAUAUUGAUGAUGAACCAGUCAGAGGAACAAGGCCAUUGGCUGAAAUUUAUGAAAGGGCUCAUGUAGCCAUAGCUGAACCAAGCAACUUUGAAGAGGCUGAGGCUCAGAAAGGGUGGAAGCAGGCAAUGGCUGAGGAGAUCAGCAUGAUUGAGAAGAACCACACCUGGAAAUUGGUUGAAAGGCCAGUCAAAAGGAAAGUGAUUGGGGUGAAAUGGGUGUACAAAGCCAAGCAGAAUGCUGAUGGUACCUUGAACAAGCUGAAAGCAAGGCUAGUUGUCAAGGGGUUCAGUCAGAGGUAUGGCUUGGACUACCUGGAGACCUUUGCACCAGUGGCCAGGCUCGACACCAUCAGACUGCUGAUUGCCUUAGCAGCACAGCUUGAAUGGAAGAUCCAUCAACUUGAUGUGAAAUCAGCUUUUCUGAAUGGUUUCUUAGAUGAAGACAUCUAUGUUGAACAACCACAAGGGUUUGAAAUAGCUGGCAGAGAGCAUAUGGUCUACAAACUGAAGAAGGCCCUAUAUGGAUUAAAGCAGGCUCCAAGGGCCUGGUAUAGCAGAAUUGAUGGCUACUUGACUGAUCUAGGAUUCGAUCGAAGCAAGAGUGAGCCAACACUGUAUGUCAAGAAACAAGGGACACAAAUACAACUCAUUGUGUCCCUGUAUGUUGAUGAUCUUCUGGUGACAGGAGGAGAUCGAGUAGUGCUGGCUGAUUUUAAGACCAAGAUGCAGGAAGUGUUUGAAAUGUCUGAUCUUGGGGAGAUGUCAUACUUUCUUGGAAUGGAGGUGUCUCAAGUACAGAAUGAGAUAUUUCUAAGCCAGAGAAGCUUUGCCACAAAGAUUCUGACCAAGUUCUCCAUGCAAAACAGCAAGGCAACUAAAACACCUGUUGCUGUUGGAGAAAAACUAUCGAGCCAAGGUGAUUUUAAGAAAGUUUCUGAAACAACCUACAGGAGUCUAGUUGGUUGCUUGCUAUACUUGACUGCCACUAGACCAGACAUUAUGUAUGCUGUAGGAUUGCUCUCAAGGUUCUUGCAUUGCUGCAAUGAGAAGCAUUUCCAAGCUGCAAAGAGAGUGCUGAGAUAUGUCAAAGGCACUUUAAACUAUGGUUUGAAGUACAGCAAAGAAGGAAAUCUGAAGCUGGUUGGCUACACUGAUAGUGACUGGGCUGGCUCAAUAGAUGACAUGAAAAGCACCUCAGGGUAUGCUUUUAACCUUGGUUCAGCCAUGUUUUGUUGGAGCUCAAAGAAGCAAAGUCUAGUAGCUCAAUCUACUGCUGAAGCAGAGUAUGUGGCAACAGCAAGUGCUGUCAACCAAGCCAUAUGGCUAAGAAAAAUAUUGGCUGACUUGAAUGUGCAUCAAGAGGAAGCUACUGAGAUCUUCUGUGACAACCAAUCUGCAGUAGCAAUUGCUAAAAAUCCAGUGUUCCAUGGAAGAACAAAACAUUUCAGCAUCAAGUUGCAUGUUGUUCGAGAAAUGGAGCAAGCUCAGGAAGUAAAGCUGAUCUACUGUAAUUCAGAAGAUCAACUUGCUGACAUUUUAACCAAAGCUCUUAGUGUCACAAGGUUUGAAUAUCUAAGAAAGAAGCUAGGUGUUUGCUCCAUGCAAACCAAGGAGGAGUGAUGAAGUUGGUUCAGCAUGCAGCAAACUCAACAGCAUGCAGGCCAUGAAGACCAAGUCGUGCAAGAGCUGCUGGAACGAGCUGAACUAUUCCUAUUUUGCUCAUCUAGUAAUCUUAAGUUAAUGUAUUGUACUUUAGUUCAUUUAGAACUAUGUUAGGUUUAUGAUUGAUGUAAUUUUGAUGACAAUUGAGCUGUUAAGUCAGCUUUGUUUAAGUGUGUAAGCUUAGUUUUUCAAGUUUCAAUGUAUUAGUGGUAGUAGGUGAUGAUUAGGUAUCAUUAUGCAGAUUUUGACAAGCAAAUUGCUUGGUUUAUGUAUUGGCAUUAUGCCAUUGUUCAAUAUAUGAAUGAAAUCAGCUUUGUUCAUCAAUAUUCUCUCAAAUUUCCUCAGCUUAUUUUCUUCUUUCUUCAACUCGAAAUUGUUUGUUUGCUCAGCAAGAUUCGAGGCUUGCUCGACAAGAUACUUGCUGAGUCUGUUUGAUUCUGCUGUUGCACCAACAGAUACGAGUCAUUAGAUGUAGAUUUCGAAAUUGAGAAUCAAAUGGAAGAAAAGGUGGAUUAUACAACAAAAAGAGCAUCUUACACAUACAAGGGAAACAUUCUUAAAUACAUAUCGGGAAUUGAUUUAUCAUGUAAUAGAUUAACAGGUGAAAUUCCCAGAGAGAUUGGAAAUUUGAGUGAAAUCCGAUCACUAAACUUGUCGCACAACAAUUUGACUGGACAUAUACCGUCAACGUUCUCAAAGCUCAAGCAAAUUGAGAGUUUGGACCUGUCUCACAACAACUUAAUUGGAAGAAUCCCUGUUCAAUUGACGAAGUUGUACGCCUUAGCAAUCUUCAAUGUGUCAUACAACAACUUGUCAGGGAGUAUUCCGUCUCCAAAAGCUCAAUUUGGAACCUUCGACGAAAGCAGUUACGUGGCGAAUCCUUUCCUCUGCGGGUCUCCCCUGCAUAAAAAUUGUAGCGACCUUGAUUCACCCCCGACAGCAGCACCAAAGAGCUCAAACGAGGAAGAAGAAAGUGGUUUGAUGGACAAGUAUGUUUUCUGGGUGACCUUUUUUGUUUCUUACGUGAUUGUGUUACUGGUUAUUGUUCUCAUCCUGUAUAUAAAUCCUCAUUGGCGACAAGCAUGGUUUUCUUUUGUUGAACACUGCAUCAAGACCUGCCAAUAUUUUAUUGAGGACAAUCUUUUGUGAUUUUCCA
rnacentral:lncRNA from 1 species